AAUCCACUGGAAUUCCGACCUGAGAGAUUCCUGGAGGAAGAUGUUGACAUCAAGGGCCACGAUUAUCGGCUCCUGCCUUUUGGUGCUGGAAGGAGGAUCUGCCCUGGUGCACAACUUGCACUCAAUCUGGUCACUUCUAUGCUGGGGCAUUUGUUGCACCACUUUACUUGGUCUCCACCACCUGGGGUCAGCCCUGAAGAGAUUGACCUGGAAGAGAGCCCUGGAACAGUUACUUAUAUGAGAACCCCUUUGCAAGCUGUUGCAACACCAAGAUUGCCUGCACAUUUGUACAAUCGUGUGCCAGUAGAGCUGUAAUGCUUCCUUUCUCUUGUUACUAAAUUUUCAGCUUGCAAGAGUUGCUUCACUUCCAACUCUCCAUUUGAUUGUGAAGAACUUGUUGGAUUCUACGAGGUAUUUGUGGAAAGCUAUUAUUUUUCUAGAAAAAAUAAAGUAAGGGUUCUCUAUGAUUUAAAGAGAUUUUCUUUUAUUGUCAAACUUUACCACAAUUUAGUUUGAUCUCAAACUUUUUGAAGUGUAGUAUGUUGAUCUUGAAAUAUAUAUCAGCAUUUGCUAUGGACAUCAUCAUGCCCAAACUCACACAGGCAGUGACUUUUACCCCAUUAAACAGCAAAACAAACUUGGCAAAACAGUUUAAAUUGUUGGAUGCUAGUGAAAAUUGUGAUGUGAUGAUAACCUUUUCCCACAAAGAAUUCUUGCCAAUAUGUUGCUUUACGGAAAGUAAAAUUACUCCUCAGGAAGUCAGUUGCCUUUUGAAGGCAAAAGCACCUUUAUCCCUUUCCGGUCUCUGAUAUACCAACUGGCCCGAAAUCCCACCAUAUGUGCUAGCAAACUAAUUUAUUAGAAUUAGAAACCAAACCCACAUGGUGCUAUACUGAAGCUAUUCAGCUUAAAUACAAGAGAUUUACAUUAAAUCAACUGAGAAACAUCAUUCUCAUACUACAGUAUUAUGCGUACACAUACACAGUAAAUAUGUUGUGCCAUAUUCCUGCUAAACACAGAUUUAACUGAUCGCAUAUUCUAAAACUAGCAAGUUUUUUAGCUAUCUUAUUCUAUAUUAUCAUCCCUCAACAACUAACCAUAUUAGGCAGCAUAUAUCAACAUAACUAUAAGUUGCAGAAAUUUUGACACCAUUAAACACUAUAGGCUCCAAAUUGAAGAAAAUAAACUUUGCAUCAACAGUUUGCAAGUUCUCUGAUGCUCCUGUUGAAACACAGGACUCGAUCAAACUUUAUGGCUUUUUCAAAUGACCUGAAAAUAUAAAGAAGCAACUAACGUCAAAUUUAAUCAGGACAUUGGCAUGUAAAUCUUAACUAAGAUAGAGGAGGAGGAACAAAAAAAAAAAAAGCAUUAUCACAACUAUCAAGAGCAGUUCACAUCGUAAGAGCUUAAAAGAAUAAUGAGAGGAAUAAGUUGCAACCUUGGCCUUAGCUAAAAGAUUGCUACAUGUCAUAUGGUAUUAAUGACAUGUAAGAGCUUGAAAGUAUUAGGCAACUACAUCAUGGCCUCGAGGAAAAAAGUGCUGCAUCUAAUAUACUCCAGCAUCAUAUAUUGGCAAUCUCUGCCAUCUCAUCUGAGGUUAUCCAUAGAACAGAAAAGCUUAUCGAAGUUUUAAUGUUAUUUACCCCCACCUCCUCCUUUUAUCCCAAUUGAUCUGAUACACAUUAAGAAAUGCACAUACUAUCAAGAGGCCAAAGCUUAUAUCAGUAUAUAAUGCCGUGGUAGAAUGCAUUGGUUUCAGAGGUCAUCCAAAAUAAGAAAGUCCAAUAUAAACUACACCUCAAAACAAUGUUCACCACCAGUUCUGCUUGGGCUGGUGACUAGGCUGGGAAGAAACCAUAACUUGUAGCUGCUACAGCCCAAACCUCAUAUGUGUUUUAGGAAAAAUAAAAAAAAGGGGUUCUAUGCACUUGAUACUAUGUAUAAGCAGGUGGGACCUAACUACGUAAUAAUAGUUCCUAAGCUAUCAUAGAUAAUUGUUUAAGGCCCAAUAUACUGACAAGUUCUAAGCUAUCACAAAAGAAUUGCUGCAGCUCCUUGUAAAAUUACAAAUGAAUUCUAAAACUGGAUUUAGCACAGACCUGCUAAUAUGCUUAAAGGAAACCAUUUAAAAGAUGGUACAUUACACUUCUGUGAGGAAGGGAGCCAAAGGCCAAAUGAACUAGGAAAAUAUGUUUGUUGAAAAGGCUACACGAUGAUGGCAUGAUUAACAAGCUGUCUUAUCUGAAUGCUUAAAAUGCCCCUAACAAACUCAUGUUCAAAAAGAGCAUUAUAAGAAACAGCAUCAAGCUGUUUACUUAUCCAAAGACAAAAGCAUGGAACCCUCCAGUGAAGGAAGCAUACAUAAGUUAGGCAAUUAAGUUUUGAAUAACAUAGAUUCAUCUCAUCUGAAUGCUUCAACAAUUUGAAAUCUAAACGUAGCUACAAUGGAAAGGGUGUAAAAGUUGCUUACAGCCGUAAUCAGGGAAUACAUAACAACCAAAAUCAUACUCAGGAAAUUGCCCAAUAUUCAAAGGAACCAACUAAAUGCCUUUUUCUUUUUCUUCCUUAAACUUGCUCCAUUUAUUUUCCUUCUCUCCUCAAAUCACCAAAUCUUUUUAUGGAGUACAAUAUAAAAUAUUAUCAACCGCGAAACGAACUUAGCAUCCAACUAAAGCAUAGUAGCUUAAUGCUGAGACAAGAAUCUGGUCCUAUUGAGUCCACCACAUCGUCCUAGUAGUUCUUUACCCAAAUCAUCCCAUUGAUUUUCCACUUACCCAUAUACAAAAAAUCAAGAGGUCAUUAUAUAUUGCUCAGCAAAUAAAGUUAAAUGGAUAAUGUAACAUGAUCCAGUUAAACAAUCUAAGACACCAAAGUAUUAACUUAAUACAUGACCAUGUUAAAGAACAACUCUCAGAGCAGUGACGGAGCCAGGAUUUUUUUGUUGGGGGGGCCAAAAUUUUUUCCUAAUAAAAUUAUUUUAAUAUAUUAUGUUCAAAAUAAUUUUCUUCUAUUUAAAUAUAUGACAUCUAAUAAUAUCAAAUAUUAAAUUUAAUUAUAAAGAUAUAUCUAUUCAUAAAUAUGUGGUACAAUCAUAACAAAAAUUAACAAAAAAAAACCUUUGAUUAAAUAUCUUAUAACAUUACAAACCAUCCAAUUUGCACAUCAUGAAAAAAUGCUCUCCAAUAUGUCACCUAUGCAAUAGAUAUAUAUAUAACCAUGUAAUAUAAAUGUAACUAUUUUCAAUUGAAAAAGAUAAAAAUUAUAUUAACAUACUUUGAAAUUUCAACAUCUUUUCUUAGAAGUAAAUUGAGCUCUACGUUCUUUCAUAGAACUAAAUUCAUCUAUGAUUGAAUCACUGCUAAAUUUUUCAGCAACUUCCUUUUCUAUAUACACAGUUAAACAAUCAUUCAAGAAAUUAUCUUCCAUCUUGUUUCGGAGCUUUGUCUUGAUUAUUUUCAUAAUUGAAAAUGCCCGCUCUGUAGUUGCAGUUGAUACAGGAAGAGUAAGAACAAGUCUAAUCAAUCUGUCAAUAAGAGGAUACAUCACUGAUUUUCUUGUCUUCACCAAGCCUUGACAUAACUCAUGAAUACCAGAUAAUUCUUGCAAUUCAGGAUGAUUUGGAAUGUCAAGCUCAAAAUGUUGAAGUUCUAUUCUUAGACGUACUAGUUCUUGCUCCAUAAAAUCAUUCGGAUAGAACUUCUCUGCAAGUUUACAAAUAUCAUCAAUCUUGAACAGCAUAAAUCCAUUUCUAGGAUCUAAAGCAGUGCUCAAAACAAGCAAUUCCACGGUAUGAUCAUUAAACCUGCUAUGUAACUCUUGCAAUUGAUAAUCAAUUGUUGCAAUAAAUAUAUCCACUCGAUAAUAAUGCUCCACACUAAUCUCAUCAUGAUGACCACGAGAUCUACCACGUCUUGCAAUAUAUUGAGCAUUCAUAUCCGGGAUAUCAAUUUGAUGUUGCUCACAAAAUAAUUUAACUUUCACCAAGAAAUCAUUCCAUCCCGAAUCUCGAAAAUUCUUCAGUAGCUUUGUUGUGCUUGAGACAAGAUGCAUUCCAUUCAAAAUAUCUUGAGAUUUACGUUGCAAUGCCAUACAAAGAUGAUGAGUGAUUUCCAUAAUGUCUUUCAUAAGAUGCAAUGUGAAAACAAAUCCAAAGGAUAACAACUGAUUCAAAGCAAAAUUAGCAUCUCCACGUUGAGAGUAUGAACCUCCAUCUGCUGCAAUGUUACUUAAAACCACACAAGUAGCAUUGAACAUUUUCAGUAAACUAGAAAUAGAAUCCAAAUGAGAACCCCAACGAGUAUCUCCAGCUCGUUUUAAAGUGCCAAUUUGAUUAAGCCCCCUUCCAGUUUCAAGUUCACCAUUAGCAAUCUUAGUAGCAAUUUUAAUUGCUUGAGCCUCCUUUAAUUCAUCAUUACGUUUGCUAGAUGCAGUAACAAUGUUGAUAAUGAAAACUAAAUUGGAGAAGAAUUGGUGAACAGAAGCUACUUCUCUAGAAGCUGCAACUAAAGCAAGUUGAAGCCUAUGGGCCAAACAAUGAAUGUAAUAGGCAUAUGGACAUUCAUGGCAAAUUAAAGCUUGCAAGCCAUUCCAUUCACCUCUCAUAUUACUAGCUCCAUCAUACCCUUGUCCACGGAUGUUAUGAAUGGCCAAAUUAUGUUGAGAGAGAGUAGAAAAAAUAGCUUCCUUCAAAGUUAAAGCCAUAGUAUCACGGACAUGAAUAACACCAAAAAAUCGUUCACAAAUGCAUCCUUCCUUAUCUACAUAUCUCAAAACAAGAGCCAUUUGCUCUCUUUUGGACUCAUCACGAGCUUCAUCAACUAUAAUGCAAAAUUUUGAAUUUCCAAUCUCUUGGCAAAUUUCUUUUCUAACCUUAUUGGAAAAUAUAUAAAGAAUCUCCUUUUGAAUUUCAGGAGAUGUAUAGGAGGCAUUGGAUGGAGCAUUUUCUUGAACAACACUUGCAACCUAUCCAUUAAUAGAGCAUAAUUAUAAUUUUAUAAAGAUAAUAACUAAAUGGAAGCAUAUUAUGAAUUAAAAAGAUUUCUUUCAAGCAUGCAUAUUAUAUAAAUUCAAGAAAGAAUGCAAAGCUGGAAGAAAAUCACUCUUACCUUAUCAUUAUAAGAAGCCAACAACUUAAUAAGUUGAUGAAAGUUUCCACGAUUAAGAGAUUUUUCACUCUCAUCUCGUCCUCGAAAGGCACAACCUUGAAAUGCAAGCCAUCGAACUACAUCAAUUGAAACUUGAAGCCUUAAUCGAUUAAUCUCAACUUGCUCAAAACUUUGUUUCUCAAUGAAAGUUCCAAUGUGUUGAGAAGCAUUCAUCAAAUCAUUGCAGGCUUUUACAGCAAUUCUAUGAAAUGAGUUAGGAUUUUUCCCCACAUGUCGUAAGAAAGCACAAUUAUCUCCAUUAUUGACCUUCUUCCAAUUCUUAAAGCCACCAAGAACAAAUGCACUUAAUUCAACUCGUCCAUUCGGCUUACUAAAUAGAUAGCAUGAAAGACAAAAAGUAGCAUCAAUUGAUGGAGAAUAUUCAAGCCAAGAUGGAAACAAUUCAAACCAAGAGCUACAAAAAUGACGAGCAUGUUUCUUUGAACCACUUGAAGGGUAAUUUUCAUGCUUAACUUGAUAUGGCCCCCAAUUGAUAUAAGCUCGACGAAUUUCAUCUUGUUGAUUAAGAGGAUAGCUCCAUAUAGGUGGACGUUUUCCGGGAUCACGCUCCAAAGAAGCAAUAUCAAUCUUUUCAAGUUCAACUCUUUGAAUUUUUUUGGGAGGUUCAACAACCAAACUCUCACUAAGAAUAGAUGAUGGAGUAGCAUCACUCUCCUUGUGCUUUUGAUCUUCAAUAAUUUUUCUUUUAAAAAAUGCAUCAAUUGUUGUUGACUUAACCAUGGAGAAUAAAUUUCAAACCUGAAUUUAAUUCACACUUCAUAAGUUAUAUACAACUCUAGCAAAUUAUCAUAAUAAAUUAUACGUAUGCCAAAUUAAUAUUAUAUAUGCAUUAUAUUAGUAUUUCUUUGAACCACAAAUAGAGUAUGGAACCACAAUUUUAAAUGAUACACACUUAUUAAACAAUAAAAUACUUUAUACAUGUCAAAUUAUAUUUCUUGAGAAAAAUAUACUACCAAUAUAGUAUAAUAUCACAAUUUUGAUACUAGAAAUGUAUUUUACAGGAGCAUAAGAUAAUUGGAAAGAGGAAAAGAUUAAAUUUCAUAAUAAAUUAAUUAUAAAAGGAAAAGGUUUAGUACAGGCACCAGAGAAUGGAGCCAGCCACUUCACUUCAAGUUAUUGGAUUCUACUUUCUAGCACCAAGUGACCAAGCCACGGAAGCCACCAAUGACCAAACGGUCCAAACCAAUCAUGGUGUGAAUCACCCUUGAAUUUUGAUGAAUCUUCUUUGAAUCUUUGUUGUAUUCUUCUCCAGACUCCAGUUCUCCUGUCUUCUUGCUCUUUUCACUUUACUUUUGUGUCUACCCACAAUCAAGUGCCACCGUGAAAGAAAGAAAGAAAUGAAAAGUCACCCUCUGACCCACACUUCCUUUUUGAUCCGCAUAUCAGAAAAGUGGGCAAAUAGCUUCCUUUGUAAGCUUUUCUUAGAAUACUAAAGAUAAAAUAAUUUUUUUUAAAUCUUUUAUCCAUUGGGCUAAGUUAUAUAUAGUUGUAUAUGGGCCAAUAAAAUAAUUAUUUUUGUUUUAGCCCAUUAACAAUUAUGAAUUGGGUCAUGAUAUAAACUCUCAUAAUAUAAACUAAAAUUGUAAAAAUUUAGGGGGGGCCAAUUUUAUUUUACACACAAAUUUACAUAUUAUGAAUUAAAAUUUUCAAAACUUAGGGGGGGCCAUGGCCCCCCUCUGCCCCCCCUUGGCUCCGUCAUUGUCUCAGAGAAUUUAUAUAAACUGUGAAUAGUGGUCAAGAACUUAUUUUAGGCCUUGGGUCGCAAGUAAAACAGACCAAAAACAUAUGUCACAGUGAAUGAUUAAGUUCCAACAUCUAUGUGGAAGGAUGUAUCAAAAACAAAAACAUUUACAGAAUCAAACUAAAAAGCAUUAGGACCUCAUAAGUGAUGAAAAGCAGCUUGGUAAUUGACCAAUGAAAUAGCGUCAAUUGGACAAAUAAGAACAUUACAAUAUUAUUUACAUUGUAUAUAAUGUGGAAUUAGUGGGCUUCACAAUCUUAUUUGGAGCAUCUUCAUUGGCCAAUGACCAACUGCUAGGCUUGCCAAGUAGUAGGUCCGCCCACAAUAAAAUUUCCAAGUAUUAUUCACUUGAUGAGAACUUUUACUAAGAAGAUAUUUCCAAGAAAAGGUGCUGAGCACGAAAAAGCUUCAUUUUGGACAAGUCCACUUCAGUGCAAUAGUCAACUGUAACUUUUUAAGAAGGAACUCAACACAUCAGAAGUAAUUGAAUAUCUUGGUUACUAUGCAGUUAUUCAACACAUUGUAACCUAGAAAACAAGACAAGAACCAUCUUGAUGAUACUUUUGAUGACAUGAUUCUCUUCAAGUUUGUGAUACAGAGGCGAAAUUAGAUAGAACAUGGCUAUAUCCUAUUCCGCAUCAACAUGUCCAAACUCAUAGUCAUGUAAAGAAUUCUUGGUUUAGAUUGUUUAAAGGUCAACAACAUGCAGCUAACAACCAUCUCAAACAAUUCACAUUCUUUUCUUGCCCAAUUCCCCAAUCUCAAAUUCAAACAACUACUCACUAGAUAGUUUAAUCUUCCACAACCAGGUUCAACAUAAAUUACCUAAUCUUAUCUCAAUCUUAAGAUCUCCUACAAGAACUUUGAGUGAUGAAAAUUAAAACAAAAUGAAUCUUCAGCGAGAAUUUAUAUGAUCAGAAAAAGCUCCAAGAUAUGCUAUUUGAGGUUAAUGUUUGCUCACAAGUUUAAUUUAAGAAACAUAUCUAACCUUGGUUAAGACCAAGGUCCGAAGUAGUGAAUGAAGGGAUGUCUCUAGUGUGCCUAAAUUCCUCCAAUUUCUUGAAGUUCAUCCACGGCUUCACCCAAACUUUUGCUUCAUAUAUCUGUUUCUUCCCAGCAUCAAUUGCCUCCAGAGUAAGAUGAUACAACUUACCAGCAACCACCUGUUCUUUGGCUUUGAUCACCCUUCCAAACUCAAGAAGCGCGUUCUAUGUCCAGAAAAAGGAAAUACAGUAAAUUACAUAUAAUCCAAAUUCCAAAAACAGUAGCUGAAGAAAGGACAUUAACAAACGCUGUCCAGGAAUUGUUUCCACAUUAAUUCAUUCUUCUUUUUUCUUCUUCUCUUGUUUUUUUUUUUUUUUUUUAAAUAUAAAAGCUCAUCAACAUGCAUCCGUUAUUUUAGAAAAAUCUGCAAUAUUAACCUCAGAAGACAACCAUCUAAAACUUACAUAAAUUUAUUUUCCCUGAAACCAUCAACUAAGGGUUUCUUUCAUCAAAAAAAUUGGGAAAUCCCUAGCUAAUCAUUCCCUAAAGCCACAUAAUUUAACAGAAAAAAUGCACACCCAAAAAACCCUUAAAAAGAAUUUGAACUCCGGGAUUCCCACCUCUUCUAAUCGAAUUAAAAAUCAAUAAUCAAGAUUUUUUUUCCAAAAUAAGAAAAAGGGCCAGUAAACAAAUAGCCAAAUCAAGAACCAAGAGAAAGAAAACAGCGAUUAAUGAAUACAGACCUCUUUCUUGUUGUGUUCUUGAACAGCAAAACGACCAAUGCUUUCAAUUUCUCCAUUGUUCUGAUCUCCUCGGUAGCCAUGGCUUCCCCCAAGAACACUUCCACUCUCCUUCAUCUUUAUGAACCCUUUUUCCUCACACGAUUCAGAAAUCACAGAGACCGCGCCGAAAAGACAAAGAAAGCAAAGAAGACUAGUACCAGUGCUGAUCUUCAUAGUUAUAGCUUUGAUUUGAACUAUUUCUGCGAUUCCUUGGUUUUAAUUUAAGGCUGUUUUUGGGUUUCUAGCGGAAUCCGAUGCAUUUAUUCUCGUUUUUGCUUUGCGGGUAAGAAAUUUUGGUGCGAAAGUUUGUUGGAUGACGUAACCUUUUCGGGUAUUCGCCGUGGGACGAGACACGUGCAAUGAUCUGCUGGAACUGGUCGGUUUGACCCGGUUAUGCGAUGAUUAAUAUAUUUUUUUUAUUAGAAUAAUGUUUUAUGGGUGCCCAUAACAUUAAUUAGGAAAAGUAAAUAAAUAUAAGUAAAAAUAGAUAAAUUAAAUAGAAAAUGUAUAUAAAUGUACAAGAGGGUAAUAAUUAUUAGUAUGUGUGCAUAUAUCGUAAGUUAGUUGAAUUUUAAGUAUAUAAAUGAAAAGCCAAUAAGCAUCUGUUAGAAAAAAUCUUUUUAUUAUUUACGCUAUUACUUCCUCAUCCUUCUUAUUGAGAAAUUAAUUUGGGAGUAUGAUAUCUACAAGGAAAGAUAAAAUCUAGUUAACGGGAACUUUUUUGAUCCCGUUUAAGGAUCAUUUCAACUUGUACAUCUCGAUAAAAAUAAUAAUGGUUUGAAUUUUAAAUCUUUAAAAUUGUUGGAACUUAAGGGCCAAUAACACUUUUUUUUCCUAUCUAAUUUUAAAAUUAACUUAGGAGUAUGACAUUCAAUAAGAACUGUAGAAUCUCCUUAAAAAUAAUCCAAUAAGAUCGUAAAGUUCUUCAAUGUUCUUUCAACAAUAUGACAUGGAUCAAAGGAGACUAUUGGACUUGCCUUGUAGUUAGUUCACCAUGAGCUAAAAUUUCAUUUAUAGCAUUUCUCAAAAAAAUAAAUACGAGCUUGUGACUUGUGCAUUCCUAUUUUUCCAGAUUUACUAAUUUAGUCACCCUGAAAAAUCCCGAUUGGUUUUAUUGGUUUUGUGUGAAUUCAUUUAGGUGGAUUUUUGAUGGACAUAGGCCCUAAUUCUUCACCGAAAUUCCCAGCUGUGUUUGGACUGGGGAACCUGAGUGGAUUUAGAUUUAAAACCCUUUACCAAAUUCCCUUAUAUGUUUGAAUGAAGUAAAAGAGAUGGGUUUGAAAUGCAUCAUUUAAUGGAAGGAUUAGUCUGGCUAUAACUAAUGAAUUUUAAAGAAUAAAUAUUGCAUGCACCGUUAGUUUAUACACUAUGAUGGUUAGAUGAAUCCAACAUAUGUAAAAUUUUGAUUUAAUUUAUCAUCUUAGCUAAGCCAUAGCUAAUUUCAUAAUGCACGUGAUACUUGCUUUUACCAGUGCACCAACCAUACCUAUAACUAUCAUUCACCUAUAUUUCAUGAUGAAGAAACUAGUUAUAGAUUCAUUAAAUUCUAUGAAAUUAUAAGGUUAAAAUGAUAAAGGUAAUUCCCUACUUUCGUGAGAAUAGUCUCUAUAUUCAACACUUCCAUGAACUAGUAUAAUAUCAUAAUUUUCAUUGAUGAUACAACACCUUUAGAACUAUAAUUUAUGUAUCUAUUGCACAUAUACAUUUAAAUGGACUAUAAAUUCAAAUUGUAAAUUGUGCACAUAUUUGUAUUUUCUCAUGGACUUGAUUUAAAAUAUUGCUUUAAAUAAGAACUUCUAACCAAUCUUGCUUUAAAUAUAUUACUAUUUUCAUCAAGCAACUUUACAUUUCCUAUCCACAUAUUGAUGCCAAUCUAAUAACAAUCUAUCUUUAAUUUAUCUUUGUUAAUCUGGGCAACUUGAUGCACAGAGUCGGCCAUAGAAAUUAGUUUACUAUAAAUUUACAUUUGAAGCAGAGACAACUAAAUUUUGCUUCUUGUAUAUCAACAGUUUACAAUCUUUAGUCUCCUUAUAAUACUUUUACUUUUGUAUACAAUUUUACAAAUUUAUCACUCUUAUUUUUAAACAAAAUUUUCCUUAAGAAAGUUUACAACAAUUAUGAAGUAGCUACUAUAUUGCUCAUAUUCAUUAUAUAUUCAUUUUGACCAAUGGAAAUUUUAUUCUUGACUCAAUAUUUUUUGGUUUCAUAAACAUAUAUUAGUUUUAUUUUUUGUCAUUUAGUGCCUUUUGACUAAUGAAUUAAUAUCACUCGUCAAAUAUAUCCAUAGGAAUACAUAUAAUAAUUAAUGUCCAUAUAUAUUUUACUGUGUUUUUUUUAAGUGGGAGGUUUUGAAUCUAUAACCUCCCAUUUAUAUUCUCUCCCACCUUAUCAUUCAACCAAAUCCUUUGCCCCAUUUUACUGUGUUGUUUAUUUGUAGUUCAAUGUAAAUUUUCUCUUUUUUAUUUUUAUUUUUUCCUACUAAGGGAGGAGUGGGACUUAAGAAGCAGGGAGGGAACGGGGAGAUUUACAAUGUAAAUUUUCUGGUUACUUUUUAGAAGAUAUAAACUUUUCGGUAUAUCAAGUGUACGGGUUUUAUAAUAUAUACCACAUGAAUCAAUCAAUCAAGCAUCUUAAUUAAUAUGCUUUGCAACAAAACACAAUGAUGGAACCAAAGAUUUGAAUUGUUAAAAGAAUCCUUGUUGCAAAUUGUGGGGUGCAAUUGCAAUAUAAAUUUAUCGUAACUAUUCAAAAAUUUGGUAUAUUUUGACAAUAAAUGGUAUCAUCAUUAUCAAUCAAGGAAUGGAUUUUAUACCUUAACUUUGAGUCAAAAAUGUUCUUGGACUUUAGAUCAAGCCAAUCCCUUUUGUCAAAAAGUCAAUAUCCACUAAUUUGGUUCUUACGGGAUUUUUCAUCUUCUUUUGGGGGGAUUGGUACUUGUGGUUGUAGACAAAGAUAAUUUAUUUAAUUUAUUUAGUCAAGAUUUAUUUAAAUUAAAUUGAUCUUGAUUAAAUUAAGUUAAAUGAUAAAAGUUCAUUAUGUUUUGAACUUGCAAAUUGGGCCAGUAUUAUAUGGGCUAUUAAAUCAAAUUAAAUUUGUAAUGUCCAUUUAAGUUGAAGUGAAUUAAUUGAUUUAUUAAUUCACAAUUGACUAUUUGAGUUGGCCCAUUAUUUAAGCCCAGGUUAAAUGGAUUUCUUGAGUAACAAGUGAUCCAAAAUACAGGAAGAUUCUGAGAGUUUUCUUCAAGACCUAGCCUACAUAUUUUGGCUAUAAAUAUAGGUCUUCCCUCAAGGCAAAGACAUGAAAAAAAUCCCUAACAUUCGAAGAAACUCUGUCAAAUUCUCUCAAGAGCUUUCUUCCUCAAAUCCAAGUCCAAGUCAAGUCAAACAAAUCCUCUUGCUAUCGGUGUUGAAGACUUGAAGUUUCAAGUGUUUGACGCCGUCAUCAAAUCAAUCGUUUUCUACGCAGAAAUUGUAGGAAACACCCGUUCGAUUGAAGAACAAGUCUUUUUGACCCUUCAAUUGAAACUAUUCGAAUAAAAGAAUCAGGAGAUUAAAUUCUUUGAUUUAAGAAUUUUCAGAGAUUGUAACCCGCUUAUUAUUUGAUUUAAUAAAUUUGAUAUUUGUGCAAGUUUUCUUGUCUUUUAUUUCAGGCAACAAAAUUUGUGCUUACAAAUUUCUGGCACGCCCAGUGGGACCAUCUCUGCCUCUCAUCUCUUUUCUUCCAACAACUUACCAGUUUCAAAAUUCAAUGGAGUUCAAGAAGGUGAACUUUUCUCUUAAAGGCUUAGUGGCCGAUGUCUCAACAAUUCAAGAGACGCAGUAUACUGCACAUCUGACAAGGAGCAAGGCCAAGAAGUUAGCAGAAAGGGCUAAGGCGAACGUUUUGACUGAAGAAACAAAUCUCAAGAUGCUUCCCAACAAGAAAGGAGCCCAUGAUGAAUCCAUUGAUAGCCCAAGUGAUUCGGCUGCCUCUGUGGUGAUGCCCGUCAUGAUGACCAAUACCACAACUGUGGAAGACCAGAUCUCGAAUCUAGCCAAAAUUGUCGAAGGGCUAGUAGUGCAUGCGCAAAGUCAGGAUGCCAAGAUAGUCAAAUUAAUGGAUAUGAUGGAAAAUAUAGGCGAAAAUAGCCUUAGUAUGUCCAAACAGAAAUUCAAAGUGCAAGAUGAAGGAGACUUGUCAUCAAGGGAGAAGGAGAAAGAGGAUGCGAAAUCACAAGCCGCGAAGGAAUUUUCAAUCUCCCCUAAUGGCACCAUUCAUGUUGACAAUCUGAAGGAAUUUAUCGAAGGUACAAUCAAGGAUAAGAUGGGUGGAAGCGCCAAGUCAUAUAGCGGUUACACUAAACCUUACACUGCUAGAGUGGAAGGUUUGAAGAUGCCUGUGGGAUAUCAACCUCUAAAAUUUCAACAAUUUGAUGGCAAGGGUAACCCUAAACAACAUAUUGCACACUUCGUGGAAACCUGCAACAAUGCGGGCACUGAUGGUGACUUGCUCGUUAAGCAAUUUGUUCGCUCUUUGAAGGGUAAUGCCUUUGAUUGGUAUACAGAUCUGGAGUCUGGAACCAUUGACAGUUGGGAGCAGUUAGAGCAUGAAUUUCUUAGUCGCUUCUAUAGCACAAAGAGAACUGUCAGCAUGACUAAACUCUUUAAUACACGUCAAUGGAAGAGUGAACCUGCCAUUGAUUUUAUCGACUGUUGGAGGAAUCUGAGCUUAAAUUGCAAAGAUCGAAUUUCUGAAUCUUCCGCGAUCGAGAUGUGUAUUCAAGGUAUGCACUGGGGACUCAGAUACAUCUUACAAGGUGUACAACUAGAAACGUUUGAUGAAUUGUCCACAAAAGCCCAUAAGUUAGAAAUUAAUCUUGAUGGACAAGAACCGCCAGUUCCUGACCCUCACAAGGCUAAGGAGAGACAAGAAGCGAGGAAAGGGGCAAGCCACCAAUCAAAAAUGAAAGGAAGGAGACUAUGGCCACAAGUAUAACACCUUUUAAGGUUGUUCCCAAAACUGCUAGGGGAGAAAACAGGAAGAGCAAUGCACAUCAAGAGCAAGGAAAGAGGAAGCCGACUCUCAAGGAGAUGCAAGACAAAGAGUACCCUUUUCUUGAUUCUGAUGUCCCUGGUAUGUUUGACGAUCUGUUAAAUAUAAACUUGAUCACGCUUCCUGAGAUGAAGCGACCUGAUGAGGCCAGGAACACUGACGAUCCAAACUACUGUAAGUAUCACCGAUUGGUUGGGCAUCCCAUUCAAAAAUGCUUUGUCUUCAAAGACAAAGUAAUGGAGUUGGCAAGACAAGGGAAAAUUCUCCUUGAAGAAGACAAGGCGAGUGUGAAUCAAACGUCCAUUGGUUCCCUGCAGUCCAUGGAGGAUAAAAGGGACAUGGUACCUGUAUUGCCGACAAUUCAAUUUGAAUCACUUGACCCUAUAGAAAUCAAACAAGAAAGUGCUCCUUUAACUCUUCAGGAACAUGCAUAUGAAGAUGAAAAGGGGCUACAACCUGAUGUGGAUGAUGAAAGAUGGACUCUAGUCACUUGAAGGAGGCAGAAAUCUUGUCCAUCUAGUAAGGCGAGCAAGGUCUUAACAAGAAGUAUGAUGAUUUGGAAGGGAAAAGAGAAAGACGUAAAGAAAAAUAAUGACUGUCGUAAUCUUCAAGGAGGUCGAAUCUUCAAGCAAAAGUCGCGAACUCCUAUCACUUUAAAAGAAUUCUUGCCAAAAGAAUUCCUUGAUGUUGAUGUGGUCGCGAGUCACACAACGCGAGUAGAUCAUAUCGAAGAACAAAAGAAUAAUACUCGUGAAUCUCUCUGUGAGAUAACCCGUAUGCCUAUCGGCAAUGAAGAAGGUCGUGUGUCUACCGGCAAUGAAGAGGUGAACGUCACAAGUAUCACUUUUACUAGUGAAGACUUGUUGCUUGGGUCAACACCGCAUAACCGCCCUCUGUUUGUGACUGGUUAUGCAAAUGAGCAAAAAGUGAAUAGAAUGUUGAUAGAUAGAAGUUCCGCAGUCAAUAUUCUCCCUUUAAAAACUCUGAAGGAGCUUGGUAUUCCGGUUGAUGAACUCUCCAAUAGCCGACUGAUGAUUCAAGGCUUCAAUCAAGGAGGGCAAAGAGCUCUUGGAUCACUAAAUUUGGAGGUAGUCAUUGAUGACAUGACGUCCAGAGCACUGUUGUAUGUGAUAGAUGCUAAAAUAGCAUACAAUGUACUGUUGGGAAGGCCCUGGAUUCAUGAAAAUGAAGUUGUACCUUCAACCCUUCAUCAAUGUUUUAAAUACUCCCGAAAUGGAGUGAUAAGAAGUGUGAAAGUCGAUGACAAUCCUUUCACUGAGGCGGAAGCGUAUAUCGCUGAUGCCAAAUUUUACGUCAAAAGGCACAUUGCGAAGGAUAGAUCUGAGCAACCUCUAUCUGGGGAUAAAAUCCAGAACCCCGAAUCUCCAAAUGCAAAAUGGGUGAAAGUGAUGAUUUCGAAAUAAAAAGAGGAAGUUCAUGAAGAAACUGAUGUUUCAUUGCCAAGCAAUGAAUCAGUUGUCUUUCGUUGCCCUCCCAAAUCAAGAAUAGAAUAGGGACAGUCACCUGCAAUUCAGCAUGAAACUCUAAAAGAUUUGACUCUUUCGGUAGCUCAUCUUGAUACAAAAAAGGCGUCAUCUUCUCAACUUAAAAGGUCUAACUUUUUAAGCAAAGAAUCUGAAAUUGAACAAAACACCAUACCAAAGUCAAGAACCAAAGAAGGUUUUGAUGCUAUCGCUUAUAAGCUUCUCGCUAAAGCUGGAUAUGAUCUCAAAGAAUCUGCGGUGUUAAAUAUUCCAUCCUGUCAAUCUACUGGUGACAUGAUUCAUGGGUUGAAUCCUACCCAAAAGAUGUUGAAGGAAAAGGGAUACGCUGUCGAAAAUCUCAAAUUUGACCUUGGCUACUCCUCUCCUACACCAAUUCGCAUCAAGAUCAAUAGAGUUAGUAGCCCAUAUAUUACUGUGGAGGAUGAGUCUUCUCAAAUAGUUGAUAAAUUCCAAACCUUUCACGAAAAGGAGAAUAAAACUCCACGGGUGUCUGUUUUUAAGAGAUUAGGACCACAAAGAAGACAAAAACUUCAAAACUCUCAUAAGAGUAAAGGAAAAAUGACAAAGUCAUUGCAAAAUCUUCAAGAACCUUCUGAUUGUCCCCAUAAAUUUGGUAGCAUCAUUCUUUCGAGAAUGAGAAGAUGCACAGACCUUGUAAUAAAGUGUGAGACUGAAUUGAGGGUCAGGGAGCAUACCGUGGUGUACACAAGACAAAAAGAGGAUGAUGAAGAGAGUGUUGCCUCAUGCAAUCAUAUAACCAUAAUUGACGGUGACUCUCCUGAAGAAGAAGAAGAUGCUGAAGACGCUCCACCUGAAUUUGAGGAAGGUGUUAAGGCCACUGUGGAUGAUCUAAAAGAGAUCAAUCUUGGUACUUCAGAGGACCCGUGUCCAAUAUAUGUAAGUGUUUCACUGAAUCCUGACGAAGAGAAGGCAUAUGUUGAUCUCUUGCAAGAGUAUCGAGAUGUUUUUGCCUAGACUUAUAAAGAAAUGCCGGGUUUAGACCCAAAAGUGGCCGUCCACCAUUUGGCUGUUAAAAAGGGAGUUCGGCUAGUGAAGCAAGCACAACGGCGAUUUAGACCCGAUUUGAUUCCGUUGAUCGAAACUGAAGUCAAUAAGCUUAUUGAAGUCGGGUUUAUUCGUGAAGUUAAAUAUCCCACAUGAAUUUCGAUUAUCGUGCCCGUGCGAAAGAAGAAUGGACAAAUCCGCAUCUGCGUCUAUUUCAGGGAUCUUAACAAUGCUUGUCCUAAAGAUGACUUUCCUUUACCGAUCACUGAGCUCAUGAUUGAUGCAACUACUGGGCAUGAAGUUCUAUCGUUUAUGGAUGGCUCUUCUGGAUAUAAUCAAAUUCUAUUGGCAUCUGAGGAUGAGGAGCUCACUGCAUUUCGUACUCCUAAGAAUAUUUAUUGUUAUAAAGUAAUGCCCUUUGGUCUAAAAAAUGCUGGAGCCACAUAUCAAAGAGCAAUGCAAAGUAUCUUUGAUGACAUGCUUCAUAAAAAUAUCGAGUGUUAUGUGGAUGAUUUAGUUGUUAAAUCGAAGAAAUGGAGUAAUCACUUGGAGGACUUGAGACAAGUAUUUGAUCGGUUGAGAAGGUAUCAACUCAAAAUGAACCCUCUCAAGUGUGCAUUUGGAGUCACAUCGGAGAAAUUUCUUGGUUUUGUGGUUCGCCAUCGAGGUAUUGAAAUUGAUCAGGCCAAAAUUGAUGCUAUAUUGAGGAUGCCUGAACCUCGUGACAUUCAUUAAUUGAAAAGUCUUCCAGGGCGAUUAGGUUAUCUGCGGAGAUUUAUCUCAAAUUUAGCAGGAAGGUGUCAACCAUUUAGUCGCUUGAUGAAGAAAGAUGUGCCAUUUCAAUGGGAUGAGGCAUGUAGUAAUGCAUUCAAUAGCAUUAAGUCUUAUCUUAUGAAAGCACCUGUUUUGGCUGCACCUAUACAUGGAAAGCCGUUACUUAUUUAUAUUGCUGCCCAGGAACGCUCAGUGGGGGCAUUGCUUGCACAAGAAAUUAAUGAAGGAAAAGAAGUUGCCCUUUAUUAUUUAAGCAGAAUGAUGACCCCCAACGAACUAAACUAUUCACCGAUUGAAAAGUUGUGUCUAGCUCUUAUUUUUGCAAUAUAGAAGUUAAAACACUACUUUCAAGCACAUAGCGUGAGGCUCAUUUCCAAGGCGAAUCCCAUAAAAUAUGUGAUGAGCAGACCAGUACUAUCCGACCGUCUAGCAAGAUGGUAUCUUCAACUACAGCAGUUUGAAAUUAUUUAUGUGCCUCAAAAGGAAGUGAAAGGACAAGUUCUGACAGAUUUUCUUGCUGAUCACCCAAUACCUGCUAAAUGGGAGUUAAGUGAUGACCUACCAGAUGAGGAUGUACUUCUUGUUGAGAUUCGCCCACCAUAGAAGAUGUAUUUUGAUGGUGCAGCUCAUCGUCAUGGGGCUGGAGCGGGGAUUAUAUUUGUGACUCCUGAUGGAGGGAUAUUGUUAUACUCUUUUACUCUAAGUCAACAUUGUUCAAACAAUGUCGCUGAGUACCAAACUCUCAUACUCGGACUUGAAAUAGCUGUUGACAUGAAACAGUUGGACAUUCAAAUCUAUAGUGACUCUCAAUUAGUGAUUAACCAACUCUUGAAAAGUUAUGAAGUCAAAAAGUCCGAGUUAAUUCCGUAUCACAAAUAUGCAAUGCAACUAAUGAGGCGGCUUGGAGGUGCAAGUAUUAAGCAUGUUCCUAGAAGGAAAAAUAAGCAAGUUGAUGCAUUAGCUGCGCUAGACUCUUCACUUACCAUGUCGAAUCAUGAGAUACAAAUCCGUGUAUGCCAAAAGUGGGUAGUUCCAUCACUAAUUGAUGAUGACGAUAUUGAAGGAGGCGACGCUCAUAUGGUCUCAACCUAUGAAAUUGAUAAAGAAGAUUGAAGACAACCCCUCGUUGAUUAUCUCAAGUAUCAAAAACUACCUGAGGAGCAAUGUAGGAGAACUGACAUCCGUCGCCGUGCCCCUCGUUUUAUCUUGUAUAAAGAUAUGCUGUACCGAAAAUCAUUUGAAGAUGUACUGUUGCGCUGUUUGAGCGAAGACGAGGCAUAUCGAGCGAUACACGAGGCACAUUCUGGAAUAUGUGGAGCUCAUCAAUCUGGUCCCAAGUUACAUUUUUGGAUUAAAAGAAUGGGCUACUAUUGGCCUGCUAUGGUCAAAGAUUGCAUAAAAUAUGCUCAAAUAUGUCAAGCUUGCCAGUUUCAUGCAAAUUACAUUCAUCAACCACCUGAGCCGUUACACUCGACCGUUGCUUCUUGGCCUUUUGAUGCUUGUGGUCUUGAUGUUGUGGGGCCAUUACCAAAGUCGUCCGGUCAACAUUUAUAUAUAUUGGCUGCGACCGACUACUUUUCUAAAUGAGUUGAAACCAUACCGCUCAAGCAAGUUAGAAAGGAAGAUGUGGUGAACUUCAUUCGCGUGAAUAUUAUUUACCGUUAUGGAGUUCCCCGAUACAUUAUCACUGAUAAUGGAAAAGCCUUCUCAAAUAACUUGAUGGAUAAGAUGUGUGAAAAAUUUCAUUUCAAGCAACGUAAGUCCUCCAUGUAUAAUGCCCCCGCCAAUGGCCUUGCCGAGGCAUUCAACAAAACUUUAUGUAAUUUGUUGAAGAAAGUGGUGGCUAAAUCAAAGAAUGAUUGGCACAAAAGGAUAGGCGAAACUCUUUGGACUUAUCGCACCACAUAUCGAACUCCAACCAAGCCACACCAUCUGCUUUAGUCUAUGGUGUAGAAGCUGUCCUGUCCCUUGAGCAACAAAUUCCUUCUUUGAGAAUUGCUAUCCAAGAAGGGCUCACGGAGGAAGAGAAUGUUCGCCUGCGCCUUGAAGAAUUGGAAGCUUUAGAUGAAAAGAGAUUAGAGACCCAACAAAAUCUGGAAUGCUAUCAAGCCCGUCUCUCUAGAGCUUUUAAUAAGAAAGUUCGGCGCCGCUCCUUUCAAGUCGAGGAUAUGGUACUCGCCUUUCGAAAGCCAAUAGUUAUGACUCAUCGCACUAAAAAUAAAUUCGUCUCCAAAUGGGAUGGGCCAUAUGUUGUUCGAGAAGUCUACACGAAUGGCGCGUACAAACUGGUGGACAAAGAUGGCGUAAAAGUUGGUCCUAUAAAUGGGAAAUUCAUGAAGUUAUACAUGCUAUAGAAAAAAAAAAUAAAACACUCCAUGACGCAUGAGUCUAAACUGCAUGUUGCUCCAGACCCGUAGAGCUAAAACUGUGGACAACAACCACCAAUAGUGUAGCACGUGGUUAAAUUGCUGAAACACUCCAGCAAAUCUAAGGUGGUAAACAAAUGGAUACUUCUGACCCGCAAGAGUUUAAACUGUGAACGGUAGGAACUACGUGUGACUUGAUUCCCUUUUGGGAUAUGUAGGCAGCUUAGAGGACAAUUUCUAAGUUCAGUUACAAUCAUAUAAAACUAAAUCCUUUGUCCGGAUGAUUCUUUUGUUGCAAAAAAAAAAAAAAAACGGUUCUCUUUAGGACAUUUCAAGUUAUUUUGUGACAUAUACUUGAAAGUGUAUUAUUCAGAUUACCAAAUUAUUUGGAUAAUUAUCUUUUUAAGUGUGAUCAAAAUUAUACAAAGAUGAAAUUGUUCAUACUACGGUUGAUAGUCUGAAAUGGUGGCUAUCGAAAAAGUAGGUAAAGACGAGGACGUCUGCAAGAAUGUGAUGAAAAGGAAAAAAAUCAAGUUUCAUUAUAAAGUGCUUGUGCUCAUAGCUACACGCUUUAAGCAAUUAACAAAAGAUGAAAUUUGAAAUAAAGUAAAAGAUUACAACUAUUUCUUGAAUUCAAAUGACGACAGCUCCUUUCGGUUGUUUUCAAGUAGUGCUUGUAUCUUGUCCAAAGUUUAACUCUCCUCAGCAAGUAGGGACGGGAAAUUCUCAAUCUUUCGAACUUCAUUUUGUAACUCGAUCAUCACGCCUUGCACUCGGGUAAGCUCAUUUUGCUCUUCUCGUAGCAGUGAAAGCUUCUCUUUUCUGUGAGUAUCCAAGAAUUCAAGUCGUUUUCUCAACUCUACUUUCUCGCGAUCAAUCUCCUUAACUUUCAACAUGUGCGUUGAGAUCUUUUCCGUUUGUUGUUUCUCCUUACUCUGAGCAUUUCUAAGAUGUUGGGUGGCCGUAGAGAGCAACUCAUCUAUGAUUCAGCUGAAAUUUUAUUUGAGAGAGAAGAUUUCACUGCGACGUAACGAGCUGCAUUUGCAAAGAAAGCCUUCAAAAGGCCUUGCAAAUUUGAAAUAUCCGUGGCAUUGAAACUUUGCAUUUCCUCCAUGAUUUCGCUUGCUUUCAUUUCAAGAGUAGGUAUGCGCUCCAAGGUUGUUUGAGAUAUCAUCACCCUCAAAUUAUUCCACAACAUUUGGAUAUAGUCUCGACGGCAUGUUGAGAUCACACUUUGGGGGCAAAAUUCAGACACUUGAGGUGCCCUUGGCCAUGAUGGUGGAUCGAAAACUUUGAGUUUCUUCUUGGCCGAUGGAGUCAUAUGGUCCGCCUUCUGUGGCGUGAUUUGCUGAAUCAUAUUUCCAUCCUCUACUGUCUUUUUGAAAUUCUCACUAGCACCCAUUUGUUGGGUAGAACUGACCACUUGUUUGGCCAAAAUUUCAAAUGCAGUAGGUCCCUCAACUGAUGCUUGGCUUGGUUCUCCAUCAUCAAUGAAGAUCAAAUCUUGAUCAUCCAACUGUAGGGAAAAUGUUAUGAGACAAAUCAUGAAUAUGAAAUUGACAAGCAAAUUUCAAAUGCUAAAUUAAAGAAGGCAAGGAAGGUCUUUAUAAUAUUGGCACGGCUUAUACCAGGCACAGAUAUAUCCGGAAUGUCUUUAAAGAGUUGUUUAGGAUCUAAACCAAUAUCAUCCAAAGGGAGAGUCAUUACCUUGGACUUCUUGCGCUUCCAAUGCUGGUCCGUGCUAGUGGAUUGCUUAUCCUCCUCAUCAAAAAGCUCACUCCUCUUCCUCUCAUGUGAAUUGCAAGUAUCAUGAUCAAUAGCCUUCGCAAUUUUUGAAGGAAGAUGAAAUGAAGUACCCUUUGAAAAUUGUUCAUCAGGAGUAAGGUCCUCAGGGGUAGCAACCUUGUUGUUUGAACUCUUCAAAAUUUCCUUCUCGUUUCUCACAGUCUUUUGCUUCAUCUCAAGACUAUUGCCAACCUUGGAAGGAUUGUUCAGGUUUACAAGUUCCUUCCAUUUUGACUUCUUCUGCUCCCCAUUUGAUUGGACACUCUUAAUCAAAGCAUCACGUCCUUUGAGGAGAUGAUUAUCAUGUACCAUAGACCACCAUGUUUGAAAGCCUGAAGAUGUGUGCUUGCUAGCAUUCAAGGGAUAGUUAGGAAAAAGUACCUUUGACUCUGUUUUACUGCGGAUGGCAGUGCGCCAGAGUAUUCGACUCAAGUCAUAAUUUGUGGAACGAACAUCUGCCCCGAGUUCCUGUGGAGGAACUUGAUAAAACCCGAAUUGCCGCGCGAACCUAUAUGGACUAUAUGGCUCAACAAGGAAAUUCCUUUCAGCAUGCAAAACUAAGUAAUUUGAGCAGGCGCUUACAAAAUAACUUAGUUCGAGAUUCGCUAAUUUGUCAUUAUCAAUAAAAAGUUCGUUGCGGUUCUUCACAAGAGAAGUGAUUCCCCAAGUUGUUUUGUCUCCCUGAUGAAAGAGGUCGCGGGCACUAUUUUCAUCAAAAUAUCGUGCGCCACCCUCUCCAGAAUAGUUGGUCAUGGUGGGUCCAGGCAUGGUAUUUGGAGUCUAAUAAUGGGUAGAGAAAUAACUCGCUAACCAAGCAUAUAUGUAGUGCACCGAAAAAACCGCACGUGCACACCCUAGGGUAGCUGAGUUUGAAAUUUUAUCAAGCCCACGGUAUAUGUUUAGCAGGACAGGAACAACAAGGCAAGUCUUACGACCGGCAGCCAUCAUACUAGCCAUCUUGAAAGUAGAUGGUCUAAUAUAAUGGAGGUACUCAUCUGGUAAAGCAAAGACACAGAGCCAGCAAGAUAUAAAUGCUGCAAGAUAGGUCUCUUCCCGCAAGUGAAGUUUAACUCCAAUGGUAUCAAAUACGCCAUUGUCUUGACUUGAAAAUUUGCGUGGUUGUCCAAUUUCGCCAUCCGAAUUUUGGAUCGCUUGAGCAUGAGAUGCCCUCUUUAUCCUUCUCUGCUUUGGCUUCGAGUACCUGGUUUUGCCUUUAAACCAGAAGUUAAUCCAUUGAGCAGCAGAGACUCCAGCUUUGUUGGAUUCCCCAUAUUGAAGAUGAUGUAAGGCUGCGAACAAAUACUCACAACUUUGUGGAAUAUGCCUUAAUUUUUUUUCAUUAACUCCAGUUAACUCCUCCGUGCAUGGGAUCACCUCUUUAUAGAUACCCCCGAUGAUUGGAAGUCCUCCUAACUUGUGCAAGUCCCAAAGUGAGAGAGACAGUUCCCCAACAGAUGUAUGCAAGGUAUUAGUGUCCGGACACCAUGCCUCGCAGAAUGCCCUAAGUACAUGGGGAUUCCUAUCGUAUGUGAAAAGCGAAGCAUAUAAGGCGUCAAACAGGCAAUUUUCGCUGAACACUUGUUUACUCCUGCCGAGAAUAUCCUCCAACCACUCCCAGUAAUUCUCGAUGUAACUGAAUGCACCACUGAGUCUCAAGAAAGGACCCCAAUGUGCAUCUCCAUCUAUGAUCCGCCUGCCAAGGAUUUGAAAAGGAGUUGUCCUUGGCUCCUUAUCGUGGAUAAGGGAUUUCAAGGAGUGAACCUUCGCGCCAUCAUCUUGAGGAAGUUCGAGUGACCAAUCCUUCAACUUUGGGUACUGGUGAGAAGGCCACUUACCCGAGUAACUUCCUUGUAUAGGGGGAUGCACCAAUAAUUUCGUUCCUUUAUCAUCAGAGUCAUCAUGACUAUUGGCGAUAAGGAGGUACCUUUCGUUUGAAAUUGUAACUUCCUUGAAUAUUGCCAUUUCGUCAAGGCUAUCCUGCAUAAAAAAAAGGGUUACAAUGGCGCGACCAAAGACAGUAAGUGGAGUACUAAGUCGUUAGCAUAAGAUAAAUAAAGAGAUUUCUAGAGCAUUGGUAAGCUCUUAUUGAGGUGGACAUUUAUGCCUCCUUUAUAUACUCCUCAAGCCAUGAUAUGGCUCUCGUGGGAGUUUGCGGUUGCGCCUUCUUCAAAUUCUGGUCACGCCUCCCUCAUGUACUCCUCAAGCCAUGAUAUGGCUCUCGUGGGAGUUUGCGGUUGCACCUUCUUCAAAUUGAGUGUCCACCACUCCUUCAGGUACUCCUCAAGCCAUGAUAUGGCUCUCGUGGGAGUUUGCGGUUGCGCCAUCUUCUUUGUAUUCCUCAAGCCAUUAUGGGCUCUCGUGGGAGUUUGCGGUUGCACCUUCUUCAAAGUGAGGGUCCACCGUGUAUGUUGUCGCAAGGGAUCCUCCUUUCAUAUCACAAAAAAAAUUGGCAUUGACAAAAAGUGAAAAUCAUGAGGCCUGUGAGUUACCUUAGUGUUUUGAAUUCCACGAGCUAUAAAGUGUCAACUCGCUUCAAUGGGUGUCAAUACAAGUUGCAACCAAAAAAAAAAAAAGACUCAUAAGAAGGAUGCAUUUCCAAGAAAGUCGCAAUGCAUGUGUUGGUGAGCACUUUAUGUCAGUUAUCAAUUAAAUUGACAUAAAAAAAAUAAUUCAAAAAAAAAAACUCAAAAAAAAAUAUUUUUUUUCUUUUUCUCUUUCCAAGGUGGAAGUAAAUCAAGUUUUAACAGAUCACAAUGAAAUUUGGCGGACAUCUGUUACUCGACCAACAUGUGGUUGUCAAAAGGCAGUAAAGAUGAUUACCUUCAGGGUGCACGUGUGAAACAGGUUUCUUCCUCAAAUAUUGUGGUAGUUUUCAGUAAAGAUGUUUGUCACAGCUUCAAGACAAAAGCAUGUCUUGUGCGACUUUUAUAAGGUGCUUGGAUGAAUCGUUUUAAGAAGUUUUAAAUUUUGGGCAGCUACUAAAUUCAGUGAUUACCAUUUAAUUUUUUGGAAUCACAUGAAUUUGGUUCCUAAGAUUAACUUCAAAAGCUGAAAGUCGGUUUAGGAAGCUCUUGAAAUUCGGCAGUCAGAGGUGCUUGGAUGAAUCAUUUUAAGAAGUAUUAAAUUUCGGGCAGCUACUAAAUUUAGUGAUUACCAUUUAACUUUUUGGAAUCACAUGAAUUUGGUUCCUAAAAUCAAUUUCAAAAACUGGAAGUCAGUUUAGGAAGCUAUCGAAAUUCGAGAAAUUCCAUAUUGUCAAGACAUUGGUUUCGGCAAUUACCUAUUCAUUGUAUGGAGUAAAGCUGCAACUCCAUAUGGAAGAGGAAGGCACAGGUCUGUUUGCAAGGAGAGAAUACUAUAUUAAUGCCUGGUGUUUUAGAAACUUGGAGUAUUUGGCUAUUGCUAUGAUUUCUCGGUUAUUACUACUUCCAAAAGUUGCUCGCAUGAACUUUAGGAAGCAAUGACGUUUUGGUAAUUGCAAGGUCAAGGUAAAUUGGUUAUUUCCAAAGUUGCUUGGCUGCCUGUCGCGCCCCAUUUUUACAAGAAAAAUAAAUAAAUUGGUUGAAAAGUGAAUUUUUAUUUGAAAGAUGAAUUUUGAUUUACAAAGAAAAUGAAGAAAAAUAUGGGUCUAAAUGGGACUUGAAAAUGCAACGAUUUGACCCAAAAUACAGUUUAAAAAGGGUUUUUUGAAAUAAAAAUCGGAGUCGCCACUUGGUAUAGAGUUAAGGUGUACCAAGUCACUUAAAAAUAAAUUUUUUAAAGGAAAAGGUAAAAAGAAACCUCUUUUAAACAACUCCUAGUCUACGUAAACCAACGAAAAAGGUUCGGGAGUCGCAUUUGACGAAGGGGAAGGCAAGGAUAAAAAUACAAGGCACCCCUUCGACCUAGCCAAGACUAGUUGCGCGAUUUAGUCAAAGAUUUUCUUGUUUUAACCAAAGCAUUUAUCACAUUUGAAUGUACUAUAUGAAUGCAAACCCUAGACCUAGGGGGACAUCGGGGAGCAAAAUUUCUCUUCAAAGCUUGAAUGGUGCCAAUCACAUUAAUUGUGAUGCCCAAUAGUGACUCUUUGGAGAGGUCACGAAUAAUGCAAAAAAUAUGAGACUCUAAGAAAAGAAAUAAAAUAAUUAUACAAAUAUAUAUGUCUUAAAGGAGUGCAUCAUGUCGGGUACGGGGGACUAAUGUUCGUGACUCAAUUUUUCCUUUAAUAGAGGGAAUACGAGCGUGCUAAGGCUAGAAAAGCCAAACUCGUCCAUAUUCCAUACCCAAGAGACUAUUCCCUAAUCUAAUCAAGCAAAUGAACUAACAUAGUUCUAAUGCUUAUAUGAAGUGCAAGACUAAUGUCAUGUUUCAUACAAAAGAAGCAAGUACUAUACAUAUAAGGGAUAAUAUGGGGAAAGGGGUAUACAUAUAUAAGGAAAAUGUCAUGCAAUAUGGUGAAAGAGGCCCUAAAAAUAAAGAUAUGCAUGAGAUGAAGGCAUGCGAAUGUACUAGCGAGGGACGGUCCUAUUGGAUCUAGCAUUGGACUAGUCCUUCACUAGCGCUCUCUCACAAGCAUUGGACUUGCAAGAGCUCGAGGAAAAUACCAUGACUAGCGUUGGACUAGCCACGGUUUCGUGCAUUUGCAUCCAUCAUACAUAAGUAAAUGUGCAUAAUUAAAGCAAGUAGGCAUGUGAACACGUAAUUCACAUAACACAUAACACAUAAGCAUGCAUAUCUAGAUGCACAUCCUAAGAAAGCGGUAACACAUAGCACAUAGGCAUGCAACACACAUAAGGCAAGUAAAACAAAUAAAGCCCUAACUAUUACAUUCGGGGGGAAAAGCCUACUACAAUCUAAGAGAGAAGGAAUUAAAUGAAAUGAUAUAAUAGCCUAACUAUUACAAUUGUGGCAUUCAAGUGCCUCCCAAAUAAUCAAAAUGAACUAAAAUAAAUAUACGAAAUUAAGACAAGUAAAGCGAAUAAAUAAAUAAAUAAAAUGAAAACAUUCACAAAAGACAUGCAAUUAACACAUAAAUCACAUAAGUACACAUAGGGUCGAAUAAAGUAAAAAUAAGGGAUAGAGUGUACCUCCCUUGAGUUGGCCCUAAUGGAGUGAAAUUACUUUUACCCUCCAAAAUAAAAGAAAGGGUCAAGGCAUCGCUUUAAUUAACAAAACAAUCAUAAAGAUAAAAUGAAUCAUGAAAUUGAAUCAAUUAAAUCAUAUAAACAACCUACAUUUAAGAAGUCAAAAGAAGAAAGGACUUGAUUGCAAAAAUUAACAAAAGCUUUGGGGUCAAAAUUAAAGAAAAAUAAAGUUUAGGGACCUAUUUGCAAUUAAAUCAUGACUUAAUUGAACAAAAUCGAGAAGUUACGCAGACUUUAAUGUGAUUUCACCAAAGGUCAGGGGUCAAUUUGAAAUUAAUUCAGGACCUACUUGCAAGGAAAAACAAAUCAUUCGGGCCGUGAUGAAAUACUUAAAAAGUCAGGGGACUGGAACUACAAGAUCAGACGAAUAAUCAUCUUCUCCAAAACAAUCUAAAUGUUGGCUUCCAUUUCAGCUUCCUUUCACGGACAAAAGCAACAAAAAACUCAACUCUGAUCAUUUCAAAAAGAAAAAUGCAACUAGCACAAAACCAUACAAAGAAACUUGACCAUUCCCAAAUCCAAAUGGAACUCAACUCCUACGAAGGAAAGGAUAACAGGUAGAACAGAAAUGAAAGCAGCAGAGAAACAUCCGAACAUAAACAUCUCUCAAAACUCUUCUUUCUUGCUGCAAAAUCAACAAUCUUCGGUCAGCUUUGGAUUGACCAGAGCCGCAUCUCACACACAGACCCACACAAAAUUCAUCAAUUUUUGCAGCUUUGAUUCAACGUUUUCUAUCAGGCAUUUCUUCAAAUACCAAAUGGGUAUCAAAGACAUCAUCGAUUCUUAGCUCAAUUGGGGUUAUAAUCAACCCCAAAAUUGCCAGAAAUCCAAGGGAAAUCAGCCCCAUCAACAUAUAAGCAUAUGUAUUAAGAAAUUUUAAGCUAAUUAACAGGAAAAUUGCACUAAAUAAUCCCACGGAAAAACCAUUUCAAAACUGGACAAGAACUGAAAUUUAAAAAGGAAAAACCGAUAGCUUACCGUGCUCCUGCUUGGUGAAAUUUCGUAGGGGGUGAUGGUGAAAGCGAGAGACACGACGAUCUCUUCGACGGCAGAUUUGGCAAGGAAAAUGUCACAGCCAGCAGCGGAUUGCUGGAGAGCUUGGAGGAGAGCUCCGUUGGCGGAGAGCAUCGUUGGAGCAGAGGUCCGCUUGGGAUCUCCGUGAAUAAUCUGUCCAUUGUAUCAUUGAUUAGGAAAACUGAAGCUAGACAGCAACCUUAUUAUCAAAAUACUGCCCUUCCGCCUUGCUUUUUCCUCAAUUUUCCCGCAACCUUGUUCUUUUUUGCUUUGUUUUCUUUGCUCUGUUUUCCUUGCCAAAGCUGCCCCCCUUCCUUCUUUCCCCUGUUUUUCCUUUUCCUUUGUUUUUCAGACCAAGCUCUCUCGUUUCUUUCUUUCCCUUACUCUCCCUCUAAGCCCAGCCGCCCUUGUUUUCUUCCUAAACCCUAGCCGUUUUCUUUUUCUGUUUUUCCUUGCCUUUUCCUCUUUUUUUUUUUUAAAUCCUCAACCUACAAGUGUCUCAAUCUCUCCCCCUCCUAAGUGAUGUGUUGUCCAAAUACAAAAGGGACACUUGUCCUAAUGCAUGUUCUCCAUUUGUCUAGCAUGCAAACUUUCACUAAUUUCACACAUUAUUUUGUAUUUUUGUAUUUUUCAUUUUUCCCUUUUUUUGAAAUUUAGUAUGAAGACAAAAAUAAUAUAAUAAAAUGAAUUAGAACAAAAUAAAAUAAAAUAAAAACACUAGAAUUGAAACAAAUAAAGCAAAGUUAAAAAAAUCAAAAAUUUGGUGUCUACACUGCCAUUGUUCUUGUAAGUCGCACCAAUGGACCUUGAGUAUAUUUUGGACAAUGCAAUUGGUUUUGGCAAUUGCCAAACCACCGAGGUGAUGCAAUCUCCAUUUUAGUAGUUUUGGUUCAAAUUCCAAAGCAACUAUGGUUAAAAUACUAAGAAGUUUGUGCAUGUGACCGUUUGUGGCAAUUGCAAUGCUAAGCUUCCUACUGAUGCUCCAUUCAAGAUUUGGCAACUUAAAUACUGGAUUUGGUGUCAAUGGGAAUCCGAGUUGCUGAAUAAUAAAAAAAAAAGAAGAAAUCAAGGUUAACUUCAAGCCUCGUUUUGGCAAUUGUCAAGCAAUGCCACACCAAGUCUUGAAGUAGGGGCAUUUGUAGACAAAGAAAUUUUAUUUAAUUUAUUUAGUCAAGAUUUAUUUAAAUUAAAUUGAUCUUGAUUAAAUUAAGUUAAAUGAUAAAAGUUCAUUAUGUUUUGAACUUGCAAAUUGGGCCAGUAUUAUAUGGGCUAUUAAAUCAAAUUAAAUUUGUAAUGCCCAUUUAAGUUGAAGUGAAUUAAUUGAUUUAUUAAUUCACAAUGGACUAUUUGGGUUGACCCAUUAUUUAAGCCCAGGUUAAAUGGAUUUCUUGAGUAACAAGUGAUCCAAAAUGCAGGAAGAUUCUAAGAGUUUUCUUCAAGACCUAGCCUACAUAUUUUGGCUAUAAAUAGAGGUCUUCCCUCAAGGCAAAUACAUGAAAAAAAUCCCGAACAUUCGGAGAAACUCUGUCAAAUUCUCUCAAGAGCUUUCUUCCUCAAAUCCAAGUCCAAGUCAAGUCAAACAAAUCCUCCUGCUAUCGGUGUUGAAGACUUGAAGUUCCAAGUGUUUGACGCCGUCAUCAAAUCAAUCGUUUUCUACGCCGAAAUUGUAGGAAACACCCGUUCGAUUGAAGAACAAGUCUUUUCGACCCUUCAAUUGAAGCUAUUCGAAGAAAAGAAUCAGGGGAUUAAAUUCUUUGAUUUAAGAAUUUUCAGAGAUUGAAACCCGCUUGUUAUUUGAUUUAAUAAAUUUGAUAUUUGUGCAAGUUUUCUUGUCUUUUAUUUCAGGCAACAAAAUUUGUGCUUACAGUGGUUUUAUCUUGAUUGAAUAAAUAACAAGAUGGCUUGCUUUAAGAGCAGAACUUCAGAAAUCUAUUCAUGCUUCUGCCUAUUGUUCGAGCUAUGGGUACGGAGAUCCUCCUCCCAUUGCUUGGUUGGAGACUCAGGGUAUGUUUGGUAAGACCUAAGAAUGACAAUUCUAAUUCCAUAAUUUCACCUCCUAUUCGGGUUUGUAUGCGGAUCCUAAGUGGAUUAAAUCAGUAAAACGGGUCUCUAUAUAAUCCACAAAAAAAAAAAUGAAAAUGAAAGUCCUCUCUCUCUCUCUCUUGUCACAAACCAACCAUCGCUUCUUUUGCAGCUCUUUCUCCUCCACAUCUUCCUUCUCCGCCUCCUCCCAUAUAUCCUCCUCUGCCUCCACCUAUACUUCCGUCGCUGACACUUCGUCUCUCCUCUUACUCAUCUUCCUCCUCUGCCUCUUCCCAGCAUUGAACAUCUACUCUCAUUUACGCAUUUUAAGAGUGAAAUUAUAGGGUUUCUUUCUGUAAAUUGGCUAAAAUCCAGUGAAUCCAAUAGCUGUAGCUAAAGAUGACCGCCAGAGAUAGCCUUCUCAGCACGACAUGUGUUGUAAAAUAUAUAGUAUUUCAAAAAUAUUAUUUAUCCCACAUCGAAAAAUGAGAAGUAUUGCUUUCUCUGUCCCACAUUGGGAAGUGAGAAAAGUUGCAGUCUUUGUCCCACAUCGGAAGUGAGAAGGGUUGCACCUCAUUCUGAAAUCUGUAAAUAGGAUCCAUUCCCUUCUCAGAAAAUCACCUCAGCAGCUUCAGUUGAUAUCUUUCUGAUAGCUGCUCUAUCUCUCUCUUUCUUUCUCUCUCUCUCUCUCUCUCUCUCUCUCUCUCUUUUAUUUCUGUCAGUUGAUACCUUUCUGACAAUUCUGUUCUCAAUUUCUCUCUCUAUAUCUGCUGAUUUUAAUUUGCUAGUUCUGGUCCUUCUAAUUUGCAACAAGAAGAAAGCUUGUCUUUCUUGUUUGCAACAAAUAGAAGAAGGCUUGUUUAAUCCUGGGGAGACAUUUCAAUUUCAUGAAAUAGUUUCUUAGGACAGUGCUACGCACGACUCAAGCAAUAGUGUUAAUAUUGUUGUGGCCGUUUCGACAACAAUCUAAGAAACUAUGGCCUCCGACAGUGUUAAUACCACACAACCUUCAUCCACAGUAGCAGUAGUCGCAAUACCAUUUGCUAAGCCUUUUCCGGAUGUCUCCAAAAUUGAAGUUUUUGCCAAUGAAAACUUCAGAAGGUGGCAAGAACGUGUACACUCCCUACUGGACAUUCAUGGAGUGGCUUAUGCACUGACAGAAUCCCAACCUGCUACGACCGUGGAUACUAAGAUACAAGAAUCAUGGCAAUAUGCCAAUACGGUAUGUCAUCAUACUAUUUUACAAACACUCUCAAAUGAAUUAUUUGACGUGUAUUGUAGUUGCAAGCAAGCCAAGACAAUUUGGGAAGCUUUGGUAACAAAGUUUACCGCCGAAGAUGCAACCAAACAAAAGUUCAUCGUAGGAAAGUACAAUCAGUGGUAGAUAACUGACGACAAAGAAAUGAAAAUCCAAAUCACAGAAUACCAAAUGCUACUCGAGAACUUGAAAAAUGAAGACAUCAAGCUGCCUGAGAAAUUUGCUGUAGGCAUGCUAAUUGAAAAACUGCCUGAGUCAUGGGGCGACUACAAAAAUAACUUGAAGCACAAGGAGGAAAAUUACACCAUUGAUGAGCUCGUAAAACACAUCAUGAUUGAAGAUUCAAAUAGGAAGGAGUUAAGAGCUGCCAAAGCAAAAGAAAUGAGCUUCAAAGCUAAUCUGGUCCAAAACAACAACAAAAGGUACGCCAAUAAGUCCCAGUAUGAUAGACCAAAAAAUCUCAACUACAAGUCCAAUAUCCCCAACUUUAAGAAAAAGAAAGGCAAUUGCUAUUAUUGUGGAAAACCAGGACAUUAUGCUACCCAGUGUAGAUACAACAAGGGUGACAAAGCAAAUGCCAAUCCUCCUAAGGUUAAUUUAACCGAAGGAGAUGAAAUAAUUGCUGCAGUCAUCGCUCAAGUGAACAUUGCAGCCAAUGUGAAAGAAUGGGUGGUAGACUAUGGGGCUACUCAGCACAUAUGUGCAAAUCGAGAAGCUUUUUCCUCCUAUACUCCAAUAGACGAUGAUGAAGAAGUAGUCUACCUUGGAGACUCACGAACUGCUAAAGUUCUGGGUAAGGGCAAAGUGCUCUUGAAACUUACUUCAGGAAAAACUUUGGCUCUUAUUGAUGUGCUGCAUGUGCCAAACAUUCGGGCAAAUCUGAUUUCUGUAGCAUUGCUAGGAAAAGUUGGGGUGAAAGUGUCAUUCGAAUCUGAUAAGAUCGUAAUGAAAAAAAAUAAUAUAUUUGUGGGGAAAGGCUAUUGUAACCAGGGACUCUUUGUACUUAACAUUUCAAAUGUACUUAAUAAGAAUGCUUCUUCUUCUACUUAUAUUGCUGAUUCAAUUUCUUUAUGGCAUGCUAGAUUAGGACAUGUUAAUGCAAGUUAUAUAAAGAAAAUGCAAUCUAGUGGCCUAAUUUCUGGUAUUAAUGAUAAAAUGGACAAAUGUGAAAUAUGUGCAGAAACCAAAAUAACAAAGAAAAGUUGUGUAAGUGUUCAAAGAGAAACUGAAUUAUUAAGUUUAAUUCACACAGACUUAGGUGAUUUGAAACAAACUAUGACUAGAGGAGGUAAAAGAUAUUAUGUUACUUUUAUAGAUGAUUACUCUAAAUACACUAAACUUUAUUUACUUAGAAAUAAAGAUAAUGUUUUUUAUCCUAUAAGUUUGAAGUAGAAAAUCAACUUAAUAAAAGGAUAAAAAGAAUUAGAUCAGAUAGAUGAGGUGAAUAUUUAGUUUUGGAUAGCUUCUGUGAACAUGAAGGUAUAACACAUGAAGUAACACCACCUUAUUCACCAGAAUCUAAUGAUGUAGCUGAAAGAAAAAAUAGAACAUUAAAAGAAAUGAUGAACUCCAAGUUAAUUAGUUCUCAUGCUCCUGAUAAUUUGUGGGGGGAAGCUAUUUUAUCUGCUUGUCAUUUACAAAAUAGAAUUCCACAUAAAAGAACUGGCAACACACCUUAUGAGUUAUGAAAAAAUUAUAAACCUAAUUUGAAAUACCUAAAAGUGUGGGGGUGUUUAGCUAAAGUAUUAUUGCCUGAACCUAAGAAAAGAAGAUUAGGUUCUAAAACUUCUGAUUGUAUGUUUAUUGGAUAUGCGGAACAUAGUGCUGCAUAUAGAUUUCUUGUUUUAAGAAGUGAUGUACUUGAUUGUAAUACAAUCAUUGAGACAAAAAAUGUUGAAUUUUUUGAACAUAUUUUUUCACUAUUUAAUAAAAUUUCUCAUGCACCUGUUGAAAUAAAUAAAGAAACAACCUCUAAUGAGGAGUUGAGAAGGAGUAAAAGGCCAAGAAAAGAAUUUUCUUAUGGAAAUGAUUUUCAAACAUUUCUUGUUGAUAAUGAUCCUUUAACUUAUUUUAAUGCUAUUUCUUCUUCUGAUAGCAAAUUUUGGAAAGAAGCAAUAAAAACUGAAAUUGACUUUAUUAUGAAAAAUAAAACUUGAAUUUUGGUAGAUUUAUCGCCUAGUACAAAACCUAUUGGUUCCAAAUGGAUUUUCAAAAGAAAAUAUAAUCCUGAUGGCUCUAUUGAUAAAUACAAAGCUCAUUUAGUAGCUAAGGGAUUUUCUCAAAAGCGAAAUAUUGAUUAUUUUGACACAUUUGCACCAGUAACAAGAAUUGCCUCUAUUCGGAUUUUAUUUGCUCUGGCUUCUAUUCAUAAACUUUUUAUUCAUCAAAUGGAUGUCAAAACAGUCUUUUUAAAUGGUGAUUUAGACGAAAAAAUUUAUAUGAUCCAAACUGAGGGAUGUAUCAUUUCUGGACAAGAAAAUAAGGUUUGUAAAUUAACUAAAUCUCUUUAUGGCCUAAAACAAGCUCCUAAACAGUGGCAUGAGAAAUUUGAUCAAGUAUUGAUUAAAGACGGAUUUUCGUCUGUAGAAGUGGACAAAUGUGUAUACGUUAAAAUUGUCAAUGAUCAAUAUGUGAUAAUCAGUUUGUAUGUGGAUGACAUGCUUAUAUUUGGUACUAGUCUAAAUAUUGUUAAUAGUACUAAAGAAUUUUUGUUUUCCAAUUUUGAUAUGAAAUAUAUGGGUGAAGUUAAAAUGAUAUUGAGUGUUAAAAUCAUAAGGAGAGAUGAUAGUAUAAUGUUGUCACAAGAACAUUAUACAGAGAGACUUCUUAAGAAGUUUGAAAUUAUGAUGUGACACCUAUAAGCACUUUCUAUGAUGCUAACACUCAAUUAAAGAAAAAUAAUGGUAACCCAAUUGCUCAGUCGAAAUAUGCUCAGAUUAUUGGGAGUCUGAUGCAUUUAAUGAAUUUUACAAGACCAGAUAUAGCCUAUGCUGUAUGUAGACUGAGUAGAUAUACUCAUAAUCCCAAUCGUGAGCAUUGGUUUGCAUUGAUCAGACUAAUGAAAUAUUUGAGAGGUACCAUAAAUUAUGGUAUUUUAUAUUGUGGAUUUCCCACUGUACUAAAGGAUACAGUGAUGCUAAUUGGGUCUCUGAUUCAAAUGAUACAAAAUUCACUAGUGGUUAUGUGUUCACCCUUGGUGGUGGUGCAGUAGCAUGGAAGUCAGCCAAGCAGACAGUCAUUGCUAGGUCAACUAUGGAGUCCGAAUUUAUAGCUCUGGAGUUGACUGGUUCUGAGGCUGAUUGGUUAAGGAAUUUCUUAGCCAAUAUUCCUUUAAAUAAGGAUCUGUUGCCUCCCGUGUCGAUACAUAGUGAUUGUCAAGCGGCUAUUGCUAUUACUAAAAAUAAAUCGUAUAAUUGUAAAAGUCAACACAUGAAAUUGAGACAUGAUGUCGUAAAGCAGUUGCUUAGAGAUGGAAUUAUUUUCAUUGAUUAUGUGAAGUCAGAGUUGAAUUUGGCCGAUCCUCUGACUAAACCCGUAGGAAGAAAAUUGAUUCUUCAAACUUCAAAAGAUAUGGGACUUCGACCAACAAAUUGUCAAUAGAGAUGGUAACCCAACCUAUGUGAUUGGUGAUCCUAUGAAGUAGGUUCAUAUGGGUAAUAACAAGUCAAUAUUGACCGUAACACACUUCAAAUUUAAGUCCCUCCGGAAAUAAGUGCUUUGAGUAAUUGAGGAUGAGUUAAAACUCUUAAUAAAUUCAUAACUUAUUAGGGAGCUAUAUUUAAAGGAGUAUACACUUGAUGAAUUCACCUAUAUGAGAGUGGAGUGGGACCGUUCCUAUAAGAUUCAUUGAUCAAAUUUUUAGAGCUCUCAUGAAAUAACCAGGCAGACGCACGGCCUAAAAGUGCAAAACCGCAUUAACAGCAAAUUAUGGGUUGCAAUGUGAUUGAUAAAAUCUCUGUCAUACAUCAAGAGUUUUUGGUUCAUAGAAAUUUAUAUUUCACCAAUAAUUCUGUAGAUCAUGUUUUAUCAAUCUAUGUUUGGUUCAUAGUCCAAAAGACACCAAUCUAAUAACAUUUCAACCAAAUCAAGCAGAGUACUUUUAAAAUUCUUCCUUUAUCCAAAGAAUUUUUUUGAAAUAGGAAGGAGAUUGUUGUAAAAUAUAUAGUAUUUCAAAAAUAUUCUUUGUCCCACAUCGAAAAAUGAGAAGUAUUGCUUUCUCUGUCCCAUAUUGGGAAGUGAGAAGAGUUGCAGUCUUUGUCCUACAUUGGAAGUGAGAAGGGUUGCACCUCAUUCUGAAAUCUAUAAAUAGGAUCCAUCAUCUUAUCAGAAAAUCACCCCAGCAGCUUCAGUUGAUAUCUUUCUGAUAGCUGCUCUCUCUCUCUUUUAUUUCUAUCAGUUGAUACCUUUCUGACAAUUCUAUUCUCAUCUUCUCUCUAUAUCUGCUGGUUUUAAUUUGCUAGUUCUGGUCCUUCUAGUUUGCAACAAGAAGAAAGCUUGUCUUUCUUGUUCGCAACAAAUAGAAGAAAGCUUGUUUAAUCCUGGGGAGACAUUUCAAUUUCAUGAAAUAGUUUCUUAGGACAGUACUACGCACGACUCAAGCAAUAGUGUUAACAUUGUUGUGGCCGUUUCGACAACAACAUGUUGUGGGCAUCCCUUGUACAUGGAUUCUCCAUUAUUGGCCUUAUCGAUUUGAGGGUAAUUUCUUGUUAUUGACGCACUAUACCUUGUGCUCAAAUAUUUGUAUUUUUUUGCUUUCUUUUGAAAAUGGAAUGGUAUAUUUGUGGCAUUAAUUUAAAUAUUAAUCAAUUCCCUAGUUGAUUUCCAUCGUUAGUCCAAUCCUAGUCCAUCUGACUUGUAUUCCUUUGUAGUUUUUGCAGUGUUAGCUUGUGUUGUUUAGAGUUUGACGAACCUUUGUCAUAUAAUUGGAGAAUCUGUUUUCUAACUGUAAUUGGGGCUUUAAAACUUUACUUUUGUCUAUCAGACUCUAUUUAAGUUUGCCCUAAUUAAGUUCUUUCUGUUCGUCCAGUUAGUAGUUUGGUUAAUUGUUUAACUCCCAUUAAUUCCUUUUUGUUAGUCUAAUUAUUAGUUUGGUUAAUUUCAUAUAAUAUCCAAUAGGAUUUACUUGUCUAAUUAUGUAAUAGUAGCUGAUUCUAGUUUCAUUAGCUUGGGUAAAAAGGGAUGCAGUGUUUCAUAGUUCCUAAUCGUUGGUUCAACUUGUGAGGUAAGGUAAGUACACUGUUCAAAAAGAGAUAUUAGCCAACUGUAUGGCAUUUUUUGAAGGAAGGUGCAAUAAACUGAUAUGGGCGGCAGCGCUUACUAAUUAAGUGCUGGGUAAUUGUUUGCUUGUCUUCAAUUUAUAGAGCACUUUAUCUUGUUGCCUUGUUGUUUCUUUUCUUAAAGGAAAACUUGCUGUCAGGUCAGGGCCUGAAAAAUCUUUUAUGUAUGGUGUCAGGGCUGCUAACUUCUUGUCAAUGGACAUGGAUUGUGAUGAAUGUGUGUUUUGGACUAUUUAAUGCCGCCAUAAAUUCUCACACACACUCUCUCUUAACGUACAUUUAAAUGUGUUUGAUUUUUCCUAAUAUGUUACAGGAAGGCUGGUUUAACCUUGUCCUGCGUUUAAGUGAAGUCAGUGCAUUCUUCUUGAUAGCAAAUUUGCGGGCUGACAUGAAGUUGGGCAUGCUUAAAGGCUGAAGAUCGUCACUCCAGUCUUCCUUGUAUCUGUGGUAGAGGGUCUCAAGGUGAAGGUGGUGAAUAGCUGGUGCUAAAGCUGCAUUUAUGCUUUAGAUACAGAGCAUUCGAGGAACUCAGAACUGUCUCUGGUAAAACUGGUUGAAAAGAGACUACUUAGUUGAAUCAGGCAUGUUGGCGGAUCAGAGGGAAAGGGGGUCCAUAACAUCUCUUCUUCCCUUGAUUUCUGUUAUCCUUUGACAUGUUUCUCUAAUUAUUUUUAGGGUUAGGGGGGUAUAUGCGUUUUAGCUAGUUUGGCAUGAUUUGGUCUUUUGACUUACCUUUUCUUAUUGUUGCCAUGAUUUUGAAUUGCAGAAUUUGGAUAUUGACAUGGCUAAGGAAGGAGACGAGCAAAAAGCAAAAAAGAGAAAAGUGGUAGUUGCAAAUUAUAUGGUAUUAGCAACAUUAGUAGUUUGGUGGCAUGAGAAACAUAUAGUAAAGGAGGCUUAUUUUGACUUUAAAGUAGCACGUGAAAUAUAUCUAAGGCGUCUUUACUAUAGAAACAAUAGAGUUUGUGUAGAGCAACUUCGACUCAAUAAACAUUGUUUUACUGUUUUAUGUACAAAUUUAAGAGAGCAUUGUGGGUUGAGGGGUACUAGAAAUAUUACUGUUGAAGAAGUAGUUGCAAUGUACAAGGGAUUGGACAUAGUAAAUAAAUUAUUAAAGGCACUAAUUGGCUUUUUCCUUAAAGCUUUAGUAACAAUUAGCUAAAUGUUAAAAAAUUAUUAUAUACUAAAAAAAAGAAAUUUUUUAUGUAAGGAAAUGUUAGUUGGAAACAAUUCUAAUUUUUAAUGAAUUCUUGUCUCAUCCAAACAAAGAAUUUGAAAUUCCAAAUGAAUUCUGUAUCAAUUCUAUGUAUUAUCCAAACAAAAGAAUUCCAAUGUUUUGGAAUUCCAAUUCAUAGAAUUCUAAUUCUAUAGAAUUCCAAUUCCAAUUCAAUUCCAAUUCUGUAGAACCAAACGCACCCUCAAAUUAAUUACAGGGAUAUUGGUGCUAAGGUUUGAAUAUCAGUACUUUUCCUUCCGUUCAAGGCAAUCUGCUGAUUGUUUGCUAAGCAAAUUAUUCCCUCCAAAGAUGAAUUGAAGAGAAAAAGAUAUCUUGUAUCAAUUGAAAAUAAAAUUGGGUUCCACAAUUUUCAAAAAGUUUGGACGUCAUUUUAGCAAAUUUUGAAAAUGCCAAUUUUGAUCAGCCAACAAAGUUCAAAGUUUUGCUAGCAUUUUUAAUUCCCUUUUUCAAGCCCAAAACGUCGUUGUUUUGCUGACACAAUUUAGUUGCUUGUGUGGCUUCAUCUUGACCGUUGAUAGGUUAACUUUUAAUCUUGGCUAUGAAAUUAUUGCAAAUGGAAAUUGUGAGGUCCCGCUCACUCCGUUACUCAAAGUUUUUCUCUUCUGGGUAGAUGAGCUCUUCCUUUACUGUAGAGGGAUGAUGACUCCAAUUUAUACCAAAUCGAUUUUCAGCGGUGUUGUAUACGGAGAGCUUCCAACAAAAAACUUACCUAUACAAGCGAAGAUUAAACUCAAGCUGCUAUUGUCCCUAACAUUGCCUAGAAUAUUGCACAAAAUUGCUAAGAUUACAAACAACUCUUUUAACAACUUUUGCAAGAAACAAGAGUUUUGUACACCAUCACAUUUCACUCAAGACUAGGGUGACAAAUGAAUUAAGCCACUUAUGAGCGCUUGCAAGUUGGUUAAGUCAAAAUUCAAUUCGAACUUGAUCAAGUUGAUCUCAAGUCAAUCAAGUCGAGCUAUCAAACUCGAGUCAAACGUAGAAAAACUUAAUUCAUUAGCUCACGAGUCAACUCAAAAAAUAUGCAUGUACGUAGAUACGUACGUAUGUAUGUAUGUAUGUAUACAUAUAUAUACACAUAUAUAUAUUAUUUUUUAUUUUAAUAGUGAAAUUACAUAUAUGUCACUAAUAUUUUUAUUAUUUAUUAAGAAUAAAUGUCUAUUUUAUUCAUUUUUUAGAAAAAUAAAAUAAUUAUUUUUCAUUUUUUAAAACUCGAGUAGGUUCGAAAUCGAGCUCAACUAGGCUCAAAUUUGAGGCUAAACUCAAACUCGAGUUUUACAUUGAAAACUCAUUGAGUUUAAACUUGAGUUUAAAUUUGGUAAAAUUGAAUCCAACUCGGCUCGAUUAAGCAAAAUCUGGACUCAACUCGACUUGUUUGCAGUCCUAUCAAGACUAUACAAAAUCAGAUCACUAGAAAUAUAAAGGACUUAAGUUUUUAUAAGAACAAUAGUCAUUUGAAUUAACUUUCUGUUGGAUUUUGAGAAGGAAAGAAAUCCUUUUUGCUUAAAAGAAUGUUUUGAAAGAAUGAACACGGACAUCAAACUUGACGCGUAAGGAAAACAUGGAAAGAAAUAUUCUUUAGUAGUAAGAGUAUGUUGAUUUCAAUUGAAAGAAUGAAUAUGGACAUCAAAAUGGAUUAGUGAAAAAUUUUGAAUUCAGAAUCAACAAAUUCUAUUAUGGAUUUGAUGAUGGAAUUAGACUUUAUAUUCGACUACUAAAGAAGUUUAAGAGAAGUGUUAACCUUCACCUAUGGUAAAAGUACUUCUCUCUAGAACCUUUUUCUCCUUCUUUUCUUUAGAACUCUUCCGGUUAAAAUUUCUUUCAUCUCUCCUAUGGGAGAGAAACCAAAUUUGAUCUUUUCCAUGGGAGGGAGCACUCUCUAAUUUUUAGUUUCUCUUGUUGAAUAGAUUAUCUCCUAAGGGCUUUUAGUUGGAGAUUCUUCUCUUCUAAAAUCUCCUAGUGAGAGUUUUUUUCUCUCUUAGUAAGAGUUUUAUUCUCUCCUGGAUUUUCCCUUGUGAGAUUUUUUUUUGUUUUUAUCUUCUCUAUAAAAUUUGAAAUUUUGUAAAUCUAGAAUCCAGUUUCUCAGAUCUAUAAUUUCUCCAUUAUUGUCAAAUCUAAUUUCUCUUUGAAUUUGAACUAGUUUUAAUCAUAUUUGAUUGUCAGAAGACAUGCACAAAUAUAUUGGGUUACAAUAAUUUAUCCGAUUGGAAGAUACGCAGGAACAACAAUGUUAUCUAUAUUUGUAUUGAUUUCUUAGAUCUCUUGUAUCUAUUGAUUUUUGAUCUGUAUGUAUCCGUGUCCUAUUUAUUUGAUGUAUUUUUUGCCAUUAGUGUUGAUUUAUUUAAUAAAAUGAUUUUUUAUAUCAGAAAAAAAUGAAGUUCGAGAGAAAUAUGGAUUUUGUGGUUGAUUAAUUGAAAACAGAUAUUAUAUUAAGUUAAAGAAUGAAUCCAGGCACAAUGAAUGUUUUUAGGCAUCAAUUUGAAUUUAAAAUCAAUUAAUAAAAAUCCUAGAAAAGGAUUCCAUGUCAAAUAUGGAUUUAACUCCAAAAAGUGAGGAAUUAAUUUUGAAAGAAAUCAAUCAAAUUCUUUUCAAAAAAAAAUAAUACCUAUUUUUAAUUGUUUAGAAAAUGAUUGACUGACUUGGAAAAAUUAGAAAAUAUCUUCCACACAUCAUGAAACAUGUAGAAAGUUAAUUUUGACAGCAAGGCAUAAUUUUUUUCAAAAACUUUCAAAAAUAAAUUGAAGAGUGAUCUUGUUAUUGCCUGAUAGGCUAACCUAAAGAUCAGACGAUGACUGAGAGAUCAAUGUUAUCUCAACAAUUAAAUAUAGAUUUAAAGCUAGACUGUUAUAUGCUCUUUGGUAUAAAUUAAUCUUGUAUAUCAAAUCAAUUAUGCUAAGAACUUCUACUGAGAUCUUAUUGCCCAAUGAUACCACUCUUACUCAUGAGAGACGGCAAGACGUUCUUUUUUUACUGUGCAUAGUUUUUUUAUUUAUAUGCUCAAUGAUACAAUACUCUUACACAUAUACCUGACCUGUGCAAUUUUUUACUUCUCCUGCCGGUGACCAAGAAUGAAGCUAACCACCAAGGUCAUAGAGUAAAUUCUCAUGGUCUCUCAUGGUCAUCAUAAGCAAUUAGUAUUCCUUUUUUCCUUGUACAUUAUCUUUUCUACAAAAAGAAAAGAAAAGAAAAGAAAAGUUUUUCUUGUUUCAUUUCUAUAGCCAAGUCAAAGGAAAAAUAUUUAACUCCUAGCCAAGAUCUUCAAUUCUGAUGAUUAAAUUAGUUAGAUGAACUUAUCUCUAGCUUUCUUUUUUUUUUUCAGUUCGAUGUUCAAUUAGUUAGAUUAAAAUAUUUUUUGUUAGAUUAAAUUAGUUAGAUGUUUAAUUCUGACGAUUACUGAUUUUUACAUAACAUUGAGUAACCGGAAAAAUGCCAUCAAGCUUGUCAAGACAUAACUAAUAAAAGAAUGCAUCGUCCCCGUGGGUAAUUGUAAUCAAAGAAUGCCAACAUUAAUGAUAUUUUGCUUCCAAAAAUUCUAAACAGCAUAAUCUUCCCUUCUUUUCUCUUCUUGUUGUUUCUCUACUUACAUUUUCUCAUUUUUUGUUUUCUAUACUAAACUCCCAACUAGCCGCAAGUCUUCCUUAUUUCACCAAUAAGCCGUUACCCAUUGCCCACCUAACCACCUGGGCUCUUCUUCUUCUUUUUUUUUACCAGAAUGAAAAUGGGGUUAAAUCCACACCCUCAUAACCUAAAUCGACAUCCUUUGUAAUCGAGUUGAUCAAAAUUGUUGGAUCUUUAAUCCAACAUUGGACUUAUAUGUGAAUGAUUAUGUGUUGCAAAUUGUCAAUUAAGGUUAAUCCCAAUUAAAGUGAUCAAAUAUAGUUUGGGCUUAAUGUGUCUAAUAGGGUGUGGGCCUUUAAUGUGUAGAGACUUAAGGGCUCCUAUUUCUAUGAUGGGCUGAAAUAGGGUUCCAAAGGGUAACAGGAAUGUUACCUAUAAAUAGGGUUAUGGUCCCCAGGUCACAGGUAUCGUUUUAGUUAUCGUAUUUCCUAAAUACCACAAUAUAGCUCUUCUCUGAUAUCCCAUCGUCAGGAAAGAUAUCAGAGAGAAACUAAAGGUCUCUCUCAAAGGAUCGGUGAAUACCUGUUGACCUGGAAGGCCACCCCAAAAUCUCUAGGGAUUCAAGUAUCAAGUUUAUCAAUAUGGAUUCAGGUACGCUUCCUCUAUUUUACAGUUAAUGUAUUUCUUAAUAAUCGCCAUAUAGAUCUUGGGUUUAAAGGUGAUGGUUUUCACUAGUGGUUAAAUUUAGAUAACCACCCUAACAAGUGGUAUCAGAGCCCAUGUGGUUGAUUAUUAGGAAAUAAUUUGGAUUUAGUAAUUUAUAGUAAAUUUGCACGGCUGAUUUAGUAACUUGCAAGCCUUGGUUGCUGAUGGCUUUAUAAUUGCAUGCCUUUUGUUUUCGGCCUCUGCCUCACAAAAAGAAAAAAAAAAGGGAUUCAUGGUGCUUUUGGUCUUCGGCCAAUUGAUUUCGUGUGACUAUACAUGCUUAUGUUUGGUGGGUCAAUUGGUCUUCGGUCAGAACUAUGAAUCCAGGUUUCGUGUGACUAUACAUGCUAUUGGUUCAUUGUUUUGGUUUCAUGAAAUUCAAGUGGGAUCCGCAUGCUUUGAUGAUGUAAGCUAACUUGUCUCCGGCUUCGGGAUGUCAUUCGUCCUUUUCCUCACUUUGAAGAUUAAAUUUAAACUUGUUUCUUCGUUUAAGAGCCAAUAUGUAUAUUUAUUUAUGUAAAAGAAAUUAGGGUUUAUUUAAUUUAAGUAAACCCUAAUAAAGUUAAAUAGGACAUUUAAGCCCUAUAAAAUCCAUAUGUGUGGCCCAUUAAAUAUGUAGUUUUUAUAAAGUACUUAUGGAUUUCAAGAAAAUUUUUGAGUUUGAAUGUUAAUUUUGGGUCAAAUUAUGGAUAUGGACCUUUGGUCCAAUAAGUCAUGAUUUAAUUUGAUUGAUUUGACCAUGUUUGACCACGUUUUGACCAAAGUUGACUUUGAUCAAAAUUUUUAUUUAAUUUGGAUAAUUUUAAAUUUGAAUGUUGGUAUGAUUAUAUAUAUUUUGGAAUAAAUUAAUUGAAAUAAUAUGCCACCAAAGUGACCUCUAUUAUGGAAAUUAAUUUAUUUUAAAAUAUAACUAGUUGGGUACUAGUAAUUUUAUGAAUAUUGAUCGGUCCAAAGGAAGGUCAAUAUUUAAUGAAGUUACAUGUGCACUUGUGGUAAUAAAUACGUGAUAAUUAUUUGGAUUUUACAUGUAAUUUAUAAAUUGGCCAAAAGGAAAAUUUAUUUUUGACAUGUUAUUAUUAUCAGUAUUUAUUACUGCACCAAGAUAUCACUUAGAAGUUAAUAUUUUUAUCCAAAGAUAAAAUAUUAAUGAAAUAUCGGUAUCUUGAGAUGGGACUACCAUUAUUUAAAUUUAUUAUUAUUUUGAUUUAUGUGAGCUUAUUUUAAUUAUAUUAUGUUUUCUGUUCAAUUGCGAAUGAUCUUAUAGAUAUUACUUCUAACAUCAAUAAUAUUCCUAUGCUGAAUGGCACAAACUUCAAGUCCUGAAAAGAAAAUCUCUUGAUAGUACUUGGAGUAAUGGGUCUCGACCUUGCGUUAAGGAAUGAUUCCUCCCCACCUCUUACAGAUCAAAGUACCUCUGAUGAAAAGAGAAAUAAUGAGAGGUGGGAGAGAUCAAAUCGCUUGUGUCUGAUGAUCAUUAAAAAGACCGUUCCAAAAGCAUUCAGGGAUACAAUAUCAGAAGCGACUGUAACCGCUAAAGAGUUCCUUCAAGAUAUUGAAAAAAGAUUUGUCAAGAACGAAAACGCAGAAAUUAGUACGCUCUUGACAAACCUAGUUUCAAUGAAAUAUAGUGGUAAAGACAAUAUUAGAGAGUACAUCAUGGAGAUGUCUCACCUUGCUUCAAAAUUGAAUGCAUUAAAAUUGAAACUCUCUGAAGAGUUACUAGUGCAUUUGAUUUUAAUAUCUCUUCCUACACAGUUUAGUCAAUUUAAGGUGAGUUACAACUAUCAAAAGAAAACUUGGUCUCUAAAUGAACUCAUCUCACACUGUGUAGAGGAAUAGGAAAGGUUGAAGCAAGAACAGACAGAAAGUGCCCAUCUGGUGUCAACUACUAAUAAUAAAAGUAAGGAAUUUAAGAGGAAAAAGGAAAAAGGAGCUGCAGGUACAGCGCCACAAAAGAAACAACAAAAGAAAUCAAAUGAUCAAGGAAAGAAUAGUUGUUUCUUCUGUGGAGCUGAAGGGCAUCAAAAGAAGCAUUGCACCAACUAUCACGCUUGGCGUGCUAAGAAAGGUAUGCUUCUUAAUUUGGUUUGUUCUGAGUUUAAUUUAACUUCGAUACCUAGACACACAUGGUGGUUAGAUUCUGGUGCAACAACUCACAUCAGUGUGUCUAUGCAGGGUUGUCUGAAUUGUCGAAAGCCUAAUGAUAAUAAAAGACAUAUCUACGUGGGUGAUGGCAAAACAAUUCAAGUUGAGGCAAUCGGAGUUUUUAGAUUAUUGUUAAAGACCGGAUUUUAUUUGGAUCUCUAUGAGACAUUUGUUGUACCGUCUUUUAGACGGAAUUUAAUUUUUAUUUCUGUUUUGGACAAAUUUGGUUAUUUUUGUUCAUUUGAAAAUGAAAAAUUUGAAUUGUUUCAUGAUUCAAAAUUGGUCGGUUCUGAUUCUUUAAUGCAUUACGAUAAUCUAUAUUUAAUUGAUACGAUUGCCUCAUUUAAUGAAUCUCUACAUUUGAGUACUAGAGGAGUAAAGAGAAAAUUAACCAAUGAGAAUUCAGCCGCAUUAUGGCACAAGAGAUUGAGACAUAUCUCCAAGCAGAGAAUGAAAAGACUUGUGUCAAAUGAAAUUCUCGACCCCUUAAACUUUACAGAUUUUAAUGAUUGCAUUAACUGUAUAAAGGGGAAACAAACCAAUCAAAGGAGAUUUGAAGCCAAUAGGUCUUCAGACGUCUUAGAACUUAUACAUACGGAUAUUUGUGGACCAUUUCCUACAUCUGCUUGGAAUGGUCAACAAUAUUUUAUAACGUUCAUAGACGAUUUUUCAAGAUAUGGCUACAUAUAUGUCAUUUCUGAAAAGUUACAGUCACUGGACGUGUUCAAAACUUUUAAGGCUGAAGUUGAAAAUCAACUCAACAAAAGAAUUAAAAGCGUCAGAUCUGACCGUGGUGGUGAAUACUAUGGUAGAUAUGACAGUUCAGGUGAACAACGUCCAGGACCAUUUGCCAAAUACCUAGAGGAAUGCGGUAUCGUCCCACAGUACACUAUGCCCGGUUCACCUACUAUGAAUGGUGUAGCUGAAAGACGAAAUAGAACGCUUAAAGACAUGGUAAGGAGUAUGAUAUGUCAUUCUACUUUACCAGAGUCACUCUGGGGUGAAGCACUUAAGACUGCAGCAUAUAUUCUUAAUAGAGUUCCAACUAAAGCAACUAUCAAAAUCCCUUAUGAGCUUUGGACAGGGAAAAAGCCCAGUUUAAAGCAUCUGCAUGUUUGGGGGUUUCCAACUGAGGCAAGGCCUUACAGGCCAAAUGAAAAGAAACUGGACUCAAGAACGAUUAGUUGUUAUUUUAUUGAAUAUUCUGAAAAAUCCAGAGGUUACAAGUUUUAUGAUCCCACAACAAAAUCAAUUUUUGAGACAGAAAAUGCCCGGUUCUUUAAGGAUGUCGAGUUUGGGGGAGAAAAUACAGUAAGGGACAAUGUCUUUAAAGAGGAAUAUAUUAAUAUUCCCACAGGUGUCAUUGCUCUUGCUCAGGACCCUAUUCCUGAACUUGAUCAUGAUAUGACAAAUCAAGACAAUGUCGAAAAAUAAACUGUUAUAGAAGAACAAACUCUUCCUCUCCAAGAACCAGUGCCAUUAAGAAGAUUCACUUGAGAAAGGAGAAGUGCAGUGCCAGAUGAUUACAUUAUUUUUCUCCAAGAACAUGAGGAUGACAUUGAAUUGAUGGAAGAUGAUUCAAUAACUUCCGUCAAGUCAUGGAAAGUUCAAAUUCUCAAAAGUGGAUCGAUACCAUGAAUGAGGAGAUUAAAUCCAUAAAGGACAAUGAUGUUUGGGAUCUUGUCCCAUUGCCAGAAGGUGCGAAACCCAUUGGUUGUAAAUGGAUAUUUAAAAUCAAGAGGGAUUCGAAAGGCAAUGUGGAAAGAUACAAAGCUCGUCUUGUCGUUAAGGGAUUUACACAAAAAAAAGGUAUUGACUAUAAAGAAAUUUUCUCUCCGAUCUCUUUAAAGGACUCUUUUAGAAUUAUCAUGGCACUAGUGGCACAUUUCGAUCUUGAGUUACAUCAGAUGGAUGUAAAGACAGCGUUCCUCAAUGGUAACAUUGAUGAGACUAUUUAUAUGGUGCAACCAGAAAACUUUGUGUCAGGAGAUCUAAAGAAUAUGGUUUGCAAACUUAAAAAAUCCAUCUAUGGGUUCAAACAAGCGUCUCGACAAUGGUAUUUCAAAUUUCAUCAAAUGAUCAUCUCAUUUGAUUUUGAGAUGAAUUUAGUAGAUGAUUGCAUAUACCAUAAGUUCUGUGGGAGCAAGUAUAUUUUUCUGGUAUUGUAUGUUGAUGACAUUUUGCUUGCCAGCAAUGAUAUGGGUCUAUUGCAUGAAACCAAGAAAUUUCUGACUAAGAAUUUUGAGAUGAAAGAUCUUGGUGAUGCAUCUUUUGUGCUAGGUAUACAAAUACACCGAAAUCGAUCUCAGGGUAUUUUAGGACUAUCACAAAAGAGCUAUAUCGAAAAGGUUCUCAAAAGGUAUGGCAUGCAAAAUUGUAAACCAGGUGACACUCCCGUGACUAAAGGAGACAAAUUUAGUCUUGAACAGUGUCCCAAGAAUGCUUUUGAGAAAAAAGAGAUGCAAAAGAUUCCUUAUGCAUCAGCAGUAGGGAGUCUAAUGCAUGCUCAAGUAUGUACGCGUCCGGAUAUUGCGUACAUUACUGGAAUGUUGGGUAGAUAUUUGAGUAAUCUUGGAUUAGAUCAUUGGAAAGCAACGAAACGGGUCUUACGAUAUCUACAAAAAACAAAGGACUACAUGCUCACGUAUCGGAAGUCAGAUGAGUUAGAGAUCAUUGGGUAUACUGAUUCCGAUUAUGCUGGAUGCAAAGAUACUAUGAAGUCAACGUCAGGCUAUGUCUACUUGUUGGCUGGAGGUGGCAUAUCCUGGAAGAGUGCUAAACAGUCCCCCAUAGCAUCUUCCACUAUGGCUGCAGAAUUUAUAGCUUGUUAUGAGGUAUCCAACCAAGGAAUUUGGCUGCAAAAUUUCGUCAUAGGAUUACGUGUAGUGGAUGGUAUUGAAAGACCACUCAAAUUAUUCUGUGAUAAUAAGUCGGCAGUCUUAUAUUCCAAUAACAACAGGAGUUCGACCAAAUCUAAACAUAUAGAUAUCAAAUUCCUGGCUGUUAAAGAAAGAGUGCAUAAUGGACAGUUAUCGAUAGAGCACAUCGGGACAAACUCCAUGGUUGUGGAUCCGCUUACUAAGGGAUUGCCACCCAAAAUGUUUCAUGAGCAUACUACUCGUAUGGGUGUCGUGUUAUCAAAUGAUGUACAGUUUUAGUGAGAAUUUGUUAUUUUGAAUAUUCUUAUGAUAUUUUUCAAUUAUUAAGGAUUUAAGAAUAUUUUAUGCAUAAAUAAAGUUUGGAUUUAUCUACAUUCUGACUUUGGUAUGGUUUGAUCUCAUGAAAGUUUAAGAUGGACCAGUUGGAAAUAGGCAUGUUUUGAUCACAUUACAUAAAAUUUUCAUGCUACACAUCCACAUCAUGAUUCAUGUCAUUCAAUUGUAUCGAUAUAUGUGACCAUUGAUGGGUCGAGUUAUGAAAGUGUAACAAAGGCCGCUUUGAUCCUAUAUUGGUAUGAUUGAUGGACCGAAUUGGUUGCAGAUACAUUAUGCUAAUGACAAUAAAGUUGAGCUCAUACGGUUAAUUGCGAAACAUAAUUAUAAGGUUACACAUAUAGUCCAAGUGGGAGAUUGUUGGAUCCUUAAUCCAACAUUGGACUUAUAUGUGAAUGAUUAUGUGUUGCAAACUGUCAAUUAAGGUUAAGCCCAAUUAAAGUGAUCAAAUAUAGUUUGGGCUUAAUGUAUCUAAUAGGGUGUGGGCCUUUAAUGUGUAGAGAUUUAAGGGCUCCUAUUUCUAUGAUGGGCUGAAAUAGGGUUCCAAAAGGUAACAGGAAUGUUACCUAUAAAUAGAGUUAUGGUCCCCAGGUCACAGGUAUCGUUUUAGUUGUCGUAUUUCCUAAAUACCACAAUAUAGCUCUUCUCUGAUAUCCCAUCGUCAGGAAAGAUACCAGAGAGAAACUAAAGGUUUCUCUCAAAGGAUCGGUGAAUACCUGUUGACCUGGAAGGCCACCCCAAAAUCUCUAGGGAUUUAAGUAUCAAGUUUAUCAAUAUGGAUUCAGGUACGCUUCCACUAUUUUACAGUUAAUAUAUUUCUUAAUAAUCGCCAUACAGAUCUUGAGUUUAAAGGUGAUGGUUUUCACCAGUGGUUAAAUUUAGAUAACCACCAUAACAAAAACCCAUAGCAUUUAUGGCUUGAUAGAAACUUUUUCAAUAAAAAAUUAGCCUUUUGUUUGGUGAAAAUAGAUGAUGCUAAUUUAGAUUUAAAAUUUAUAUCAUUAUGAAUGGUUUUAAAAAUUUUGACUUUUUUUCAUUCACUUUAAUGGCAUUUAUUUUUUUUCCUCUUAUUGGUGGAGAGAAUGUUUUAAUCUCUUUUUAGGGAUAAUUUCAAAAGCCUCCCAUAAGGUUUUUGACUAUUUCACUUAGUUCGCCAAAGAUUUCAAAAAUUACCCUCCCUUGGGUUUACCAUCUUGGUAACAAAAAUUAUGAAGUUCGUUUUACUUUCUUAUAAAAUUCUUUAAAAAAAUGGAAUAUGCACAAAUUCCUAGAUCCACUUUCAACCCUCAUUUCUACUAUUUUAAACCUUUCAUAUUCUUACAUCUCAAAUUAGUACCAUUAUCACCAUGAUCACCACCACCAUCAAUCCCUAAAUUCUAAAACCUCAAUCUAAGUUACAAAAGAAAAAAAAAAUUAGCACUAUUAUUAAUAUAAUAUCCUAUCCCUCAAGUGUUCAAGUACCAACACAUGCCUCGUCCUUUUUAAAUCUUCAACUUAUAUCUUCUUCUAUUCAUCUUUAGAUCUUUCAAGCAAAACUAAAAUUAAUUUGUAGUAAUAUGUAAGAAUUGUGUUUAGGACAUAAUUAUUUAUUCUAUGAAUGAAUCUUUUUUUUGUUUCCAUUAAAUGUUUAAUUGUGUGGUGCAUUCCUAUGCACAAGAUUAGGAGAGUAUUAUUUAAUUGCAUGAAAAAUAUUAAUAUAUUAAAGUUAUCAUUGUCAUUUUAUAGGACCAAGGAAGGUAAAUGUAAUAUUGAAAACCUCAAGGGUAGUUCGUGAAAUUGUCAGAAAUUUUGAGAGAGGUUUCUAAAAUUAUUCCCUCUUUUAUAAUGUAAGAGGAGAUGAGAUUUUUUUUUUAAAAAAAAUUGUGUUAAGAAAAUACUUUUACCUUUUGGUACGUUACAUUUCCAAGUUGAUUGAAGUAUAAUUUUAGAAAACACUAGAGGAUUAAUAAUUAGAAUGAUGGAAUCAAACAAUUUCAAUUAAUUAAAAUUUGUAAUUGAUUUUUUAAGCAUUUCUUGUUGUGUGAAAGGCAAGUUUUGGUAUUGGGAAAAAGUUUCUAUCAAUUUUCUAUGUGUUUUAUCAUCAUCUUAAUUCUAGGGGCGUAGAUUUAGACUAAGGGCGUGUGAAUUUAGCCCCACUCUUUUUAUAUUUGAAUAUUAGUUUUGGUUAGUAAUUCUUUUGGAUCAUGGUUUUCCAUGGCUCUAGAAAUAUAAAAUUCAUUAGCUUUUUUUUUAAAUUUGACUGAAAAAUAUUGUAUAUAUGCAGUUUUUGGUUUUAGGUUUUCUAAUUUCUUGGAACUUAAGGCUUGGAAAUCUGGAGGCUCAAGUGAGCUUCAGUGCUCCGAGCUCGAGUUAACAAAUUGCAUACUCAAAGCAGGCCCCUACUGGCAGUGAUAUCCUGAUCUCAUGGAUGAAGGCUAACGUUUUCUAUUGGAAUAGAGGGAUGUGCAGAUAAGGUAGCUAGAUAACGUAGCUGGAUUUGGAAUAUAUGCUCAGUAAGGAAACAUUACCAGCCCAAGGAACUGUAAUUGCCCGUUUUCCAUAAGAAUUGCCUAGGCCUUAAUCCUUGUUGGUCCACAAUAAGUUGGACCUGGAUUUACCAUGUGAGCCGAGUAAAGAGAAAAAAGCGAGAGAGUUUGUGUGUAUGUAUCAUAACAGACUGCCCAGUUUUUUGUCUAGCAAACGGAAGAAAACACAAUAUUACGCGAAUGGCUUAUUCUCUUGCUUUGAAUUACAGCUCGCCCAUGAAUUGUAACAGUUUUGUGACAUAAAAUUUGUUUAUUGGAAAAAUAACAUUAAACUCACUACACUAACUUAUAUAUACUAGCUAUCGAAGCACACUCGAUGCGUCUACAACUUGUUAAAAAAUAUUUUUAAUUGAAAAAAUCACAAAAAUAGUGCAAGUGAAUAUAACUAUUUUAUGUAAUAUGUAAUAAAAAGUGUAUUAUACAUAAAUAUGUAAAAAAAACCUUUGGUAAGAGAGAACGUGAGAAUUGGAGGGCGGUAGUUUUGAUUGAGUAGGAUUUAUGUAUACGUUGAUAAUAAAGAUAAGGGUAAUUUUGGUAGAGUAAAAUUAGUGUAUUAGUAGAUAAUAGAGAUGGAUAACGAAAAUAAAGGUUAAUAAAUAAUAAAGAUAAGGAUAAAUAUGAAAAUAAAUAAAGUUAACAUCAAAUUAACUAAAUGCACAGACUUUAGUAUUGUAAAGAUAUGUAUGUGUGUGUAUAUAUAUGUAUGAAUGUGCGUGUACAUAUAUAUAUGUAUGUAUGUGUAUAUUUAUAUAUGUAAGAGUACAUGAAUACAUUAUUCUAUUCUUCAAAAUUAGAACUUACCCAUGAAUUGUAACAUUUCUGAAACAAAAUAUACUUACAGAAAAAGUAACACUAAACUUACUUCCUAUCUUGCUCCUUAAGAGUCAUAGUAGAAGAACCCAUGUGAAUAGCUUUUCUUUUACUUCUUUGCCAUCCACACUUCGGCCUCACAAGCCAGUCGAUUGUCACUUAUUAAGGACUUCAGUUAGCCUCUUAGUACAGGUCAAGGGAUUCCCUUGACUUGUAUUCAUCUCCAGAAUUUUUUGAAAGUUUCAUCAGUGGGUGUAAAUGUGCCCCAUUUGAUCCGGUAGUGAUUUAAUCCCAUCAUUGUACUUUCUUAGGUCAUUUGGGCCCAUGCCCUCUCCCUUAUUAUAGAGUAGGAGUAGAAUAAAAAAGUUAUUGUAUGUCGACAAAAAAAAAAGUUAGCCUCUUAGUAGGAUAGCUGCCACUUCUUCUUUCCCUCCUCUCGCUUUUUCCCCCUCAGCACUAAAUUUUUAGGAAUAUGUCAAUUUUGAUCACGAAAUUUUGGACUAUUUCGUACUCAAACUUUUUGACAUAACACAUUUAAUAUCUAAACUAUCAAUUUUUGAUCGAUUUCAUUCUCAAAUGGAACAUUAAUCAAUUUGGAUUGAAAAAUGCCAGUUUUUUGGCCAAAUUUUCGGCUAUGGACAUAUUUUGUUCUCAAACUAUGCAUUGCCUAUGCUGUUGAUUCUCUCUUUUAUUGCCAGCUAUUGAUUUGGAUGCAAUUGUUUGAGAACGAAAUGUGUCCAUAACCCAAAGUUUGAAAAUGAAAACUAGUGUUUUCCAUUAAUUUUCCCUUUAACAAUGAAAUUGGUCAAAAAUUAAUAAUUCAUAGACUUAAUGUGUUAUAAAGUUUGAGUUGUCCGUGGUCAAAAAUUUGUCCGGCUUUUUCCCAUCAAUUUCCUAAUGCAAUGAUUAGAGUAUAACUUCAAUUUGACUACAAUCUUUUACCAUUUUUGUUUUUUUUUUGUCUCUACUAAGUGGACUGGGGCUAGAAAGUUUUCAAGCUUAAUACAAAACAAAAAGAUGGCACCUGAUACACGUAAAAUGGCUUGUGCAUGGGGUUGCAUAUGCGUGCAUGGAGUUAGUACAGCUGGAGUUAGUUACAAUAGGUUAGUCAGUGAUUUGUACAAAUCUUAUGACGUCAGUCGACGUCAUAAGUUUGUUAGCCGACUUACAAUCACCGCCUUAGUCACUUAUAAAAGGUGAAGCUGGAAGUCUAUGGCGGUAUUGGAUUCCAUUUGUAAAGUUGCAUUUUCACAUUUCUCUAUAAUCUCUCUCUUCCCAUCAUCAUUCAAGUCAAUAAACUUUCUCUGGUUUUCAGAUCACUUCUCCAUCAUUUCUGUGGUCCCUAGAUCAGAGAUUACAGACCUCAACUACUCUUUGCAUCAGUGGUAUCAGAGCUGGGUCACGCCAGCUUGAUUCUUCAAUGGCAGAGGGCACUAGGUCGCAGGACGUCCGAAAAAUCGAGGAGCACGUCAGAUCCAUGCUGAAGGAGCAACAGGAGCAAUUUGAGAGAGAAAUGGCGGCUCUGUGGAAUCUGGUAAUCGAAUUGCACACACAGAAGGCUCAGGGGAAAGGACAUGCCUCCCCUCGCAAUUCGGACACUCCAACCAGCAGCAGGGGAGGAUAUCAGGUUCCUUCUCGUCUAUCACGAAUUGAUUUCCCAAAAUUUAAUGGAAAAGACUUUAGAGGAUGGUUAUACAAGAGUGAGUAGUUUUUUGAGGUGGACGAGACUCCAAUUCGGUGAAGUGCAAUGAGUUUGGAAGGUAAGGCUCUUCAGUGGCACCAAAUUUUUAUGAAAUCUAGACUUACACGUGAGUUUCCUACAUAGGAAGAAUACGUGAGAGAGCUAUCUUCAAGGUUUGGAGAUUCCCUGUAUGAUGAUCCAAUGGGGGAGCUUAAGAGCUUGAAGCAAUCUGGGUCAGUACAGGAAUACCACGAUGUGUUUGAGGAACUCCUCAAUAGGGUGGAUCUUCCAGAAGAUUACGCUACAAGUUGCUUCUUGAGAGGAUUGAAGCCAGAAAUUUUGUUGACAGUGUGAAUGUUUAUGCCUAAGAGUGUGCAGCAUGCCCGAACCUUAGCCAAAAUCGAAGAAGCAAAAAUGUCAGUACAGUCAAAAGGAAGAGUAGUGUCCAAACCAUUCCUGAACUACUCCGACCGCAUGGUGCCAUACCAUUCCAUGCGAAUGUCCCUAGUCCGAAGUGGAAGAUAGAUUCUAAGGCAAUACUGCCCCUACCAAUGUUGCCAGCUCUUCUCAGCAAUGAAAGGCAGCAGGAGUUGGUUGCUAAAAGGCCUUUCAGGAGGUUGAGUAGGACGGAAAUGGAUGAGAAAAGGGCAAGAGGAUUAUGUUUUUGGUGCGAUGAGAGGUUUACAGCGGGGCAUAGGUGCGGGAGUAAGCAAUUCAACAGAUUGGAGGUUUGGGACGAUACGCCAGAUAAGGAGGAAACGGAUACUGAGGAUGAGGAGAAUGCAAUAGACGAGGGACAAUUAGCUCAUAUUUCCCUCCAUGCCAUGACCAACAUGGCUGUCCCUAAUUUUAGAACAAUGAGGGUCACUGGGCAUGUAGAAAGACAGUCUGUGAGUAUUUUCAUAGACUGUGGCAGUUCACAUAACUUCAUUCACCCCACGGUAGUGCAAAAACUGGGGCUAAUCGCACGAAGGGUUGAGCCACUAAUGGUAGAGGUAGUAGAUAGGAACAAGUUGACUACUCAUGAUCUUUGCCCAGGCUUUUGCUGGAAAAUGCAAGGGCAAGAAUUCAAGGCUGAUCUGUUGGUAUUACCUGUAGGGGGUGCGAAAUAGUUCUGGGAAUGCAAUGGUUAACCACCAUUGGUGAUGUGAAGUGGAAUUUUGGUGAUCUCAGGAUGGAAUUCAUGCAGAGUGGUCACAAGGUGGUUUUGAGAGGAAUGAAACAACACGGGUUACAGUUGGUGAGGCAAAAGAAAAUGCAGAAAAUAUUGCGAAAACCUGAACAAAUUGCCAGAGCACAACUCUGCCUGAUCAGAAUGGUCCAGGAGUCGGAACCAGAGCCAUUAUCUCUUUUUACUAUUACGGCUGGAGCUACCGGGGAGCAGGAUGGUAACUCUGGACCUAGAAUAUUUGUUGGGUGAAUAUGAUGAUCUGUUUCAAGAACCUAAGGGUUUACCUCCUGAAAGAUUGCACGACCAUAGGAUUGUUCUAAAAGAAGGCACUGAACCUGUCAAUGUAAGACCCUAUAUGUAUCCUACUUUUCAGAAAGGUGAAAUUGAAAAAUUGGUAGCGGAAAUGCUUGCUUGUGGGAUCAUCAGGGCUAGCUCUAGCCCUUUCUCCUCCCCAGUAGCUUUGGUGAAAAAGAAGGAUGGAUUCUGGAGAAUGUGUGUUGACUACCGGCAGCUAAACAAUGCCACUAUAAAGAAUAAAUUUCCUAUUCUGCUAAUAGAAGAGUUGCUGUAUGAACUUUUUGGAGUCAAGUUCUUUACCAAGUUAGACUUGAGGUCUGGUUAUCACCAGAUUAGAAUGAAUGCUGAAGAUGUGGAGAAAACAGCCUUUAGAACUCAUGAUGGCCACUAUGAGUUUCUCGUUAUGCCCUUUGAGCUAACUAAUGCCCCAUCCACAUUUCAAGGUCUGAUGAAUGACAUCUUUAGGCCCUUUCUAAGGAAAUUUAUUUUGGUUUUCUUUGAUGACAUUUUGGUAUACAGUGGUGGUUGGAAAGAGCACCUGCAACAUCUAAAGCUUGUGUUUGAACUGUUGAGAAUGCAUGAAUUGAACGUAAAAAGGAGUAAAUGUGCAUUUGCUCAACAGCAAAUUGACUACUUGGGGCAUAUUAUCAAUGCAGAAGGUGUCUAGGCUGAUCCUCAGAAAACUACUGCCAUUAGGAGUUGGCCAAUGCCACAGACAGUCAAGGAGCUGCGAGGAUUUCUGGGCCUUACGGGAUACUAUAGGAGGUUCAUACGAGACUAUGGUAAGAUUACUAAACCAUUGACAGACUUGAUUAAAAAGAAUUAGUUCCAGUGGCAUGAUGGGGCUACUCAAGCUUUUAAAAGAUUACAAGAAGUCAUGAGCAGUCCCCUUGUUCUAGCUUUACCAGAUUUUACUCAAGAAUUCAUUGUGGAAACUGAUGCUUCUGGAAAUGGGAUUGGGGCGGUGUUGAUGCAGAAAAGGAGACCACUAGCUUUUUUCAGUAAGGCACUGGGAACUAAGCACCAAGCUAUGUCAGUAUAUGAAAAGGAAAUGUUGGCCAGAGUCACUACGAUUUUGAAGUGGAGAGCUUAUUUGGUGGGAAGGCAUUUCAUUAUCGAAACUGAUCAUCAAAGUUUGAAGUAUAUAAUGGAGCAAAGGGUACAUACACCAUUGCAGCAGAAAUGGAUAGGCAAGUUGAUGGGGUACGAUUAUGAAGUACAGUACAAGAAGGGGAGUGAUAACAUUGUAGCGGAUGCAUUAUCUAGACAACCACAGGAAGGCAAUUCGCUGUACACUUUGGUUACUGUCACCACUUCUCUCAUCAAGGAUAUACAACAGAGUUGGCAACAAGAUGUGGUAGUCCAGGAGUUGAUCCAAAAGCUAAAUAGCAAUGGUCUGCAUUCUAGCAAUUAUUCUUGGCAACAAGGGUUGUUAAAGAGGAAAGGCAAGUUGGUGGUUGGCAAUGAUCAGUCUUUAAGAAACAGGUUGAUUGCCUUGUGGCACUCAAGUUCACAAGGGGGGCAUUCUGGAAUAGAGGUUACUUACAGGAGACUUAAGCAGGUUUUGUAUUGGCCGUGCAUGUUCAAGGAUGUAGCCCAUUUUGUAGCAGCAUGUGACGUUUGUCAACGAAAUAAGCCAGAUAGUGCAGCUUAUCCUGGCCUAUUACAACCUUUUCCCAUACUUGAGAAGAUUUGGUCUGACAUCUCUAUGGAUUUUAUUGAAGGCUUACCCCUUUCACAUAGCAGAAAGGUGAUCUUGGUGGUAGUGGAUAGACUCAGCAAAUAUGCUCACUUCAUUGCUGUGGCUCAUCCCUAUACAGCCAUCUCAAUUGCCCAGCUAUUCAUGGACCAGGUUUACAGGCUACAUGGUCUUCCCCAAACCAUUGUCAGUGAUCGAGACCCCAUUUUCUUGAGCUCUUUCUGGCAGGAAAUUUUCAGGUUGCAACGUGUCCAGUUGAACAUGUCCACUUCCUACCAUCCUUAGAGUGAUGGCCAGACAGAGGUAGUUAAUAGAUGUUUAGAGAACUAUUUCAGGUGCAUGACUGGAGAUCAUCCCAAGGAUUGGAGUUUAUGGCUGCCAAUGGCCGAGUAUUGAUAUAAUACAAAUUUCCAUUCUUCUGCCAAGUUCACUCCUUAUGAGAUUGUCUAUGGCCAGGUCCCCCCACUUCACAGUCCUUACCUACCUGAGGCCACGACAGUUGAAUCUGUGGACAGGAGCUUACAGGCAAGGGAGAAGGUCCUUCACUCCCUGCGGCAUAAUCUGUCCAAGGCUCAACACAGGAUGAAGCAGUUGGCUGAUAAACACAGGUCGGAGAGGGUGUUUGAUGUGGGUGAUUGGGUUUAUGUGAAACUUCAACCUUACAGGCAGCACACUCUACGCUCUCAUCACUGUCAGAAGUUGUCUCAUCGUUAUUUUGGUCCAUUUCAAGUGACGGCAAGGGUAAGAGCAGUGGCAUACAAAUUGGCCUUACCAUCACAUGUUCGUAUUCAUGACGCUUUCUAUGUUUCCCUGCUCAAGAAGAAGGUCGGCACAGGGUAGGGGUGGGCGCGGGUCGGGUACCCGCCCCAUUCACUAUUUGGCUGACCUGACCCUCACCUUGCGGGUCAGCCAGUUUCUGACCCUUACUUGCCCCGCAUAUCAGUGGGUACCCGAUUAUAGGGUACCCACUGAGAUAGGGUCGGGUCAGCGGGUACCCGUCCCGUCCUAUUUAUCAUUUAAUUUUUUUAAAAAAUGAUUUAUACCAAUUUAAUUUUAUACUUUACACAUUCAUCUAAGAUUUAAUAAUUUUUUUUUUCUAAAAAAGGUUUCCCACCAAGAAACAAGCAUGUGAAGAGAAUAUAAGAUAAAGGCAAAAAAUUAAAAGAAUUCAAAAUCAAUAAAAAUUUGAAAUAAGUAGCACAAUUUUUAAUAUAUAUAUGUUCCACAUUAAUUAAAAUUUUUUUCUAUAAAAUAUAAGAUCAUGACCUCUACAAAUGAAUCUUGUAAAUAAACUAUAGUCUCUCAUAUUUGUAAUGCAAUUUGUUCAAUAAAAUUACUUAUUUAGUUCUAAAUUAUUAUUUUAUAGUGUGUGUAUAAAAAUAAAAAUAAAAAAUAUAUAAAUGUGGGGCGGAUCAGGUACCCGCGAGUUUUUAAUUAUGUGACCCCAACCCACCCCGCAUCUUAGCGGGUACCCAAUCCUCUUUUGACUCGAUCAAAUAAUAAAAAUCGGAUAUUCUAAUUUUCGGAUCGAAUCGGAUCGGAUAUGACGGAUUUUUGGAUUAGCGGGUAAUUUUGCCCACCCCUAGCACAGGGUCUAUUCCAGUGCAGAUCCCUGCUGGAAUUACACACCAGGGACAGCUACUGUUGGAACCUACUGCAGUUCUGGACCGACGUUUGGUCAAGCGUGGAAGAGUUGCGGCUAUCCAGGUGCCGGUUCAAUGGAGUAAUAGCUUUCCCGAGGAUGCCACCUGUGAGUAUUUGCAGCUACAGUUCCCUCAUUUCAAUUCUUGAGGCCAAGGAUUGUUUGAGGGGAGGGUAUUGAUGUGAGAACCCUGAAAAAAAAAAUAUAUAUAUACAUAUAUUCAUGCAUAUUUCACUUGCACUUUGACUCUUUAAUAAAUUCUAUCAUUAUUUCUACUUGUCUUUAAAUAAGUGCGUAAAAAUAAUUUUUAUGUGAUAAAUAAUAUAAUUUGUGCUAAACUAUUAAGUUCCUUGGCUUUAUUAUAUUAAAUUAAUAUUUCGAAGGUAAAUUAUUUCGUUUAUUUAAUAAUUAAUUUCUCCGAAUUCCGUUAGCUAAACUUUAAUCGUUAAUAAUGUUCAAGGUUAAUAGGAACCUUAGUACUAAGAUGCAAUCGAUAAACUUUAGAUAAAAUCGAUAUAAGUAUACCAAGUAUACUUAGGACGUUAAAAUCUCGAUAGUUUAAUUUUUGCGAGACGAGUAUACUAGUAGGCAUUCAAAUUGCAUUCGGGGUAAAAUUUUGGAGUUAAGUUAGAAUUAAGGACUUAAGUGGGUAUCAGGAAGAGAAGUGCAAAGACUAAACUACCCUCACAACCUCACAAAAACUACCAUGCAAAACAAGAACCAAUUUCCGGACAACAUCAUUCCUCACCACUCUUUCGGCCAAUGCACAACUUCACCAUUUAAACACUCAACCCUCACAAACACUUAACCUCCCUCUCAAAACCGCGACAUCCAUCCUUCUUCCUCUUCAUUUCUGUAUCACAAACCACCACCGCAUUCCACCUUCACCCGUGAGUAUCGACAGAGAGAGAGAGAGAGUGAGCGGGAGGGUGAGCAGCAGCUUCAUCCGAGAGCUGCAAUCCGUGAGCUGCAGCGACUCUGCUGCUGUCCGUAAGUCUGAGGAGGGAAAGGAAAAGCUGUGCGUAAGUCCCACCCAUUCUGCACUUCCAUUUCUACCAGCUGCAAUCAAUUUUCCAGCCGCAACAACCACCAGCUACACCGUUUGCCACAGCCAAGCGAACCAACACCCUAGUCGCGCGCGAGCCGAGGGCGAAAAUUUCAGUUCCCUUGUGCGUAAGCUAAGCCUGCUGUUGAGGUAAAUUUCGGAUCUAGAACACCUGAUUAGAGGUUGAUUGAGCUAAUUAGGAGCAUGCAUGUUGAAUUUAUGCGUUGGAUGAUGAUCUAGAAAAGAAAAGAAACCUGAUGUGCGCUGAAUGUGGGUUUGCCGAGACUGUUUUGGAUUAAUGCCGAGCUAAUCUGUGUAACUCUGGAUAAUCUGAGUUUGCAUUGUUGAUUAAGUAACUAAUCACUAACUAAUUAAUCUGUUUAAAGCUUUGCAUGUUGACCUUAGACCAUCGAAUGCUGAAUUUAGAGAAGAAGAAAAAAAUUUUCUGAUGUGCGCAUAUUUGGACUGCCAAGACCGAUUAAGAAAUGUUGUGCUUAAUUUGUUUAAUUUCGACAAUCUGAGCUUAUAGUUAUGAUUAAUCACCUAAAAACUAAGUGAUUAAGUCCUGCAUAGGGAUAGCUAGAUCGGUUAGGCAAGAAAAAUAAAAAUUGAAAUGACAUCAGUUGCAUGCAAGAUCACCCGAGGCCAAUUGGAAAUCUGUAGCUUCAAUCUGCUAAUUCGAUGCAAUCUGAGCUUAGAGGUAUGAUUAGCUAAUUAUAGAUGGGAUGUUUAUGCCUUGCAUGAGGCUGCAUAGCUCUGAUGAAGCUCUUGGCCAUUUGAGUAAUUUUUGCAAGGGAUAAAUUCUUGGUGGAAUUGUUUAAGUGGUUUGGGCAAAAUGCAUUUGGAAGGUCCACGAUUUGUGAUUUGGAAUUGUUUUAAUACUUUGGACUUCCUUUGGUUGAUUUUGAUUAGAAUUGAAUCUGUUGAGACCUAGGGCUAAUGAUUGAUGAAGCCCUAGUGAAAUUGAUGUUUGAAUUGUGUUUUUGCUAUAUUGGCGACUUGGAAUAUAAUGUGCAAAUGAAUUGGAAUCGUGAAGUCCGUUUGGGUCCCUUGAAUUCGAAUACUUUUAAAUCAAGUUUCGUGGGAAUAUUUUGCCUUAAUAUCAAGUUAUAUACAUUGAGUAUAGUACGUUAAUAUUAAAAUCUAGAUAUCGGGACUUUUAAAACCUUGCCGAUGUGUUAAUUCUUUUCUUUAUUUAAACUAGUGUUUCACCUUUAAUAAAUAAUUGCAUUAACUUCCAAACUUUAAGUUUUCACAAAAUUAUCCUUGACCAAUUGUUUUAAAGGAAAUUUGUUAAAAACAUUAGAUUUGAAUAAUUUCAAAUAAAAGACAAAGGGAACUUGUUCGGCAAGAAAACUUGUUUGAAUUAAUUUGGUUCUAGUUUGCCCUCUAGAAGGGAAAUACCUUUAAAGAAACCAUACGAAAUAUUUUAUUUCUUUACUAGCCUUAAUUCCAAGGGAACUAUUGAUUUGUUUCGAGAAAUUAAAUUAGUUUUAUACAAGAUAACCUUCUAUAUAUAAAACAAGGGUUUGUUUAGUAAAACUUAUAGUUUUAAAACUUGGAUUUCUAGGGUGUAGCGAGGACGUGGACUUCGAUUCCCAGCUUGACUGGUGACUUCACUCUUGGUGAGUGUCCCUGCUUGUUCUACGCCUAUUUGGUUAAAGUGCUUUCUUGACUCGAUAUGUGGUAAUUGUCAAAAAUGAUUUCUGAUCCAUCGAAGUGAGCAGUGUGUACUUUAUCACACUAGCUGUUCGAGUGGUGACUUGUGUGCAGUGUUUUCGUAAAUAUCUUGCUUGCGCUUGCUAAGUGUUAAAGUUACUAGGCAGGGGAAUGUACCACAUCUUAAGGGUGGGAGGGCCUCUUAUCCUGACCUGGUAAUCAAGUGUUGGACGUAAAGUCGUUGGGUGGACCCCUUGACCAGUCUAUAAAAAUCAAGUGUUGGAUGCAAAGUCGUUGGGUGGACCCCUUGACCAGUCUAUAAAAAUCAAGUGUUGGAUGCAAAGUCGUUGGGUGGACCCCUCGACCAGUCUAUAAAAAUCAAGUGUCGGACAUAAAGUCGUUGGGUGAAUCACUCGACCAGUCUAUAAGUGUUGGACGUGACGUCGUUGGGUGAAUUUCUCGACUAGUUUAUCCAGGGAGUAUACUCGAGUACUACCGCUCUCAUCUAUCUUGUCGUGCGGGCCCGGAGCUGGGGUAUGUUCGGUGGCCGGAGUUAAGUAAAAUAAGGAGUUCUACAUGGACCGUAAGUAGUGAGAGUUGACGGAGGGUCAACUACGGUAAAUUUUGAUCAAGCGCGAAAAAUGGCUCCUGAGAGCCCCCGUAUCCUACUUUGUACUGUUAUGCGCUUUCCUAGUUGUUUACUUCAGAUUGAAAUCAAUACGUGUUAGUUGUUUUAUUUAAUUGCAUGUUUUGGGGCACCACUGAGCUUUAGCUCACCCCACGUUUAUUUGUUUUCCUUGACAGGUCCUGGCUCUUGAACAAGACUUGAAAUCUAAUUUCACUUUUAUGCUUGUAGUUUGAGUUAAACAUUGUAUCUUUUAUUUUGGAUUGCCUCUUGAAGCUGGAAAAGUGUAAACCCUGGAAUUGUUAUUUGGCUUGUAUUAAUGUAUUUGGAUUGUAUGUUUUUGUUGCCUGAUGUGUAACGCGGGAGGUAUUUAAGAGUCGACGUUUGGCUAUCUUAAAAAUGCUGUUAUCGUUGAAGUUAAUGAGGAUUUAGUUAUCAGUCUAUUUGGAAGGAAACGGUGUUGUAAUAGCUUAGGUUAUUCUCCGGGAGGAUUGGGCUAGAUUGCUUGCGUGAGUCCUGGCGAGAGCUAGGCAGACGGCCCGCCAACCCUCUGGUUCGCCUUAAGGGGAAGUGGGGUCUCCACAAUUGAUACACGUGAAAUGGCUUGUGCAUGGGGUUGGCGUGAGUGCAUGGGGUUGCAUGGAGUUAGUACAACUGGAGUUAGUUACAAUAGGUUAGUCAGUGAUUUGUACGAAUCUUAUGACGUCAGUCGACGUCAUAAGUUUGUUAGCCGACUUACAAUCACCGCCUUAGUCACUUAUAAAAAGUGAAGCUGGAAGUCUAUGGCGGCAUUGGAUUUCGUUUGUAAAGUUGCAUUUUCACAUUUCUCUGUAAUCUCUCUCUGCCCAUCAUCAUUCAAGUCAAUAAACUUUCUCUAGUUUUCGGAUCACUUCUCCAUCAUUUCUGUGGUCCCUAGAUCAGAGAUUACAGGCCUCAACUGCUCUUUGCAUCAGCACCUAACUCAUUUUCCACCAACCCAUUGCGCCCCUAACUUUCAAAGGGGUUAAGUGGCAUGUCCAAACGUGGGAAUGGAAUUUGGAUGAAUAACGACAGCAUGUUGCACGUUUGGUUCAACGUGAAAUCCAUCUUUAAUUUCCAACCUCACGUUUUGUAAGCGGGGUUUGGCGGCUAGUUGUGGACCAAUGGUGCACGGGCGGGAUAAUUUCGGAAACCCCUCUUGAGGUUCUUAAUAACCUCUGGAUGCUCCCCUCAACAUUUUAAAAUUAUACAUAUCUCCCCUAUUAGUGCAAAAGUACUCUACUAUCCCUAAUAGGACUCAAAAGACUUUUUUUUUUGGAAAAAAGAAGCUCAGAAAUCCAAGAAAAAAAAUCAACUAAUUUUAUUUUUUAGGCUUUUACGUUUCUGCCUUCUACCUUUGCUCGCUUUCCCUGUGCCCAUCUUCCUACAACCACUUUCCCAAUCCCCUUUCCCCAACAUUUCUCCUCUACUUCAAGACCAAUUUUUGUCCAUCAACCCUAGCUUGUGCUUUGUUCCAUUCCCUUCCCUUCUCCUUUUUUUGAUUUCCCUUGCAUCUCCCUUUCUCUUUUGCAAAUGUGACUAGGCUCAUCUCUCUUUUUUUUCUCCUAUUCUAGGUGUAGUGGGUUUGAUUAUUUUGCAUCUAUUUUAUUCGAUUUUGGUUGAUUAUGGAUGAUAAAACUUGGUGAUAUCAAAUAUCAAAAGUUUGAGAGAUGGAUAUUGGGCUUUAGACAAUGAUUUGCUGAAAAAAAUGGCUGCAAUGAGAGAAAGAGGGAAGGGGAUUUGAGAGUGGGCUUAAUUGUUGAUGAAUUGUUGUUUUGGGUAAAAUUUGAGGUUGAGUUUUAUCAAAUUUGGCAACAAGUGGCGAGAUUUGUUUAGGUUGCGGGAUAUAAAUUGGAUUGUGGUUUUUUGGGUACCCACAGUUGUUGGAAUUGGUUUUGAUUCAAAUUGGGGUGGUUGCUUGAUUUUCCUAAUAGUGUUACUUAAAAGAUCACAAUCAUCAAAUUCCUUAUUUUUGUCUUUUAUUUUUUGGUAGAAAAGAUUUCAUGACUUUCGUAACAGUCUAAUUUGGAAGAAGGCAAUCAACAGAUGCAACCAACAUUCAGCAAAGCUCUUUUUUUUUUUUUUAAUUUUUUGGGUAAAAAGGGUAGUUUAGGGUAUUUGAAGGAAAUGAUAGGCUAUUGGGCCUAUUUGAAGCAUAAACAGUGAAAGUAAGGGAGGUUGGUGUAAUUUCUAAAACCUAAGGGGAGCUAUCUGAAAUUAUCCAAGAGCUCAGGGGAGGUUUCCAAAAUUAUCCCUAAAGAAAAGGGAUAAUUGCAGAAACCUCCCCUGAGGUUCUAACAUUUGCACUAACCUCCCCUGUGGUUUGAAAAAUUACACUGACCUCCCCUGAGGUUACUAAUCCUUUGCAAAUUUAGUCCAAACGAUUAAAAUAUUAUUUUAGGGAGUGAAAUUAAAAUUUUGUACCAGAUUUGCCCUUUGUACUACGUAUCCAAUGAAUGACAAAGAACUAUAAAUCAAUUAACAAUUAAUAAAUUUUAAUGAGUAUAAUUUAUAGGCAAACACGCAUUUCUCAUUUAAAGUACUAGCUUUUUACGAGUAUUUUACUUUCAAAUAUUUGAUUUAUGAUAAAUAUAUCAAUAUUUGUAAGUAAAAUUCAAAAAUUGUUAUAGUAAUAUUCUUGCAAAAAGGAAAUCGAUAGGUUAUUUAUUUAAUAUAAAUUAAAUAUUUUUUUAAAAAAAAUAAAUGGCCCAUAAAGUAUUAAAUUUUUAUGACUUUCAUCCAUUACACGAGUAAAGUAUUCGCUCUUUAUGUGCAUUUUAUUCUGAAUCAUUUAAUUUAUGUUAAAUACAUAAAUGUUUGUAAUUAAAAUUGAAAAAGUGUUAUAUUAAUAUUUUUACGGAAGAGAGAUUGGUAGGUUUUGUAUUUGACAAAAAUUAAAUAUUUGAAAAUAAAUACAAAUCUGUAUUUGAGCAUAAAUAGUUGUAUUAAAUUAAAUGUUUGAAAGUAAAAUACCCUUAAAGAACCGGUACUUUAAAUAGUUACCGGCUCUUUAUAGGCAAAUAUGCAUUACUCAUUUAAAGUACCGGCUUUUUACGGAUAUUUUACUUUCAAACAUUUAAUUUAUGAUAAAUAUAUCAAUGUUUGUUAAUAAAAUUCAAAAAGUGUUACAAUAAUAUUCUUGCAAAAAGGAAAUCGGUAGAUUAUUUAUUUAAUAUAAAUUAAAUAUUUUUUUUUAAAAAAAAUGACCCAUAAAGUAUUAAUUUUUUAUGACUUUCAUCCAUUACAUGAGUAAAGUAUUGGCUCUUUAUGGGUAUUUUAUUCUGAAUCAUUUAACUUAUCUUAAAUACAUAAAUGUUUGCAACUAAAAUUGAAAAAGCGUUAUAUUAAUAUUUUUACGGAAGAGAGAUUGGUAGUUUUUGUAUUUAACAAAAAUUAAAUAUUUGAAAGUAAAUACAAAUAUGUAUUUGAGCGUAAAUAUUUGUAUUAAAUUAAAUGUUUGAAAGUAAAAUACCCAUAAAGAGCCGUUACUUUAAAUAGGUAAUGCAUAUUUGCCUAUAAACUAUACUCCUUAAAGUUUAUUAAUUGUUAAUUGAUUUGUAGUAUUUUGUCAUUCAUUGGACAUGUAGUACAAAGGACAAAUUUGGUAAAAAUUUCUAAUUUCACUCCCUAAAACAAUAUUUUAAUCAUUUGGACUGAAUUUGCAAAGGAUUAGUAACCUCAGGGGAGGUCAGUGUAAUUUUUCAAAUCACAGGGGAGGUCAGUGCAAAUGUCAGAAACCUCAGGGGAGGUUUCUGCAAUUAUCCCUAAAGAAAAAGGACAAAAGUUUAAAUAUGCUCUUCUUUUGUUCAAUAUGUAUUUAAAUUACCUAUUGCUCCUUUAACCUUUGAAUCUUAUCAAUUUGCUCAAUGAAUUACACAUUACUAAUUAGUUUGAUUUUCUUGAUGUUUUUCCCAUCUAAAGAAGUUUCCUAAGUUGAUUUACACAUAAACACCUACUCAAACGCACAAUACAUACACAAAAAUUAAUACACCUUCAAUAUUGGUAUACAGAUUACUAUUAAUCAGAAGUAAGAUUGAAAAAACUUUUAUCAAACGCUACCUAAAUAAGAGUACAAUGAAAGAUUCUAAAACUUAAUAUUAGACCUUUGUAUUGGGUUGGGCUGGCCCGAAAUUAAUCCGAUUGACCCUAAAUGGAGCGGAUUGAAUCUUAUGCAAUGUGGCUUAAAGUGAGUUUGGGCUAAAAUAUUUUGCACGAUUUAAAUAUGAGCUAAAUUUGGAUUGUACUGAAUUUAGUCCACUUAAUUCUCGACCCAAACAACAUUUAUAUACUAAGGAUCAUAUGUGGGAUUUAAGAAGAUUUAUUUAUCUAAAUCCAGUCAAAUAAUUGAAAUUUAGAUGGCUAAUUUGUGGUAAAUUGUUCCUUUUCAAUCUCUAGUUGAUACAUUUAUGGGUGUUAUGGUAAACUAUAUUUUUUUGUGAUGAAAUUCAAACUUCUUCUAGAUAUUAAGAACAUCUAUGGAUUAGCUGGCUAUUUGGUUUAAGUAGAUUUUCUAAACAUGAAAAAUACAUGACAUAAGUUUAGGUUUAUCCGAAUUAAGUUGAAUACUCGACAUUUUUUGUGAGCGAGCAUAAGUUGAAUUUGGGCUCAAAAGAAUGAUGUUUUUAUAUGAGUUGAGUUUAAGCAUGUCAAAAUCCAAUUCACAUGAUCUAAUUGACAAGCUUAAUUAAUACUUCCAAUUCGAGUAAAAAGAGGAAUACACUUUAUAGAUUUGGGAUGGGCAAAAAUACGUGAUGAUCCGAAUAUCCAUGGGACCCGAUCCGAUUCACUCCAAAAAAUAAGGUAUUCGAUCUGUAUUAUUUGAUCAAGUCAGAAAAUGGUUGCCUACCUGCUUAUAUAUAGCAUGGGUUAGGUACAAAGGAUUAAAAAUCUGUGAGUACUUGUGUGAGAGCCCGAAAAUUUUAAUGUCUGAUUUAAAAAUUAGAGCAUGUUACAUUCUUCCUUUUGUUAUUGAUUGAUUUACAUGUUCAUUGAUCCUUUUAAUAAACAAAUGAAUUGAUACACCUUAGGAGAAAUUGUGUCCUUUACACCAUAAAACAUUAGUAUUAGUUAGAAGCUAUUGUGGUAUUAGAAAAAACAAAAAGAAAAAAAAAGUGAAAGACACUUGUCUUAGUGCAUGUAAAUGUCUAACGUACAAGAAGCAAAAUGUUGCACCUUCCAUUCUAUUAGAAACCGAAAAAAAGUACCAGUACUUGUUAUUGUCUUCCAUUAGAAAACCGAAACUACUAGCACUUGCCUUUGUCUACCAUUCGAACCAAGAGUUAUACAAACUACUAGUACGUGGCAUUAGCCUUCCAUUAGAAUUGAGAGGAAGAGUAAAAGAAACACAACCUUUGUUUCUUCCUUAACCUGUUAAAACUGAAAAGAAACAACAAGAGAAUUAGGCACUUUCUUCGUCCCUGCAACCGUAAACAUCAGCCAAGAAAACAAGGAAACUCUAGCUCAGUUAGCUACGGAUUCAAGAGGGAGAGACAGCUGAACUUUCCAGUCCACAAACGUGAAGAAACCGGAGGUAAUUAACUACUUUUCUUCUUCAAUUUUCUGCUACUUCUAGUUAGUAAUGUUUUAGGUUGAGUUAAAACCAAGAAAAGAAUCAUCAAAGCUGGAAAGUUUGUUUAAAGUUUCGGCAUGCUGUCCGAUAGAAAAGCUGCAAUUUUGGUUUUUUUUUUUUAAAGAAUUUUGCUAGAGUAUGAAAGGAAUCCAUGCUUUUAUGCUCUGUAUAUUCUUUAUUUGGUGAUGCCUGUAAGUUUUACGGUGAAAAGCUUAACUCUUGUGGCUGGAAUUCUUGUCUAGAGGACUGCAUGGCCGCUGGAAAAUUUCCAGCUUGCCCCGAUGAUGAAUCUUCUGGUUUAAAACUAAAAUUUGACAAGAAGUUUUUGCUGGAUUUCGAAGCUACAUAAUCUUAUUGCAAUGUUUAUGUGAAUGCAUGUCGAAUUUGGUUGAUGUUUGAUGCAUUAAAUGAAAUGUUGGAGAAGGUAUAUGGCUGGAAACUUCAGCUUUGAACUCGAGAAUGCUGUUAUGUUUUCUUAAGCUUAAAUUUCAUCUUAUUUCAUCUUGUAAUCUGAAAUUUAUGCAUAAAUUGAUAAAAAAAACAUACCUACUCCUCUGUUUUACUCUGUAUAUUGCGAUUGUCCUGAUUUGGGAGGAAAUAACUAAAUCUAAGAAAAGAAAUGGGAGCUGGUCGAGCAUGCAAAACUGUUUGGCAGAUUUGGGUUUAUUGGAUGAAUUCGAUUGUAUUGCUGAGUUUUUCUGGAAAUUUUAGCUAAGUCUUAACCAAAACGAUCUAUAACAAAAUGAUAGUAAAAUGUACCUUGAAUUUGAGGAAGUUUAAGCAAGAAAAUAGCAAACUAAAGGAAGAAACUUGACUACCCAUUGCUGGAAAACUGUUUCGAAUUAUUCUAAAACAAGUGCUUAGAUUUUGAGUCUAAUUUUGAAUUCUAAAAUGGAACUUGAACCAAAACUGACCAAAAUCUCUUCAAACCAUCUUAUAACAGUUUUACUUGUGAAAAUUCAUCCAAAAUAUAGGAUAAAAUCAAGGAAGCUCAUAGUAGUACUAAGCUGCCAAUCUCUAGGAAAUUUAUCAACUUUGAACUUUGAUUUCUAAAAUGACCCUUAGGACCUAGAUUCCAACUUUUAUAAGAAAAGGUAAGUUGUAGCUACCACUUAAUCACCUUAACUUACUAUAUUUCAACAAAAUAUAGAAUUUUAAGACUUAAGGGGGUUAAGUUACCUAAACUUUGGAACUAGGAGUAACUAGAAUAAAAUAAGUACUAAGAUUACCUCAAAACAAAAGAAAUAAAAUGUAUACAUUUAAACAUCUUGGAUCAUACAUACAGGUAUAUAUAUAUAUAUAUAUACACUUUUAGCUAAUUGUAUAAUAUUAAGUUGAAUUUAGUUAAAAGAAUCGAGUAAGCCUAAACAGCUAGAAUAAUCACUUAAAACCUAUUAUUUUUGCCAAGUAUUACACUUAAACAUCACUUUAGGAAAUUUAACAAAUAAUCUAAUAAAUUUACAAAUAUCCCAGGGGCCAAGGAUGAACCGAAGAAGGGGCCGAGCAUCAAGGAGUGAAUUCCAACUACUUUAGGUGAGUGUUUCCACAUUUGUGUGUUUAAAUUGCCUAUGUGCUACUUAAACGAUGGCUACAUGAUUAUGCUAGUGCUUUAUUGUGAAGUGUUUUCAAUUGUCCCUCGUCUUCUAACUCGUUAAAGAUUGAUAAUUGACCAAGUGUUUUUGUAAGUAUGCAUGAUUGUAAGCCGUGUACGUAUUUCAUCGUACUUGCUGAACUGAGCCCCAAAACCCUUUGUUCAAUAAACUAUUUGAGCCAGCAAAAGGGCUUGGUCGGAUAGAACGGUAGCUUUGGGUAAGUGUUUCAAUAUGUUCGAGUAUUACCAUACAGUAAUAGAUUACUGAACUGAUAUGGCUAUCUAAGUGAGGGAAGUGUUUACUGUUUUGGAGGUUAUAAGGGGGAGUUCAGUGGAGUGUGUAGUAUAUUGAAAUGGCUAUAAUGGAAACAUUGUAUCCUUUUGAAAGUGAUUGUUCAGUGAAGUGUUCUUUAUUUUAUUCAAUGAAGUGUUCUUUUCUUGUUUAAUUUUGAUUAUGUGUUAAGUUUUUGAUGAUUAAUGCUUGUUUAGAAAAUCUCACUGGGUUUCGCUCAACCCAUUUAGUUUGUUUUUCUUACAGGAAGGGAGAACGGGAGUAGGGAGUAGUUAGGAGUUAAGCCGAGACCCGAAAUUGUACUUGGAAAAUUCCUUUAGUAGUUAAAUGUUAUAGUUAUUCUAACUUUUAUUUUCAAAGGUUAUAAGUAUAUAUAUAUAUAUUAAAUGCUUUAGAAUAAGACAUCUUUACUUUUGUUUGGGAUGUACUUAAGUAUGAUGGACUGUUAAUGGCUUUAGUUACUGAAAUGUUAUCUCUCAAUUUAAUGUGAGUGAGGGAGUCCUGAUAAGAGUCAAGCAGGUGGUCCACUUAACCCUUUGGUUCACCUUAGGAUCCAGCUGGAUCGUCAUAGGUGGUAUCAGAGCAAUCUCGCGUGGUUUCUACGCGAGGUGAGUUUGGGCCAAGUGGUGUUAUGGUCUCGAUUACGUGAAUGAGUGCAAGGGACAAAGUGCUCUUAUUGAGCAUAAGGUAGGACAUGAUUAUUGAACUAUGAAUUUUAGUAUAUUAGGCGUAAAAACUUUAUCAUGAUACUCGGGAAAAUUAGAAUUGUAUGUCGGGUAGGAAUUCCAAAUAUGGUUGAUUUACUCUUGGGAUCGGCUGGCUUGAGUUGUGAAUUAUCUUAUUUUCAGAUUCUUGUACCCGAAUACCAAAUAUUUCAUUCAAUGGUGUAUUUGCAAAUUGGGAAGGAUUUAGUAUAUUGCAUUAUGAUGUAAUUAGAAAUCAUGAUUGAAUUUAGGGAAGUAGAACCGAAGAUAUCAAGGCUAACUUUUGAGAGUUAAAGGUGAAGAGGUAGUAGUGAGAUCUUGAAAAUUAGUUCAAAUUCUCCAUUUUAAGAUGAAUAAUUUUACUAGUCCUUCAAUGGUAAAUGGAUUAUAUGCCACCUCUUGCCUAAAAAUAUGAUUUUCAGACUUGGAAUUUGAGUGAAAUAGUAGUUUAAGUAAGGACCAUGUGGCUGUGAAUAGCUUUAAAUUGUAAGGAGACAACUUGAGCUGAGAUAAGUUUGAUAAAUCUGCCAUGUGAUUAGUAUGCUACCAUUUGCAAGUAAUUAUAUGUGAGUUCUCAAUGAAAUUGUGACUCCUUAAAAUUUAUUGGAAGAUUAUUUGGGGCUAAUGUCCAAUAUGAUAAAAUACCUAGUUGUUGAGUUAUUAGAAAACCCAAUGUAUGAAAUGUUUGAGUUCAUUUAGAAUACUUAAGAGCCAUUGAUGUAUUUAGAUAAUGAUCAUACUAUUUGAUUUGGUAUCAAAUGUAGUAGAUCUACAAUUUACUAAGGAAUCUUUGAUUAGUUUUACUGAUGAGGUAAUUGGACUUGUAAAUGCAUUUGAAGAUAUUAUCACUUCGACUAUUUUGAGAGUCCAUGAUACAUUAUUGACUUUGAAAUGGGAUAUUUGUACCCGACAGUUAGUGUGAAACGGGCUAUGAUCAAUUUGAAGAAAACUAGUAGGGUAAUAGUGAAAUGAGAGGAAAGUGUAAGGCUAAAUUUUUAUUGGUAUAUGUUUUAGACAUUUGUCAUGAACCAUGACACUUGUCAUCAUUUUCCUUUUGCCAUCUGUUCAAAACAAUCUAAUGCUUUUAGCAAGACAAAAACUUAUUCUUGCAUGUUCCUUUUCCUUGGCAACCGAGACAAGUUUUUGCUUGUUUCUUUUCCCUAUCAAAUCGAGAGACAAGUAGAAUUUAAGAUUGAAUUGAUGCCUAAAAGAAAUCCUAUUUCUAAGAUACCUUAUUGUAUGACAUCACUUGAACUUAAGGAGUUAGAGAUACAGUUACAGGAUCUAUUGGAACCAGGCUUUAUACGACCCAGUGUAUUCUCGUGGGAAGUGCCAGUAUUGUUUGUCAAAAAGAAAGAUGGACGGUUGACACUGUGUAUAAAGUAUUGGGGUUUAAAUAAUGUUGUAGUUAAGAAUAAAUACCUUUCGCUAUAUAUUGACAAGUUAUUUGAUCAACUUUAAGGAAUAGUGGUACUGUUUAAGAUAGAUCUUAGGAAGGGAUAUUAUCAACUAUAAAUUAAGAUGGAAGAUAUAGCUAAGACGGUCUUUAAUAUACAAUAUGGACAUUAUUAGUUUAUAGUGAUGCCCUUUGGAUUAGCUAAUGCUCCAACGACAUUCAUGAAUUUAAUGCAUUGGGUUCUUUAGGCCAUAUUUGAAUCAAUUCGUGCUGAUAUUCAUCAACGAUAUUUUGAUGCAUUCGAAAACUUGGGAGGAACAUGAGCAGCACUUGAGGAUGGUAUUGUAAACUUUAAGGAAGCAUUAGUUAUAUGCUAAGCUCAGUAAGUGUGAGAUUUCGUUGGAAAAAGUGUCGUUUCUAGGGUAUACAUUUCCAACGAAGGAACCACUAUGGAUCUGGUUAAGGUAAAGGCUAUUAUCAAUUGGAAAUAACCAAAAAAAACCCUACUGAAAUUCAUAGUUUCUUGGUUUAGCGGGAUCCUAUCAUCAAUUUAUUCAAAACUUUUACAAGCACAGGAGAAAAUUUCGAGAACGAAAUUCUUUUAAUGGGGAGAGAGCGUGAGAAUCUGAAAAUUUUCAUGUCUUAUUUAAAAAUUAGAGCAUGUUACAUUUUUCCUUUUGUUAUUGAUUGAUUUACGUGUUCAUUGCUCCUUUUAAUAAACAAAUGAAUUGAUACACCUUAGGAGAAAUUGUAUCCUUUACACCAUAAAACAUUAGUAUUAGUUAGAAUCUGUGGUAGUAUUAGAAAAAAAAAAGGAAAAAAAUGUGGAAGACACUUGUCCUAAUGCAUGUAAAUGUCUAACAUACAAGAAGCAAAAUGUUGCAUCUUCUAUUCUAUUAGAAACCGAAAGAAACUACCAGUACUUGGUAUUGUCUUCCGUUAGAAAAUCGAAACUACUAACACUUGCCUUUGUCUGCCAUUAGAACCGAGAGUUAUACAAACUACUAGUACGUGUCAUUAGCCUUCCAUUAGAACCGAAAGGAAGAGUAAAAGAAACACAACCUUUAUUUCUUCCUUAACCUGUUAAAUCCGAAAAGAAACAACAAGAGAAUUAGGCGCUUUCUUCAUCCCUUCAACUGUAAACAUCAGCCAAGAAAACAAGGAAACUCUAGCUCAGUUAGCUACGGAUUCGAGAGGGACAGAGAACUGAACUUUCUAGUCCACAAACGUGAAGAAACUAGAGGCAGUUAAUUACUUUUCUUCUUCAAUUUCCUGCUACUUCUAGUUAGUAAUGUUUUUGGUUGAGUUAGAACCAAGAAAAGAAUCAUCAAAGCUGGAAAAAUUCUUUAUUUAAAGUUUCAGCAUGUUGUCUGAUAGAAAAGCUGCAAUUUUGGUUUUUUUUAAAGAAUUUUGCUAGAUUAUGACUGGAAUCCAUGCUUUAUGCUCUGUAUAUUCUUUAUUUGGUGAUGCCUAUAAGUUUUACGAUGAAAAGCUUACCUCUUGUGGCUGGAAUUCUUGUUUGGAGGAUUGCAUGGCUGCUGGAAAAUUUCUAGCUUGACCAAUGAUGAAUCUUCUGGUUUAAAACUGGAAUGUGACGAGAAGUUUUUGCUAGAUGUCAAAGCUACUUAAUCUUAUUGCAAUGUUUAUGUAAAUGCAUGUCAAAUUUCAUUGAUGUUUGAUGCAUUAAAUGAAAUGUUGGUGAAGAUAUAUGGCUGGAAACUUCAACUUUGAACCCGAGAAUGUUGUUAUAUUUUCUUAAGCUUAGAUUUCAUCUUGUAAAUUGAAAUUUACACAUAUAUUGAUCAACAAACAUCCCUACUCCUCUGUUUUACUCUGUAUAUUGCGAUUGUCCUGAUUUGGGAGGAAAUAACUAAAUCUUAGAAAAGAAAUGAGAGCUGGUCGAGCAUGCUAAACUGUUUGGCAGAUUUGGAUUGAUUGGAUGAAUUCGAUUUGUAUUGCUGAGUUUUUCUGGAAAUUUUAGCUAAGUUUUAACCAAAACGAUCUAUAAUAGAAUGAUAGUAAAAUGUACCUUGAAUUUGAGGAAGUUUAAGCAAGAAAAUAGCAAACUAAAGGAAGAAACUUGACUACCCAUUGCUGGAAAACUGUUUCGAAUUAUUCUAAAACAAGUGCUUAGAUUUUGAGUCUAAUUUUGAAUUCUAAAAUGGAACUUGAACCAAAACUGACCAAAAUCUCUUCAAACCAUCUUAUAACAGUUUUACUUGUGAAAAUUCAUCCAAAAUAUAGGAUAAAAUCAAGGAAGCUCAUAGUAGUACUAAGCUGCCAAUCUCUAGGAAAUUUAUCAACUUUGAACUUUGAUUUCUAAAAUGACCCUUAGGACCUAGAUUCCAACUUUUAUAAGAAAAGGUAAGUUGUAACUACCACUUAAUCACCUUAACUUACUAUAUUUUGAUAAAAUAUAGAACUCUAAGACUUAAGGGGGUUAAGUUACCUAAACUUUGAAACUAGGAUUUACUGUAAUAAGAUAAGUACUAAGAUUACCUCGAAACAAAAGAAAUAAAAUGUAUACAUUUAAACAUCUUGGAUCAUACAUAUAGGUAUAUAUAUAUAUAUACACACUUUUAGCCAAUUGUAUCAUAUUAAGUUGAGUUUAGUUAAAAGAAUCAAGUAAGCCUAAAUAGCUAGAAUAAUCACUUAAACUCUUAAUUUCACAAAGUAUUACACUUAAACAUCACUUUAGGAAAUUUAACAAAUAAUCUAAUAAAUUUACAAAUAUCUCAAGGGCCGAGGGUGAACUGAAGGAGGGACCGAGCACCGAGAAAUGAAUUCUAGCUACUUUAGGUGAGUGUUUCCACAUUUGUGUGUUUAAAUAGGCUAUGUGCUACUUAAACGAUGGCUAUAUGAUCAUACUAGUGCUUUAAUGUGAAGUGCUUUCAAUUGUCUCUCGCCUUCUAAGUCGGGAGUGUAUUUGAUUGCACUCGACUUAAUUUGAGAUUAAAGGUUGAUAAUUGAUCAAGUGUUAUUAUAAUAUGCAUGACUGUAAGCCGUGUACGUACUUCAUCGUAUCAGCUGAAUUGGGCUCCAAAACCCUUUGUUCAAUGGAUUAUUCGAGCCAACAAAAGGCUUUGGUCGGAUAGCACGGUGGUUUUGCAUAAGUUUUUCAGUAUGCUCGAGUAUUACCAUGUAGUAGCAAAUUACUGAACUGGUAUAGCCAUCUAAGUGAGGGAAGUGUUUACUAUUUUGGAGGUUAUAAGGAGGAGUUCUGUGGAGUGUGCAAUGUAUUAAAAUGGCUCUAAUGCGAGCGCCGUAUCCUUUUGAAAGUAAUUGUUCAAUGAAGUGUUCUUUACUUUAUUCAAUAAAGUGUUUUUUUCUUGCUUAAUUUUGAUUACGUGUUAAGUGUUUGAUGAUUAUUGCUUGCUUGGGAAACCUCAUAGGGUUUUGCUCAACCCAUUUAGUUUGUUUUUCUUACAAAAAGGGAGGACAGGAAUAGGGAGUAGCCAAGAGUUAAGUUGGGACCCGAAAUUGUACUUGGAAGAUUCCUUUAGUACUUAAAUGUUAUAGUUAUUCUAACUUUUAUUUUCAAAGGUUAUAUAUAUAUAUUAAACGGUUUAGACUAACAUAUCUUUACUUUUUUGGGAUGUACUUAAGUAUGAUGGACUGUUAAUGGCUUUAGUUACUGAAAUGUUAUCUCUCAAGUUAAUAUGAGUUCUAACGAGAGUCAGGUAGGCAGUCCGCUUAACCCUUUAGUGUGACGCCCCCACUUCUCCCAAGGGCGAACCCAAGGGUAUCCGCGGGACGCCUGCCCAACUCUCGCCAGGACUCGGUACAAUUUCCCUUCAAAUUUAAGAAUAACCGAUCAAUACUAAAAGUCGAAGGUAUAAAGGAAAGUCAAUUCCUUAAUAAUCGUUCAAGUCUUACAUCAUAAGUUACCAAAAUAUCUUACAUUACUAAAAUAUACAACUUCCAAAAGUUGUCUAAACGAAUACAUUCAAAAUUCUAAUCAAAAGGGCCAUCAAAUCGACCUCUCCACAAUUCCUUCCAUUUCAGCUCCUGUUAAAGAAAACAAAUCUAACGGGGUGAGCGAAUGCUCGUGAGGCCAAGAAAACAUGCAACACGCAUAGUACAAAUAACAAUAGCACUUACGCAAGAAUGAGAGCUAUAAUAUUCAGGUGAUUCACAAUUUAUACUAAGAUACCCUUGAGUAGGAUACAGGAGCUCUUAUGAGCUAAUUUCUAUUUGUUUUGUCAAAAUUCAAUCCAAUACUUCCUUGUGAUGACAUUCCAUCACCCAAUUAGGUAAUCAAAUCCGUAGAAUUUCACUUUUUCAAGUAUGGUUCUGAGUCGACAUGAGAGGUACCUCCCACCCGAAUCGGUGUGGUACAUGCUAUCGCUCAGGGAAUCGAUUACACGUUUAUGGUUCUGAGUCGACAUGAGAGGUACCUCCCACCCGAAUCGGUGUGGUACAUGCUAUCGCUCAGUGGUCGAUUAGACAUCGCUCCAAUCGACUUAUACUUUAUUUAUAGUUUUGAGUCGACAUGAGAGGUACCUCCCACCUGAAUCGGUGUGGUACAUGCUAUCGCUCCGAGAACCAAUUAUAGCACUGAGACAGUAUGAGAGGUACCUCCCACCCAGAUUGGUGUGGUACAUGCUAUCCGCUCAGAGCUCAUGAGUUAAACAUAUUCAUGUACAAUUACCAAUUAUUGUUUAUAGUUCUGAGUCGACAUGAGAGGUACCUCCCACCCGAAUCGGUGUGGUACAUACUAUCGCUCAGGGAACCGAGUAUAGCACUGAGUCGGGAUGAGAGGUACCUCCCACCCGAAUCGGUGUGGUACAUGCUUCCCCUCAGAGCUUACGAGUUAAACAUGUCUAUAAACAGUUACCGAUCAUGUGUAUCCAUGUAACAAGUAUUUGCAUAAUUAAAGGAAGGAGAGAACGAGGGUGUCCUCACGUAUAUACACAUAAGUCGAGGAGGCUCACUCCACUCGACAUCACAACACAAAUAUGGUUGGCAAUAACAAUACUUCACUUAAUUCCUAUAACAAUUCAUUUCACACAAUUCAAAUAUCAAUCCACAUAGCACAUUUUAACUGUAGCAUUCCCCAAAGGAGAACGAGCGCGAUAAAAUACACACUCGUCUCAACAAGUUUACGUAUCAUGUAUAACACUUGUACAAUUCACAUUUCAAUUACAUAAGUAUUUAACAUGCACUUGACACUCACCAAGUAAACAAGAAGAAACGGCACUCGAAGUUCAAGCGUCCACCGUGGGAUCCUCUUGAAGUUCCUCUCGUGUGCCUGAGCAAUUAAUAAGGAUUUAUCACUCAAAAUCCCCAAUUAUUACAAAGAUUGUACUUAAUGCACAAUCUAAGAAAAUCCCAAAGAAAACGGAUCCCAACCACUCGUAAAUCGGGGUUCAAAGAUGGGAUUUUAAAGCACCAAAGCAAUUGAGGUUUCAUCUUGGAAAUCAAGUUUAAUACUUUCAAGUAACAUCAAAGGAAUAAGGAGAAUUCAAAAAUCUCUAUUUCCUUAAGAUUUGGAAAUUUCAGUUUUGGUACGAGAUCUUUGAAAAACCGUAUCUCAUUCUUUACAAGUCCAAAAUUGGAAAACUUGGUACCGUUGGAAACCUCUUCCAAAGUACUAAAAGUUCCUAGAAUACACUUCUCUAAUAUUCCAAAUGAAAAACAUUCAAAAAUGAGCUCAAAGUCGCUGUUUUGGUUCAUAAGGCAGAUUUAAGUUGGUUUUUGGCCAACUUUGAAAAUUCGGAAAAAUUCACUUGAUUGGAACUAGCCUUUGAAAUUUGCAAAUCUAGUAGUGUUGUAACCCAAGUUUACAACAAAAUAAGCGGAACGAGAAAUGGAGUUUUGAGUACCAAGAUAUGGUAGCUCAAAGUUACCCAAAUUUCCUUGUUAAACAAGGGUUUUCCAAAAUCAAGUCUUGAACUUUGGAAAUUUAUUUGAGCCAUGAAACGGUCUCGGAAUAACACCAAAAUUAGUAGUAUAAUACCACCAUAUAAGGGUUGUCCCUCUACCAAAUUUCAUGGAAAAAUACCUUCGGGAAGGUAGUCAACCAAACAUCCAAAGUUUCGAAAAUCCUAAGGCAGAACUGCCUUGAGCUUUUUGGUUUUCCAUUCCAAACAUUUGGUCAAGGAAAAUCCUCCAAACAUAGUUCAUUAGUGUAGGCAAAGCCUAAGGAACAUUCAUGGUACAUUUGGUAAGUGUUUAACACCCAAAAAAUUCAAUUAGCAAGUCUACACCAAGCCUUGCAUCAAAUCUGUCCAAAAGUUAGGGUUUUCAAGAGUAGGGCAGGUUCCGUAUUUUGAUCAAAAAUCACUCAAAUUAACUCGGAAUUGAGCAUGGUUUAUGGCGUUGGAAAAUACAUUUAUAGAGCUAUAAUUUUACAGAAGAAAUCAUUUUGAAAUUCGGCAUACAACUAGCUCGAAUUCGAGCCACAAGUUGCAGCCUCAGCAUUUCUUUCCAGGAAAACAGAGAAACAGAACAGCCGACUUUAAAUGGUUGGUUCGGCUCACAUACAUGGAAUCAGAACAUGAAUUUUAUACCGUUGGAAAGGUGAGAAUGUCUAGUUUCAAAUGCCACUGACGGCACUCAAUUUCAACAUCGAAGCACAGAGUUAUAGAUGAAACAAGAAAGCUGGUCUGAGCAUUACGGGAACAGUUUCCAGGUCUGCUACCUUCACGAAAAUAAUUCAUUUGACCAACCAAACCUCAAUAUUUUUCAAUGAAAUUUUGUACACCAUCUAUACAACAUAUAAACAUCAUAUAAAAGCCAUUAAACCCUCAAAAUUUCGCAGAAAUAGGUACGUUCAAAGUAGGGGCAGAAUCGGAACUUUUUACUCCAUGCACCCCUUGAAGUUUCUACUAAUAAUACACCAUUAAUCUACCAUUUUGAGUACUAAACCAACAUUAAAUCCAUCAUCAAUGAUCACAUCAGCCAUCAUCCAAGAGUGGGAGUUCAUAGAGCCCACAUUCACAAUUUUCCAACAAUAACAAGCCACUCACAUGAAUAACUAAGCUCAUAAGUGUAAAACAACUUCCAAACUUCAAGUUUUCAAGAGUGGAUCAUCACUUACUUUGGUUUGAUGUUCAAGCAGAAUUUCAGCCCCCUUUACUCCAGCAAAACCGUGAUUUUCAGCUCCCCUUUGCAGCUCAAAAUGAUCCUUAAGUGUUAAGCCAAGUGUGGUUUAAGUUUGGUGUGAAUUGGAUGAAGAUUUGUGCAAGAUUUGGAGAUGGAGAAAUUGAGAAGUCUUGGGUUGUUUUUGCAGCUUGAUGGCCGGCUGAAAUGGAGCAUGAGAGAGGGAAAGUGUGUUCAAAUUUGGCUUCCUAAGGAAGCUUCACUUGUGUGGCUAGAAAUGGUGCAAAAGUCAACUCUUCUACGCGCGCACUUGCGCGCAUUUCGCGCUCGAUUCCUCUCGCAUUUGUUUCACCAGUGCACUAAACCUCUAGUACACUUAUAUUCAUACAAAUAUUAUGCACUCUUAAUUGUCCCAAAAUAAUAGUCUAAAGUUCCUCAAUUAAUCGCGCGCGUGAAAACGCAUAUUUCCAAUUUAUGCGCGAUAGAGUGAAACUUUCGAGAAAUUCUUAUAACGAUCGUACCACUAACUAUCACUUGAGUACUUAAACCUAAAAUUACCUAUUUUAGGACCAUUGUACAUGUCUCCAAUUUUCCAAGCUUAUUGUACUCCCAAUUGGCUAAAAUUUUCAAACAUGUUUUCACUAUUUUCAUUAAUCGAGCUUCCAAAAAUUAAUUUUUGAAACGAGUCACUUUAAAACUAUAAUGAAGUCAUAAUUCCAUGUAUUUAAGUCUAAUAAGGUUAGAAAAUAUUAUUCAGGGCAAAUCCAAAUAAAUAAUUAAAUGAGCCAAAAAUAGGGGUUUAAAAAUCGGAAAAUAUGCGGGUCCUCACAUUUAGUUUGCCUUAGGGUCCGGCCGAGUCGUCACAACCUGACCCACAUAGCAUAUAUUUUUUAUUUUUAUAUACAUAUAUAAAAUAUUAUUUUAAGAGCUAAGUAAGUAAUUUCAUUAAAAAAAUUACGCCCAAAUAUGAGUGCUUAUAAUUUGUUUACAAGAUUCAUUUAUAGAGGUCAUAAUCUUAUUUUAAAAAAGAAAAAGUUUAAUUGAUGUAGAAUAUAUAUAUAUAUGUGUGUGUGUGUAUAAGGGAAAUGCUUAUAACAAUUUUCAUUAGUUUUGGAUUCAUUUUUUUUCUUGUAUUCUCUUUGUGUGUCUGUUUCUCAACAUAAGACUUUUUUGGGUAAAAUCUACUUCUACGGGUAGAAUGUGCGUGCCCAUUGGAAUGUACUCAUUGGUAGUAAACAAUCUGGAAAUCCGAGGUGCAGAGUAAUGAGCUAGAAGGCACAAAAAUAAAGCAUUAAACAUUCACGCAAAGAAGCAUAUUACAAGCCAAAUAACUGAUAACUAACUAAACAUAAGAGCAAUGCAAACAAGAGUUACCGAGCAAUAGGAAAAGGAGAAGCUGCAGAACUUGUGUUCUCUAUUUUACGGAAAUUACCGAGAAGGAAGCUGAGACCAAACAAAAUGGAAAAAAAAAUUUCUAAGCUUUAAUCUGUUUCAUCAAAGUUCAAACGUAGCCUUCUUGUUUACUAUUGUCAAAAAUUUCAUCUAAAAAAGUAGUUAAUGGUAAGUAAAUCAUCCAUUGAUUCAUGGUCCGAUCUAAUGGUGAAUGUAUGAUAAAAGUACAAAGAACAAUUGAUCAAGUGGUUGAAAUUUAUACAAAGGACAACCUAACUCUUAGCAAAUAGUAAACAUCCAAUCAUGACAUGUGAUUGAAGGAAGUAAAACAAUGGCCUAUGACUUGUAAAGAUUGUUUAAAUUUUACCAUUGAAUGAUCUCACGGUUACAAUUGGAAAACAAUUAACCACUGCAAAUCCAACGGCCCAAAGUUAAGCAAGAUAUCAAAAAUAUUUUUAAAAAAUUGAAAAAACUCAAAUAAAUAAAAACGUUAAAAGUUGCUUUGUAAUUAACUAUGGCUUAGCUAAAAAUGAUAAUUCUUAGACUGACUGUUUCAUUUUAAUUAUGUAAAAUAGAUUAUAUAUAUAUUCCCUAGCACAACACUUGUAGUCCUACUACAAAAAAUAAUUUUUCCAUAUUUCUUUUUAAAUAUUUAUCAGAGAUAUGAUUUAUACAUCUUAAUAUUUUUCCCCAUACUGUAAAAAUAUAAGUUUUAACAUAUCUUUUCCAAUAAAUUCUAGACAAAUAAAACCUAAAAAAUUACUUUCUAAAUAGAUAAAGCUCAUAACUGGCGUAUUUGUUUUCAUUUCUAUGCCAUUAGUUAAAUUAUCUCUUAUCCAAUCUCUCGGUAUCAUGAAAAAUUUAUUAAUUUUUUGUAUCUCUUCCUGUCCAUAAUCCCAAAGAAUAAGGAGAGUGUUUAUAAAAAUUACAAAUUGAAGUAGGCGAUGCACUUAUAUAUGCUUUGUCAAUAAUUAACCUAGCAUUUAAACCCCUUCUCAUGAUGUUUCUACUCUCAUUAGAAAAAAUAACGAUUUUGGUGUUUCAUUUUCCCUUAAAGUAUAAAUAAUUCUAAAAAAAUAUACAAAAUAAAUAGGUUGCAUUUUGAAUAUUAACCUUGCAUUUAUACUAAAAUCUAUUAUGCUUAUACAUUUAUCUGAAGUAAUAAAUCAUAAAUUUUAUUUUCAAAAAAAUUAAUAUCAAAUACUUCUCAAUUAAUUAUUUAUUAAUGACUAAAGAAGUAAUAAGCAUUCAGCUGUUGUUCAACCAAAUGCUCAUUCAACCAGGCGAUGUAGUUAUAUUUGAUUUCCAAAUAAUUAACAUACCAUUUAAAUCUCUUCCAUGAUGUUUCUACUUUUAUUGCAAAAAAUUAAUUUUUGUAUUUUUUUUCCCUUAAAUCCAAAUCAUUUUUAAAAACUACAAAAAAAAUAAAUGAGGUUGCACUCUGAAUAAUUAACAUUGCACUUGCACUUAAAUCUAUUACGCUUAUACAUUUAUCCAAAGUAAUAAUUCGUAAAUUUAUUUUUUGGAUAAAAUUUAUUAGUAUCAAAUAUUUCUCAAUAAAUUGUUUAUUCUUGACUAAAGAAGUAAUAAACAAUCAGCCAUUAUGGACUUAAAUGUUCCUUGACUAGGCUGGUUAAUUCGCUCUGCAUAAUAAUUAGAGGGGAGGAAAAAAUUUUAUAUAUUUGCAUUGAAAGCAAAAGAAGGAAACAAAGAAGGCUCCUCACACCUCUCAUUGCACCACGUGGUAGCUCUUGAAGCUACCAUAGCAAAAAGCAACCCGAUCUUAUAUAAUAAUUAGAGGAACCAGGCUGGCCCUCCCAAAAAUACUGAUCAUUGAAAAAGCAUAUGUAACAAUUCUAGUUGCAAAAUAGGUACAUAAUACCAUAAUUACCAUUCAUAGAUAGUUGUCAACAAUUUCAGUAGCAGUUACACACCUUCCAGUACAAUUAAGUUCCAAGUAGAGAUACAUUGGCAUGCUAAUAGUCUUUUUCAAAGUUCAUUUUAGUUACAUAAUAUCAUCUAUUAGGAUCCAUUAACUUCUAGUCAUCGUGAGAAUGUUAAUGGAUUCUAAUAUGAUGGCAAACGAUAGCAUGCUAAAAGUUCAGUAGCAUCCAUGAUGAGCAAAAGGAUGAACAACAAAAGGAUGAACAAAAGAGGACAUGAAGCUGUGUGGCUGCUUCAUUUUGCAGAUUCACGUGGCUUCUUGAGAGGGCUCAUAUGAGCAGAUUUUGAAGAUGCAGGCUUGUUGUCUUCAGGACCAUUUUUUGCAGCAAUUGAGGGAACAACUUCAAUGGUUGUCUUCUCUGCAGAAGUUACAUUAGUUCUGGGAAUUGGAGUUUCAAAAAUUAAGCUUCUUUUUGCAGCAAUGUUUGAAGAGAUUGGCUUAUCUGCAUUAUCAGACUUGUGCCCAAUUGAAUCUAGGAUCAUUUUUGUUGUUGGGCUAAAGAAUUGCCCUUCAGUGGCAGGUUGGUCAGUGAAAGUGGAGCGAGCAGUUAAGUCAACCUGUUCAAUGCUGUUGGUCAGCUUCUCAGUUAUGGUUGGAGCAGUUGGAACAGGCUCUUCCACAGGAUUAGAGGCAGCUGUGCGCGUGAUUGCUGGGUUGAUUUCAGCCAAUUCUUCAGCAGUGUAUAUUUUGACGAUGCUAUACUUAUCAUCUUUCUGUCUUUGAUAAUCUGAAUCGAAAUGGCAGACAAAGCAUAGGACUUGACGGUUAUCAAUUGCAGAUGCAAUUUCAGAAAAAACCUCAACACCCUAUAUUUUGCAAAUGAACAAAAAAAAAAGUUCAAUACCCUGUAUUUUAAAAAAUUUUAUAGACUACCAGAAAAUGUAAACAUGAUGCAAUUUCAGAAGAAAGCUUAAUAGUAACAUAGAUUGAAGGUGACAUGGGCUAUCUUAUUGCUGGAUAAAAGAAACUUUUAGCUAGUUCCAGUUAGGAAUUUUGUUUUUUGACUACGAUUGAGUCUUGUCCUUGGAAAGAAUAGCAAAAUAACCAGAGGGAUAUUACCAGAUUUGUAGGCCAAUCACAAAAGAAAAUAGAGAUAUUGCAUGUUAAUGGUAUGAGUUUUUCAGCAUCUUACGUGUUCAUCAACUUCACUUAGUUGUACUGCUGUGAAUGGUAUGAGUUUUUCAGCAUCUGUACCAAACACUACUGCAUACAUUGAACUUGUUCCAUCAUCAAUGAUAAUUCCAAUACGGCAUCUAGUAUAUGAUAGCAGUGAAUAAUAGCUAAUCAAUGAAAUAAAACAGAAUUAUUGUUAAGAGCACUAUUGUAAAAUUGCAUGCCUUGUUUACCUGGUUUCAACGGCAUUUUCUUCUCUACAAGAUGGACAUCUGAUGAUCCAUUCCAAAUUAGCAUCUAUAGCCUUUUUGACAGUUACUACAUGCAGCAUACCAGAAAGAUCGCUGCUCAGCUGCCAAAGAAGUAUUUCCUCGUAUCCAGGCAGUCUUGACCUAUAGUUUAUAUUGUAUUAGAUGCAAAGUUAAGUAAUUCAUUUUUCACUAAUGUAAAAGGUAAGAAAAUAGUAUAAGUCAGUUGCUGAAAUGACUGUAUUUACAUUUUUCAGCAUGCUCACAGCGUUCUCAACACUAAUGAUAUCAUCAUUUUUUGGGCGGAGGCAGCAAUUUGGUUGAGUCUUUGUAACUGGCCUCCUCAAUUAGUUGUAAAAUUUCCUGCCGAUUCUGAUCAUACCUGUGAACAUAAAUAUGACAUGUUAUAUUUUUCAGUUUUUAUGUAUAAUUAUAAAACAUGAUAUGCUUACCAUUGCCUUAAUACAGUGGCUUGAGGAGUUGGUGGAUUCACCAGCAGACAACAUGCAAGCCUUGUUGUUAGAGAUAGAUCUAAGAAAAUAGUAUAUAAUUAAUUCAUUAAAGUUGAAGUAUGGCAGGCAAAGUAGUAAUAAUUUCUUGAGCAAUGGGAGCUGUAACUUAUAGUUAAAAGUAAUUACUUUGACUCUCAUAGCUAUGAUGAUGUUGUUGUUUGUGAUAGUGUUUGCCAGCUGUGCUCCUUUAUUUGCUUCAAAUUCGAUCCACAGAAUAAGGAGCAUUGGCCUUUUUCUAAAAAGGCAAUAAAUAUGAUAAAAAUUAAAGAAUGUAAUAAGUUUAUUUAGUAAAUUGAAAGUCUAUUCUUUUGUUCCUGUUGGCUUACUCUUGAUUAAUAACAACCAAGUCUCUAGUCGUUGAAUCAAGACCCUGUUCCCUUGAAGGAAAAGCAUGCACGACAAUACCCUGGAUAUCUAUUAUUCAAAAGAAUAUUUCAAUCUAAGGAUAAGCUGAAAAUAACAUAAGGAAUACAUUGGGAUUAUCUAAGAUAAAGCAUGAACUUACUUUGCAAAUUUUCUGUGUCAGCAAAUCUGAAUAAGUUUUCAAAUGCUGUGAGCUCAAAAUGACACGGAAUAACCGGCGGAACCUGCUCAACAUACUCCUCAACCAACGUUCUGUUAUGGAUUACCCAAGAAUAUGGGUCGUCACUGACCUUAUACCUUGAUUCUACUUUUCGAAGAGCUACACUGGAGAUAUAGUAUCUCCUGAAUGGCAUCAACAUGGCAGCAAAAAAACGGAUAUCAUUGCCAUAGAUGACUGUUGAAACCUUUGUUCCCUGUUGCAUCAUAAAGAAGAAAAGCUGUAAAUUUGUAAAAGAGUCAAAGAUAUAUGCAAAAAUUGAAGGAAUAUCUUUAUUUUUUUGGUUACCUCAGAAUCUGUCAGAAGGAAAUGGUGGUAGUUCACAGGCCUUGCUCAUCGACUCAACUGAACAUAUCCUCUCUGAACAACCUGAGCCAAUACUGUCCAUCCUUUUACUCCCUCAACGACCUCAUUCACUGGAAGGUAGCGUCUUGCCAUGCUUAUCUAUAAAUGGUACAAAAAGAUGAAAUUGAUUCUAAAUAUAUAGUACAAUUAUGAUAGGAUUAAUUAAAAAUUGAAGAAAUAGCAGAAGAAUGUUCAUUUACUUGACAGCUAAUUGAGAAGCUUCAAGAGAACAGCUAAUUGAGAAGCUUCAAGAACUUCUCUAUAUACAAUAUUUUUUGUCUGAUUUAUUCUGGAUUUAUCAAAAAAUGGAGGCUUAAUGAGUAACUUGACUUGUGAAGCUGUUCUUGCACGUGAUAACGCCACAUAAAUAGGUUCUCUUAAAUAAAUACUUACAAAAUCUAAUGUUUGUCCUUGAGCUUUGUUAACUGUCAUUGCAAAGCACAAAUGGAUUGGAAACUGAGUUCUCUUAUAUGGGACAGGGUAUUGCUCCUCAGUGGGAGGUUCUAACGGAAUUCUAUGGAUGAAAACAUCUUUUCCAGCAAAAUCACCUACAACUAUUUGAGCAUGAAUAACAUUCGGCUCAAAUUCCUGCAUAUUAAUCUUGUCCCAUUACAAAGGUCUUCAGUGGGAUCUAAAUUUCUUAGCAAGAUUAUUGGUGCAUUAACCUUCAAGAUCAGCCUAUGUGGUAGAAGUCCACUUGGGGAAAGAGAAUUCAAAAAGUCCUCAUACACUCCCUGAUGAUUUGGAUUUAAGGUUUCAUCAAAACUAAGAUAUUCUACUGCUUCACCUGGAAAUUUGCUAAUGAGAAUGUCAUUCACCUCAUCAACAAAAUUAUUUUUUGUGGACAGAAUUGCUUGGUUGACUGGAGUGUUAGCAUCUAAUGAUCCAGUUAUGAUAUUGGGGUAUACUAAAUUUAUCAAAUUAUCUAGUGCAGAAUCAGCCUCACUAUUUUCAAGCAAAAUUGAAGAGCGAAUCUUUAUGUAGCUAUCAUCUUGGGAUUUUUCAGUUCCAUUGCCAACUCUCAAUAAAUAAUUAGUAAAUGAGGGGUCUAAUCGAGUCCUCAUAUUCUCUGUUAACUGCAAUUUUUCAAGAGAAGGCCAUAGAGGAGAAUUUAUUAUGCAAGCAUUAAUAGUCUCAGAUUGAUUUCCUCUACGAACAAUUGGCAAUGUUUGUCUAAAGUCGCCACCAAAGACGACAACUUUUCCACCAAAUAUUUCUGAUGAGUUCAUAAGAUCUUGCAAUAGAUCAUUUAAUGCUUCAAUUGCAGAUCUUUUUGACAUAGGAGCCUCAUCCCAGAUAAUGAGUUUGGAUUCUCUAAUCAUUGCUGCCGGGCUGCUUUGUUUGCUAACUCUACAUGCUCUGCCUUCUAAAAGAUCAAUUGGGAUUUUAAAUCGUGAAUGGGCAGUCCUACCUCCUGGUAGUAUAGAAGCAGCAAUUCCUGUAGUGGCUGUUGCUAGUGCUAAAUACCCUUUAGACCUUACAUCAGCUAGCAACGCUCUAUAGAGAAAUGAUUUUCCAGUGCCUCCAGGGCCAUCUACAAAAAAGGCCCCACUUUUGUUCUCAUAUACGCGGUGAGAUAUGAUCUCAAAUGCAUGCCUUUGUUUUUCAUUAAGCAAAGAAAUUGCAUUCAGAUCUUCUUCACGAACUGUUAUUCUUCUUUCAGGUAACAAUUCCCUUGUUUGGUUCUCAACAUCAAAAGGAUGAUAGAUCAUUCGGAACCAAUCCAAAUGAAGCUAUACUUUUCCCAUUGAUUCAAGAAAACCACUUAUUUAUUGCAGUACCUUUUUCCUGACCUCUCUAGGAGUCAAAUCUGAACACCUUAGAAAAUCCUUCAACAUUACAGCCUCAAAUUUAACCAUAAUUGUUUGGGAAUGUUAGGACAGGAAUAUACCAAAAGGGUUGCAAAAAGUCUUCUCAAUUCAUAAGACAUAUGAAAGAGAGAAGCCUCUUCAAGACAAUGUUCUUGGCUGUUAUCAUCUUGAAGCAACCCUCUUAAAAGUGCUGCUUCACGAAAGGUUCUAACCUAUACUCCGUUAUAAGUCUUCAAGUCUUUGAAGGACUUCAGAGCACGGACUUUUGUUAAAAGAAGCCUAAGGUAGUACCUCUCUCCUUCAGUCGGAUGGACUGCAUUUAUUCUUCCUCGACCUCUCAUUUUCCAACGUUUCUUAUCAGGAAGCCAAACAAAAUGGUCUAGAAAUUCAGAAUAUGUACAAUUCAAAGUCGAAGCUUCUGAAUCUGUUCUAUUCAUGUAGAAGACUUCAGUGAGCAUUGUCUUUUUGUUUCUUGGAUUGCUCACAACAUUGGUCAAAUUUUGAUGCUUUUUGAAACUUAUAGGCUGAUAGUUUUCUAGGUGAAGUUGCAAAUGAAUUAUUGCAGGUUUUAUUUCGCCCAUAGCAAAACAAAAAAGUCUCCAUCCAGCCUCAGGUGGUGAGACCCAAUGAGCUGCCCGAUACUGCUGGAUUUCAUCAAUAUGGCUGUUUGGAUUAUCGGAAUUAACAUGAAAACUGAUUCUAUCAUGUCCUUUGAAAAUGUAUUUAUAGAUGUAUUUAACAGCCUAAAUUGUUGAACAAAUUUCAACAUUAAUGUGACAAUCAAAUUUAGCCAGUAAAUAGGUAUUAUAGGGAACAACCCAUCUAUUAUCCAAGUAAUGCUGUCUAACUUUGACUCUAACACCAUUAUUACUUCGUCUAUAUACUAGAUAAGAAUUAAUAGUCUGGGUUGUUUCCUCACAAAAAUCCUUUGGAUAGGAAUGCCCACGCUUGCCAUUCUUUGUCAUACACAUACUUGAUGGAUUUAAAACACCACAUGAACCAUACAUCAUGUGUUUUUUAACCAUUCUAUAUAAGUGUGGGUAUUUCACUUUGUCUGGAAUCUCAGCGCUCACAAUUUUAUCAUACUCUUCAAGUCUGAACAUUUUAUGUUGAGAUUUCAAAAUUAAGAGGAAGUGUGCAUGUGGCAAGCCUCUUUUUUGAACCUCUACAACAUAUGUAUAGACUGCCACUUCACCAAAAAUACUUUUCUUUAGGAUUUCAUUUUUUAAUUCUUCAAGUUUAGCACGAAAGACUCUUACAAUCAAAUCAGGUCGAUUCUGUGCUUCUUCCUUUUCAAUUAGGUGUUUUUUUUAUUUCUGGCCAAUUAGGAUUGCAAGUCAUGGUCAAGAAGAUAUCUGGUUUGCCAAAUUUUUGGACCAAGGUCAUUGCAUCUAUGUAUUUCCUUCUCAUAUUUCUUGGCCCUCCAAUAAAGCUUGUUGGUAAAAAAAUUCUCUGGCCAAUAUUUGCUGCCUGUGUUUCACCAGCAGCCACAAAGUUUUGUAUUCCUUGCAAAAACUCUCUCCUUAUUUCCUCUUGUUGUGAUCUAUAAAAAUCUAGUCUUUGAGAUUCAAGCUUAACAUACAUAUCCACUAUAAAUUGCUGAAUUAAUCUAGCAAAAUGAAACAAAAAAGACUCAUCAUUAUCCCUUAUCUAGAACUUAUAAGCAUAAUACUCUCUCACAGAAACAAAAUUUGGAUCAUUAUCAAUCUUCGCCAUUGCUGGUAGACAAAUUACAGAAUAAUUAGUUAAUUUACUAUGCUGAACUGAACUACAAAUAGAUGAAUAAGAUUGGCUGCACCUACCAUCUUGUUCCAUCUGUAAUAGUUCUUCAGCAGUAGCAGCAAGCAUUGGGGAAAUUGAACUUUCAGAAUUCUUAUUUCGAGUCUUUUUCUUGUAGACCUUUUUUCCUUUUUUUUGGAUUUCUUGAUGCCAACCAAGUUCACCAAAAGGAAAAAGAAGAGGGUACUGCAAGGGGUCAUAACAGCCAUAGUAAUAUUCUAUACUGUGACAAUGACCACCAUGAGUAUGGACUCGAAUAUCUCUCAGGCUUGUUUCCCCAUUUUCUUCUCCUUCAACCCACAAUGCAGCAAUUUGGGAGACCGUAGGUUUGUUAAAUACCCUUUGGUCUACAACAGGCAGCGUUCUCAAGACAAUACGAUAAGUAUCAAGAUUAUGAACUUCUCUUAAACCACGAAAAAAUCGAGCAUAUGGAUUGUGUUCAAGGAUAUUCAUAACCUUCUGGAUAAUACUUUCUGUUAGCCUUGGACAUGCAUUUAAACGAUUUGUCAGCUCAUUUUCAGUAUCAUGAAAAUACAACUGCAAAUUUUUUGAGGCCUCUAGGUCACUAAUGAAGUGAUAAAUUUGCCCCUAAAUCCUAAAUGUAUAGACACCUUUAUUUCUCUUUGCUAGAUUCUUCUCGCACUUAACUCCAAAAGAAGUGAAAGCAAAAAUGUUGUUAAUUGUUCUUAUACAUAUUCUAAAUAAUUUUGCCUUUUCUGAAGAUGAAGUUAAUAGCUCUUUUAAAGGAGCUGGAAUUGGGUUGCUAGCUAACACUGUGUCUCCAUUUGAAUAGCAAAAGUUGGCUGUUUCAUGGAAAAAAAAAUUUGCACCACAAUGUGGGCAAUCUGGUUGUUUUGGAAGAAUGCUUGCCGCACCUGGAAUGCAAUCUAACAGGUCUCGCCCUUUUUUUGAACUCUUCCUAUGAUCAAUAAAAGAUCGAUUUUAAAUGACUUAACUUGUUUAAUAAACAAUAAUAGAAUAUAAAAUACCCAAGUCAUUUAAUAAUGUAAAUGUUAAAAGACUUGUACGUUUUCUCUUAGUUUUCCCUUGAUUUUGUUCAAGUAUACCUGUAAAGUAGAGUCCAAUAUCAGCCACUUGAAUUAGAUAAAUUAAAUAAUUGGAAAAAAAUGGUUUUCAAUAUUCAAUUUAAAGUUAAAAAUGUUUGUUAUCAUGUGAAUGUGAAAGGCCUAUGCAUUUUAAAAAAUGGAAAAAUUUACAUGAUACAUGAAAAAGGGUUUAAAUUCAUGCAUUUAGAACAAAUAAUUUAUAGUAGAAAAAGUAAAUUUUAAAUUUUAAAAAAUGGAAAAAAAAUCACUGAUUUCAAGUAAAGGAAAAAACUGGUUAUACUGUUCUAAGAAGAUAGAAAGAGUUUUGAAGAUAUAUAAAAUCAGUUACUUGAUGGGAAGAACUAUAUUAAUAAGCAGUGCUAUAUUAAGUACCUGAAAGCUGAGACGCAUUCGAUUGUAAUUGGUGAACAACUUGAUUAGACUGAUUUAAAAUCUCAACACCCUCAGGAUUAUGCUAUUCAAUUGUACUUAUGAGAGGUUGCAAACUCUCAAAUCCUAUAUUCUGUGCUUGAUCCAGCUGAUUUUGCUUAGUUUUUUUGGCUGUCAUCUUAAGCACUCUCUGUUUUCGUCGAUUUCUAUAGGUGGAAGAUUCAGCUACUGAAAAUUCCGACGGGAUAGACAUACAUGAUUGCAAACUAUUCAAGUUUGCAUUUGGUAGCUAAAAUGUGUUAACAAAAUCCGGUAUUAGAGGCUGAACAGAUUUAGAGACAUUUGGAAGAGGCCCUAUAAUCUGUGAUCUCAUACAUUCUUGUUGACUUGAAUGUUUUUUCUGAGAUCUCUGAACUUUCAAUGCAAGAGCUUUCUCUUUCCGAUGAUGUCUCAAAGUUACGCUUUAGCUAUUUGCAAAUUCAAAUAACACAUCCAUACCAGUUUGCGUACUAUUUGAAUUUAUAUCGAAUAAAGACAACCUGGGAAGAGACUGAACAAUAGAAGGCUCAGUCACAAUCUUAGCAAGGUCUACAAUAUGAUUUUCUACAGAGGCUACCUCAAAAAGUUGGUUUGUUUGAGAUGUUUUGGCCUGUGAUCUCACACUCAUUUGUGUAGGAUACUCUGUCAGGUUGGAAGUGUGCCUCCUUGUAAACUGGAAUAGUGCAGGCAUACACAUUUGCAUAUUACUCAAAUUUACAGGUGGCGAGGAAGACGUAAUAGCAGAAGGCAAAGUUCCUACACUAUAACGUUUUAUUGCUCUAUCUAAUCGUUUCUUUUUCCAUCUAAGAAUUGCAUCUUUUCUGCAAUCUUUUUCCUUAUCAUUUGACCCACAUCAAACUAAGAAAUCACAGUAGGAACAUUAUCACAAUUUUCUUUGAUCACAGAGUCCAUGACAAAAAAAGAAGAUUACUAUCCAAGGCAUUCUAUAUGGAACAGACAUUCAUUCUCAUCAUGUGAAGACUUUUACUCUCAUAACAGAAAGAAAACCAUUAACUACAUCAUGUAUCUCACAAUCAUGUAAAAAUGAAAUAGAUAGCAAUUAAUAUGCCUGAAGCUUAAAACUUUUUAACAUGAGACACACAACCUAUAAUAUAAUCAACAGCCAAUAAAAUCCAAAUCCCUUGGACAAAAAAAAACAGCACAAAAUUUAGUUUCUUAGACAAACCUGAGAACUGAAUAUGCCAACUUGUUAGAGCAAAAGAUGCACACCAAAUAGAAUAGCCAGCUUCAGUUGAAGAAACAGGUCGACAUUUUGUAAGCAUAGGCCAAAAAAAAAAAGCAAAAUCAGUAUAAGAAAAGGAAGAAUAAAGAUUCACAAUGAAAAAAAAAAACUGAAGAAUUACAAUAGCAGUGCUAGACAUCGUUUUCAUAGCUCCAUAAAACUUAUUGUUUAGUUAUAAUCUAUAAGUAUAAAAAUAUGUUUUCAAGUAAAGUAAGCACAUUGUGAGAAGAAAAUCAACCAAAUUAAUAAAUGAUGGUCUUAUAACUCUCAUUAUUGAUCCAUUUACUAUUCUGUUAAGUUUUACUACUAGUAAAAACAUAGUCAAAUGAUCUAAAUUGACCGAAAAUGAAAAUUCAGAAAGCUAAUUGAGCAGCUAACCCAAGCACAAUUGCAAAAGGAGCAAAAAAGAAUGCAAGCAAUACAAAUUAAAUAGGAAAAAGAAAAGAAGAAUAAACCUGAUUAAGUGAAGUAUUAGAAUGAAUUGUUCCGAGUCCAAAUUCUUCACAGUGGAGUAUGACAAAGUUUUUCACAACAUGAUUUAAUAAAAAUGUUUUUUUGGUGAAAGUUUUUAUGAAUUUACAUAAAAUGUUCCAAUUUCUUUCGGAUGGUCACAACAUGAUUUAACAAAAAGUUUAUAGAUCACAACAUGAUUUAAUAAACCGAUUAAUGUCUUAUUCUAAUAUGUAAUAUUUGCCGAAAUUUUUACAUGAAUAAACCAAGAGAAACAUUUAGCCAAAAAUCUACUAAUUUUAAUAUCUUUACCACAUAUGACUACACAUAUUUAGGGGAAAAAAUAGAAUCUAAUUUACAAAUGAAAAGGACCCUUACCAAAGCUAGAGGCAGAAGAAGCUCCCUUCCAAGCGCAAGGUCUUCAGAGAAAGAAAUACACCCUUUAUAUGGGCACUUCUCUUUCUUUUCCUUUUUAAAACCUAAAAACCUAAAUUACUACUCACUUAAUGUCUAUCACAUCAAAUCCCUGAAAAUAUGAUUUAGAAUUAUGGUGUUCAUGGGAAAAUUGGAUGGCUGCAAAACCAAUUCCAAUACAAAUGAAUGAAAUCAAACGGUUGGCCACUUUUCUGGGGAAAAAUCCCUGAAUUUUGGGGAAAAACAAGACACCUAAUCUCUGAGGGAUUUCAGGCCUUCCAUGCUUCCAAGUACAAUAAGCAUGUGAAGGAACCAUCUCUGCUAUAGGAAGGGAAGAGUAUUUGCUGGUACUUUCACCCGAAGAAGAAGAAAAGAAGAGAUACGACUGGUUUCUUGUUUGUCUUAAGUGUUUACAAUGAAAUGGGCCAUAUAACAGAGGUUCUAUUGCAAUGUAAUGGGUCCCGUUGGUUCUAUUACAAUGUAAUGGGCAAUGUAAUGUCUUACUUGCUAGUUCCAUUGAUUUCUUGUAUGCCUCCGUUCCAUUGUUUCCCUUAUUAAAAAAUCCAGCCAAGUGUCAAAUAAGUAGCAAGCCACUUGUCAAAAAGAGAGCCUGCUACAGUGAACAACACUCUUUUUAUUAUACUUGAAGGAUUAGAUUUUGAAUUUUAGAUGAAUAUGUAAAGUAUUAAACUAAAUUAAUAUAAAUUAUCUUUAAGAUAUAUUAAAUGAUGAGAGGGCUGGUGCAGGUACUGUAGACACCAAAAUUUUGCCAAACUUUUAUGUUUUCUUGAAUAUUUUCUAUUUGAUGAGUCAUUUAUUUUCUUGCAUUUUAAUGUAUAUUCUCAUUUUUGUAUGUUUAUUUUAAGAAAAGAAAAUUAUGAAAAAAAUCAAAAUCAAAUCAUGACUAAACUUACACAUUUUAAUCAUCUCCCCUACCAAAACCACUAUUAAUCCAUUUUUACACUCAAUUCCCAUUGGACCUGUCUAUUCAUUUUGGUAAAAAAUUCAUCAUGUUAUUUCCAUGCACCUUGCUUGUCAUUUGGAAGUUCAUUAUUUUUGACCAACCUAACACUCCACUCUCAAUACAUCUCUCGGCCUUGCUUCUUCUUUUUGCUUGGAAGUCAAACAUAACAAGAAGGACACCACCUAAUUCUUUGUCUCAGCCCUUUCUUUUUCCCUCAAGAAGGGAAGACGCAAACAUACAUAGAAGAAAAAAAACACUCUUCCUCCCCCCAAACUCACACUCGGCUCCCUCUCUUCUCUCUCAACACACUCGCACGCAACAAAAAAGGGAGGGGCAGCUAUCGGUUAAGGCUUGGAAAUUUCAUCAAAAACUUCAACCGAAAGAUUUUCAUAUUUAUUGAGGUAUAUUUUUAGUUUUUUUAUCAUGUUAAAUCCAUGCUUCAUUGUUUAAUUUUCUUUUGUUUUUGCUGGCUUCCUUUGUUGUUUUUGCUGAAUUUGGGGAAAUGGCAUGAACUAGAUUGAGGAAAAGGAAAUGAUUCUUGUGUAUGCAUGCCAAUGUUUGAGAAAAUGCUUAAAUAGAAAAUCGAAUUAAAAUGUUAAUUUUGUACGUAUAUUGUUGUUAAAAUGAAUAAUCAUGACUAGUUAAUGGUUUGGGGAGGUUGUUUAAUUAAGUUUUGUGUCGAUUUUGUAGUCUAAAAGGCAACAGGAAAAAUGAAUUUUUAGGGGUUCUUUUGCUUUAAUUUAGCCCUUUUAUGUUGUUUUCUUGUCAAAUUAAAAUCAUAGUUGUAUUGUAGACGUUGUAAGGAGUGUUGUAGUAUAAUUUUUAGGGCAAAAAAUAUCAGCGGCCAUUAAACUAUUGACGGGAUCACGUUUUGGCCAUCGAACUAUUUUUGUCAAUAAUUGGCUACUAAACAAUUUAAUCCAUAAACUCGUGACCAUUUCGUCGUUAAUUGCUCUUAAGUUCUGAAAUUAGCAUUACACGUGGCAAUGUUCUGGGGCAAUUUUGUCCAGCAAUUUAAUUCAUAACAUAACCAGAAUUUUACAUAAUCCCAUGAAAAAUACAAUGUCCAGAAACAACCCAGAUUUAUCAAAUAUGCUUACAUACGAUUCGAGAUUCCUGAAAGCAGCCAAAGCUUCCUCAUGUGAUGCCAUUCUAACAAAUGCCAAACCCCUGUUUCUGGUCUUGUUAUACAUUGACAACUUAAACAAACAAAAAAAUAAUAAACAAAAAAAAUCAUUUAGAAUAUUAACAUUUUGCACAAAUCAGACAUUCAUUGCAUUGAAUAUCAAGAAAAUCAAGAUAUAACUGGACCGUUAUGUUCCAUUAUGUUCAAAGCAAACAAAACAAGCUAAAAAGAAAAAAAAAACACAAUCCAAAUUGAGCAAAAGUAGUAUUUUUUUUUUUUUUGGAAAUGAACAAAAAUCAAUGUAAACCAACCUCAAUGUCCACAACAGUACCAUAUUUCUCAAAGAGAGGACGAAGAUCAUCUACAGUGGAGGUCCAUGGAACAUUCUGAGCUAAAUUUCUGGUUUUAGAGAAUUCUUCUUCUUCUCCUUUAUCGUCAUCUUCUUCUUCUUCUUGGUUAUCUUUUUCUGCAUUUUCUGAAUUUUGAGUAAUGGGUUGGACUCGGGUUGAAAAAGGGGCUUGGAACUCAAAAAGAUUGAAUCUUUGAGACUUAAAUGGGAGUUUGAAUGAAAGAGAGGGAAAAGAGAGAGCGGCGUUGAGUGUGGGAGGUUUGUGAGUGGAGGGUUGUGAUGAAGCUGAGGAAAGGUUCUGGUGGAAGCGGAAGAAGUUUGUGGGACAUGAUGGCAAAUGGAGAAGACGAAAAAGUGCCAUUUAUGGGUUGAGAAAUCAAAGUUGAAAAGAAAAAUCUAAUGACUAUUCAUGGUUUGUGGGAUUGGGUACCCUGUUUCAGAAGGGGAGGAAACAGAGGAGUUGAGUUGUAGGGUCAGAAAAUUGCUGGACAAAAUUGCCCUCGAACCUUGUAACGUGUAAUGCUAAUUUCAAAACUUAAGAGCAGUUAAUGACAAAAUGGUCACGGGUUUAUGGAUUAAAUUGUUUAGUGGCCAAUUAUUGACAAAAAAUAGUUCGAUGGCCAAAACAUGAUCCCGCCAAUAAUUUAAUAGCCGCUGAGGUUUAUUGCCCUAAUUUUUAUGAUUUUUGGUGAAGGAUAUGGUGUUUUGAAAAAAUAAAAAUUGGGCUGUCUUUUGCUAUUUUCGCCACUUUCGGUUCAUUUUUUGUAAAAACUAAACCCAAAAAUGAAUUCUACGCAAAAAAUCGAGUGGGGAUGUGCAUUUUGAUCAAAUUUGAUGAUUGGAGAGGUCGCCGUCGCCAGCCGCAGACUGAAGAAGCUUCAGCUGGCCGGAGAAGGAGAAGAAGAAAAAUGAAGAAGAAGAAGAAGAAAAAAAAAGAAGGAAAAAAAAGAAAAAAGUGUUGGGCUAAUUUUUAUUUUUUCUGGUGGGCUUGUUUUUUGAUUUUUGGUUGGGCCAAGAGUUAUUUUUGUGUUGGGUUUUGAUUGGAGUAGUGACUGGGUUUGGGGUUCAGGCCCAACCCGUUUUCAUCAGGCUAAGCUUAGUAAAUUUAGUGGGUUUGUUCACUCCUUUUCCAUUUUUUUUACUUUGGGCUGAUCGGAUUUUUGGCCCGGAAAUAAACAAAAGGUAGCCCAAUGACCUUAUUUUCCUAAGACAUCAGAAAUGAAUUUGUACUUUAGCCUCUAAUCUUUGGAGUAAUUUUAUUAUGGCUCAUAAUAUUUUAAAUUUCUUUCAUCUAGGCCCUUAAGUUAAUUGUAUUUUGGUCAUUGAAUUUUAUCCUUUAUUUAAUUUUGGCACCUAAACUUUGUAAAAAUAUACUUUUAUCCCAAAAUUUUUUUAUUUUUGCAAUUUAGUCCCUAAUGAAUUUUUGACUAUCUCUAUUAUAACUGUUUCUUCUUUUUAAUAGCUAAUUAUAUUACUGUUGAAUACAUUUAACUUGUAAUUUUUAGAUGUUUGACAUAUUAAUAUGAAUUUAGUAUUUUUAAUCAUUAUUAUUAUUUUUAAUUAAAUUGGUGUCAUGAUUCUUUUGUUCAUUUUGAGUAUAAAUAGGGCAGUUUGACUCCAUUUAGUCACCACUUCAAAAGGGAGGUACCCCUAUCAUUAUUUAAAUAUUAAUUACGUGCUCUUAUGUGCUCCUACGUGUUCCUAUCUGUUUAUAUAUUUUUAUAUGCUUUGUUAUUUAUUUGAUUCAAAUGUUCAUUCAAAUUUUCUUAUGUUUGUUUAGUUAAUUUUAUAAUUAUUUGAGAGGUGUUUAAAUACCUCAAAAUGUAAGUAUUGUAUUUGAUAGGUAAUAUUUUUGCAAGUAUUGUAAUUAGAUAGACCAAUGUAAUAGAUAGGAUAAAUGUGUUUAUUUUAUCAUAUUUUCCCUAUUUUAGAUUGUAAUUAGGUACCCUGUUGCAAUAGAUAGAAUAGAUAGGUUUAUUUUUUAUAUUUUCCCAUUUUAGAUUGCAGUUCGAUUCUCCGUUGUAAUAAGCAGGUUUUGUGUAUUUAUGUAGCUUAUGUGUUAUAUGCUUUAUCCGCUUUCCUUAGAAUUUUGGCAUCUAGAUAUUGUGAGGACUCGUAAAAACUAUUAUUUUUUAGCCUAAUUAGUGGCUUAAUAAAUUAUUUAAUUGGAUAUUUGCCUCGAGGAAUAUUUUCUAGUUUUAUUAGACCUAAAUGCAUGGUAAUAUAACUUCGUUAUAUUUUUAAAGUAACUGAUUUCACGAAUUAAUUUCCUGGAGCGCGUUUAGUAAAAAUAGUGAAUAGUGCUUGGAGAUUUUAUCCGCUUGAGAGUACAAUAAGUUUGGAAUAUUGGAGACAUGUACAAUGGACCUAAAUUCGGUAUUUUAAUGUUUAAAUACUCAAGUGAUAGUUAUUAGUACUAUCGUUAUAAGAAUUUCUCGGAAGUUUCGCGUUAUCGCGCUUAAAUUGGAGAUACGCGUUUUCACACGCGCGAUUUAAAUUCAGGAACUUUAGACCCUUAUUUUGGGAUGAUUGAGAGUGAAUAAUAUUUAUAUGAAUAUAAGUGCAUUAGAGGUUUAGUGCACCAGUGAAACAAAUUCGAGAGGAAUCGAACACGAAACGCGCGGGAAAAAGAGUUAACCUUUGAAUCAAUGAGAGCCACACAUUUUAGUUUCACAUGGGUGCAUCACACCAGAUCAAAACCCUCCACUUUAUCACCUCAAAUAGCCGUGCAACUCUUCUUUUCCUUCUUCAUUCCAGCCGUGCAACUCCAAGGAAAAACAAGACCAAGUUCUUCAUUUUUCCUUCUUCAAAUCUUCAUCAAACCUCUUCCAAUUCACUCCAAAUUCGAACUACACUUAACUAAACAUUUAGAGAUCCCAUUGAGCUAAGAAAAGGAGCUGCUAUCCAUGGUUUUCUUGAGCAUCUAAGGGGCCGAAAUUUCUGCCUUCAUCCUCUAAUCAAGUAGGUGUUAAUCCAACACUUAAAUCUUGCUUUAUGAAGACCAUCUUACAUGUAUAAGGUAGUAUUUGCAUUUGGGUAGCUUGUUUAUGGUGUAAAAUGAAAUGGGUGGGCUCUAUGAACUCCCACCUUUGUCUUGAGGACUGAUCUCAUGCUUGAUGAUGGAUUUAAUGGUGGUUUAGUGCUUAAAUUAGUGGAUUAAUGUUGUAUUGUUGGUAGAAAAUCAUAGGAGGUGCUUGGAGCAAAAGUGACCGUUUUACCCCUGCCUUGUCCGACCAUUUCUGUGCACAAUUUUGAGGUUCUAAUGACUUGAUUAUAUUGUUUACAUGUUAUUGUGAGUGUGUACAAAAUUUCAUUGAAAAAUAACAUGAUUUGGUUGGUUAAAUGAGUUGAUUUCCAAAGUUAGCAAAACUGGAAAAUGAAUCCCGUAUUGCCCAGGCAGUCAUCUUGUAUCGGCUAUAACUCUUUACUCCGAUGUCAAAAUUGAGUUCCGUCGGUGGCAUUUGAAACUAGACAUUCCCAGCUUUCCAUUGGUACCAAAUGCACAUUCUAGUUCCACUUGAGUGAGCAACACCAUUCGAUUGAAAAUCACUGUCCUGUUUCGUUUCUCUCCAGGAGACAGGACAGGACUUGUAUCUUCAUGCUCAAAAACGAGCUGUUUGUGAAUGGAAUUUGAAAAUGGUUUCUUCUGAGAAAAUUCAGCUUUAUGAGAGAGCUUUCCAACGCCAUCAACCACGCCCAAUUCCAAGUUGAAUUGAGUGAGUUGUGGCCAAAGUUUGAAACAGCUACAGUGAUAGAAUUUUCCACUUGGACAGAUUUGUAACUAACAAUGACUUGGGACUUGUUAUUUCGAAAUUCUUGAUGUAAAUCACCUAUCAAAUGUAUUUUGAAUUCUUGCUAGACCUGAUUAUCAUAAACGAGACAUGUUUUAGGUAUCUUCCCUUGGUCAAAAGUUUAGAAAAGGAAAUUUUCAUACACGAGGCAGCUUUGCCUUAAAAAUUUGGAAACUUGAGUGAUUUCGUUAAGUGAUUUUCCGUGCAUAUUUUUCUAUGACAUUUGAUAGAGGAAUAGCCCUUAUAUGGUAGUAUAAUCAUACCAAAUUUGGUGCCAUUUCGAGUCUGUUUAGAUGUUCAAACAAAGUCCCAAAGUUCAUGUUUAAAUCUGGAAAUUCUUGAUCGAGGAGGAAUUUUUAGCCAACUUUGAGCUGCUAUAUCUUGGCGCUCAAAACUUCAAUUCUUGUACCGUUUAUUUUGUUUUAAACUUUGAUUGUAGCUCUAAUUGAGUUCUAAAUUUCGGAGGUUAGUUCGUAUUGUAUGAAUUUUGCCGGAUUUUCAAAGAUGGUCAAAAACCAACCCCGAAACUGUCUAAAUGGUCCAAAGCAGCAACUUUGAGUCAAUUUUUGAAUACUUUCUGUUUGGAAUCAUGGAAAAGUAUCUUCUAGGAACUUUUAUCGCUUUUGAAGAAGUUUCCAACGGUAUCAAGGUUUCCAAUUUUGGACCUACAUAGUGCAAGAUACGAUUUUUCUAAAAUUGACACCCAAAGCUGAAAUUUGUCAAUUUCUUAGAAAAUGAGAUUUUGGAAACUUGCCUUCUUUUCUCGAUACCGAUUGAACAUUUUGAACUCGAUUUCAUGGAAAAUAUUAGUCUCUCUCUUUAGACUUUAAAACUUUACUCUUGAGCCUCGAUUAUUAAUAAUUAAGGCCCAAUUAAUGAAUUCCCCUUAGAUUGUAUAACCUUCUUUGAUAAGUAGGGGUUCUAAGUGAUAGUGUAUAAUAGUUGAUGGUUAUUUGCCCAGGCGCUCAAGGGGACCUUCAAGAGGAACUCGAAGUGGACGUCUAGACAUUUGUUUGAGUAUUACUCUCUUGUUGCUAUAGGUGAGUGUUCCAUAUAGGAAUACGUAAUUGGAAUAAGUCUAUGACAUGCAUAACCCAUGAUUAUUAAGUGUUAAGUGCUCUAUGUUAAGUAUUUACCACACUCAUGCAUAUCUGAAUAAGGUAUACUUGAAUUACUCGACAUGAAAUACCUGAAAUAUGUAUAUUUGAACUAUUCGAUAUGAAAUGCUUAAAGAGCAUAUUUAUGUGAUUACUUGAAAUAUUAGAUAUGAAAUGCUUGGAGAGCAUAUCUACAUGAUGUGUUUAAAUGAUUAAUUAUGCUAUGACAGCAUAAGUCGGUUGGAGUGAAUCUCCUCGACUCUUAUGUGGAAAAAGUGAAAACGGCCAAUGGUGGCCUAUUAAAAUGACAUAUGUCUACCAAUUAACCGUAAUUACCACCGUUAACCGUUUACCGUUAACCAUGUUUACUUACCGUUUUCUAAUCUAUUCGGCUACUUGCUUACUUGAUUAUCUGCUUACGUAAUCACCAACUUACUUGAUCACUUGAUUAUCAUGAAUCGCAUGUUAUAUGAAGUUGUCCAUCAUUGUUAGGCGAGUGUGUACUUUACCUCACUCGACCUACUCAAAUUAUGAAUUUUACCUUUUGCCGAAUUACUUGAUUACUUGUGCAUGUUGUAAGCUCUAAGCUGAAUUGGGCCCUGCUCAUCGUUACUAACCUACUCGAGCCAGGACUGGGCUCGGUCGGGUAGGUUGGAACCUUGGGACACCGUUUCGGUAUACUCGAGUAUUACCACUGGAGGGAUAAGGUGAUGGCCAGUCAAACCGAGGGGAUCCGGAAGUCAUAAGGUGCAGAUGACCGACAGAGUUCCACUGGAACACCGUAUCCUACAGUAUAUGUUUACCUGGUAUCAUGAUGAUUGUUUCGUGCUAAAAUGCCAACAUGAAAUCCUGAGCUAUGCCUGUAAUAAGCUCCAAUCACUCGUGAACUAUACAUGCUAAUGUCUCAUACCAUGAUAAAUGUCUCAAAUUACCCGUACAAUGAUUAUCAUCUCAUGAUAACAUGCCAUUGUGUAACCUUGAACCAUGCAUAUGAUAUGCCCAACUUACUUGAUUUAUUUGAACUGUUAGAGUGUCUUGGAAUCUCACUGGGCUGUGUAGCUCAUACCACGUUGUGAAUUUCUUUUACAGGGUUCGAGACCAAGGGUGCUCGUGAGUAGUACUAGAUUGUUUUCUUUUGAAAACUUUAAGUUAUAUUAUAACGGAUGGCUAUUGUACCCUUUUCCGUUGGGUUGUAUUUAAGCUUGAAAGCUACAUAAUUGUAAGUGUGAGAUAUUUGAUGUACUUUAAUUAUGCAUUGAAGUUACUUAAAGUAUUUCGAGCUUUUGAAUGAUGGAUUGUAGUGAGUCCUGGCGAGAGCUGGGCAGGCGUUCCGCGGAUACCCUUUGGUUCGCCUUAGGGAGAAGUGGGGGCGUCACAGUUGGUAUCAGAGCUUAGGCUUCAGAUCUUUGUAGUGUAUCCUAGGCUUAAAUGUUUAGGAUGCCGGACUGUGGGACUGGUCUGAAAGUUAAAUGAUUGCUUGUAGCGAUGAAAUUUAGAGCCAAUUCACGUGGUCUCUACAAAGGAGCAAGAUAGGACCAAGUGGUGUUAUGGUCCUUACUAUGUGAUUGAGUAAAGGUUUAAGUGCCCUUCUAAAAAUGUAAGCUGUGAAUCAUGAAUGUUAUAGGUUGUAAAACCUUUAUCUUGAUGAUUGGAGGGAAUUUGAUAUGUAUGUUGGGUAGGAAUCUCGAAUGUGGUGAUUUACUCUUGGGACCGGCCGGCUCGAGUUGUGAAUUACCUUAUUUCGGAUUCUUGUACCCGAGUACUUGAGAGUUGAGGGCAACCAUAAGGACUUUAUAUCUCCAUUUUUGGGGAAUAAGAAUGAAUCGAUAUUUCAUGUGAAUGGUUACAGGAAACCACUAAUUGUUUGGUUAAGAUGGUACAAUAAUUAAGAGUGGAAGAUGGAAAAUAUUGUAACCCAAAAGAUCCUUGUGUUGGGAUUGAAAUCGAGCAUGUUAGGGAACGAGAAUCAUCUAGUUUCAAUUAAUCUAGUGGAUCCCUACUUGUGAUCUUUCAUAGUGAGACGAUGGGAGUGGAACCUAAGAGUUUGCGCCUUGGAGAUAAAUGUACUUGUGAUAAUCACUUGUUUAUUUUUGUUAUUGACUUUGACUUGGCAUGAACUUUACUUGACCAUAAUUUGUGUUAUGAUUUAAUGAACUCUAGUUUGUGUUUACUUGCAUAGUGAUAAUGUUAUUUGUGUAAGUGACUUCAUCCUCUUUAAAUGUUGCUACCGGUAUAUGAGUAUAGUUCAAUUUUAGCUAAGUGUUAGGUUUAUACAUAUGUGUAUAGACUAGCUGUGAACAUGGAAACUAGAGAACAACAAAAGGGACAUCAACCUAGACAACCCCGAAAUGAAAGAGUAGCUAAUGGGUCCGAUAUUGAUCAAAACGUUGAGCUAAGUGCUGGGAGAGGAAAUGACCAGAUGGGACAAGUUUUAACUCGCAUGACGGAUAUCCUAGAGCUCUUAGUAGCUCAACAAGGUCAAGGUGUUGGACAAGGAAACCAACGUGAAAACCAAGAAAUGGGGGAGGAUCGAGCUUUAGAGCGGUUUCAGAAAUUUUCCCCGCCCAAGUUUGCUGGAGGACCUGAUCCAGAGGUGGUUGAGAAUUGGUUAGAGAAUAUAAGAAAUAUAUUCGAUGCCUUGGAUUACACAGAAGAAAGACAAGUCACCUUUGCUGUAUUUCAACUUGAAGGAGCAGCCCGAGCAUGGUGGAAUGUUAUAAGAAAUAAGUGGAAAAAAGAUCAAACUCCAAAGACUUGGAUAAACUUUGUAAGAGAGUUUAAUGAGAAAUUUCUUCCUCCACUUGUCCAAGAAAAGAGAGAAGAUGAUUUUAUAAAUCUUCGUCAAGGAACUUCGAGUGUGGCUGAGUACGAAACUCGAUUCACAAAGUAAUCUACAUAUGCCCCAGAAUUGGUGGCUACUGAACGGAAGAAAAUAAGACGGUUUAUCCAAGGAUUAGAUUUGGAAAUCCAAGAUGCCCUUGCCGCAGCACAGGUUGAAACAUUUAGUGACGCUCUCGAAAAAGCGCAAAGGGUAGAAAGCACAAAAUCUAACCCUUUUCUAAUGGGUAUUUGAUGAUUGGGUAUUCGUUGACAUGCAGAGCGGAAAAGGGUCACAAAAUAACUGACUCACAACAUGUAGAUCAGGUCAAUCAAAAGCCUCAUGACACGGACACCUAAUUGGUGCCUACCCGUAGCAAAGCUAGAAAGAAGUAUUGCCAUGUCUGAAUUUCAAAAAAUGUAGAACUAUUGAAGCAUUUAAACUAGUUCAUAUCUAAUUUUCUACGUGAACAAGUCACUGCUGAAGGUCUACGAACUUUAAAAGGUAUAGUACUAUUUAAACGUCGAUUAUUAAAGGUCUAGAAGUUUGUAAAAGGGUAAUUUCAUUAACCUCUCUUAAGGUUUUCAACAAUUUCAUUGACCUUCCCUAAAAUUUACAAAAUUAUAUUAACCUCCCUUGAGGUUAAACUUUUGGUAACAAAAUCAAUCUAAGUCAGAAAAAAUAUUAUUAAAAUAAUACUUUGAGAAGAGAUGAAACUUUUAUUCCAUAAAUGCCUCUUAUGCAUGCGUACAAUUUGUAUUAGUAAAAAAAAAAGGAAUGAAAACAAUUAAAAGUUGAAAGCAAUUAACACCGCAUUCCACUGCUCAAAAAGUUUACAUUCAACAAAUUAGACAAUACAAAUAAACAACAAAACUACACUAAUGAUCAUAAGAUUCAAUAAAAUAGACCAGUCAUAUCUCUUAACAUGAGGUUUGCUAUUAUUCUUAUGAUUUUGAGUAGAAAAAAUUUCAAAUUUUGCCUUUUUUCUUCCUCCUUUUUCAUUCACCUCCAUGAAGUUGCUUUGCAACUAUCAUAGUUUAAGAGUUUCAGAAAAAAUUUUCUCAUAAACGGCCUUCUUUUUCUCUUUCUUUGCCCUGUGUUUUCUUUCUUCUACCAAACCCCUUCUUUUUACAUUAUGUAUAACUUAUUUCUAGCCAUUGUCAAGUUUUAUCAAUCACAAAAUGGCGCAUUUGAUAUAUCAAUUAGCACCAUUUUGUAAUUGCAACUUAUUGUUCAUCAUUAAAAAAAUCUCCAACAGUUAUUUUUGUUAAUUAGUUACUAAUAGUUAAUUAGUGCCAUAAUUACUCAAUUGUUAGAUAUUAGUUUCUAAUAAAAUAUAAUGUCUUAGGGUAUAUGAGUAAUUUCUUCCUAUGUGAUGUAAGCAAUUGGGUCCAUAAUUCUACCAUGGGAGGUCAUUGUUAUUUUGCAAAUCUCAGGGAAGACCAGUGAAUUUUUUAAAAGUCUUAAGAGAGGCUUUUUAAAUUACUCCUAAGAAUAAAGGAAUGGAAUUGACUAUAAAGGCCAAAAUUGACGAGAACAAACUACUUUCUCAUAAAUUUUUUUUUUCAGAUUUUGUUGCUGAUGUGAGUGUUAGGUAAAUAAUAUAAUGCCAAGAAUAUGUCUAAUCCGUAAUAAUGAUGAUCAGAGUUGAAAUUAUCCAAACUUGUCCUUAAAAAAAUAAAAAAAGAAUUGACUACAAAUAAUUUUAAAUAAUUGACAAAUAUUUUGCAUUUUACAGUCUCAAUUUCUUUUUUUGUCACAAUGGAUACAUUUAUUUUUUAUUGUACUCUCUCCGUCCCAAUAUUACAAUCACUUUUUGGAAAUCCAACUUUUUAUAGAGACAUAAUAAUCAUUAUGUUUAGAUGAAAUGGUAUUUAAUGAAUUUACAUAUGUAUCCUUUUGAUUCAAAAUACUUCCUUGUUAAAUGUGCACUAAAAUUUUAAAGAGUUGUCUUUCAAAUGGCAAAAUUAGAAAGCAAGUAUCAAAUUUAAAAAUAAUGACUCUUAUUUGGGACAUCAAUAAAAUGAAAGCAUGACAUUAAUAAUGAGACGGAAGAAGUAUUUAUUUGUCUCAAAUCCUCUAUUGACUAGUAGUUCUCAUUACUUUGACAACUUGCGUUGAUUAAGAUAAAAUGAAAUUUAGAACUUUUGUCUGAGUAUCAAAUAUUAAUUACCUUUUAAAAUUCAUGCAUUUUAUAAAAGAGAUAAUUUUAGAAAUCUCCCCUGAGGUUUUUGACUAUUUCACUUAGCACUUUUGAAAUUUUAAAUAUUAUAUUUAUCUUCCUUGAUUUGACACUUUUGGUAAUCAAAACUUAGAAUAGGUUCAAAUUUUUAAUGAAUACCCUAAAAUGUCUUAUCUUGGAAAGUUUAAUUUAUUCUUCUAAAUAAUUGUAAAGUAAUUUGAUACAAUUACAAAGAAUGAGUGUCAAGUUUUUCAUGCUAAUAUUUAUUGUUUGGUAAUCAAUUAUGACAAUAAAUUUAUCACUAUAAUAAACUACUUUUUAUACUACUUUAUUGGGGAAAUAGAUUCUUUUUGAGAUAGAGAAUAAAAUGGCAUCUUAACUUUUUUAAAGUUUGUGGACUAUUUGAGUGGUGAAACUACCAUUGUUUGUUAGUGAUUUUGUUUCUAGGUUAUUAUUAAUUUAUUCUUGAUUUUGAUACAAAAAUAAAGAGCUACAAAAGGUUAGAUGAUAUUAAAAGCUAUCAAACAAAUGUUAUUAGUUUGACGUUUGAUCAGGAUAGAGUUAGGGACAACAUUGAUAGUUUUUUUAGUUUUUUCGAUAAACUAUAAGAGAAAUGAAUAAGAAGGAGAAAGGGAAAAAAUUAUAAAAUGCAUCCUUUGUAUAAGCAUAGCAAAUAAGGGAGUUUCAAUAGAAUGUUAAGUCUAGUAUUGUCAUUUUCAAUCAAUAAAGGAGGUAGGUAUAAUUUUAAAAGUUUGAGGAUACUAAGUGAAAUUAUUAAAAAACUUCAAAGGAGGUUUCUGAAAUUAUCUCCAUCUUAAAUCUCCAUCUUGGUUCUACUAUCCGCGGGCAACUACACCUACUCUCAAUCCGUCGGUAGACAUUCACGCGGCUGAGUACUGAAACACUUCUAAAAUACUUAAUAAAACAUUUUCAAUAAAAAAGAAAAAAAAACUCAAAAAAGAAUGGCCCAUCAAUGGCAACGGCAUCGCCGCAGUGUCUGGCUAUAUAUGUGUAUACGUGUGUAUUCUUUCUCCACAAUUCAUCACAGUUCAUAGGUAUAAUUGCAGAAACCUCCCUGAGGUUUCUAAUAAUUUUACUAGCCUCUCUUAAAGUUUUACAAAAUUACACAAACCUCGCCUAAGGUUAAAGUUUUUAUAAUAAAAUGAGUCCAAUUAUAACAAUUAACAUUAAAAAGUACUUUAAGGAGAGACAUGAAACUUUUAUUCCAUCAAUACCCCUUAUGCAUGUCAAAAGAGAUAAUUAUUCUGUUUUGUUAAAUCUUGUGAUUAUUAUUGUAGUUUUGUUACUUAUUUGUAUUGUUUAAUUUAUUAAAUAUGAACUUUUUGAGUGAUGAAAUGUGUGCAUUAAUUGUUUCUAAUUUUUAAUUAUUUUUAUUCUUUUACUAAUAUAAUAUAUAUAUAUACACACAUAAGGGAUAUUUAUGGACUAAAAAUUUUAUCUCUCUUCUUAAAGUAUUUUUUAAUGUUAUUUUUUCUAAUUGGACUAAUUUUUUUUAUCAAACCUUAAUUUUGGCGGAGGUUUGUGUAAUUUUAUAAACUUUAUAGGAGGCUAUUAAAAUUGUCAGAAAUUCCAGGGAAGUUUUCUAAAAUCAUCCCCAAUUCAUAAUAGGAGUUAACAUUGACAUUCAAGUUUGUGGUUGUAGUGGCAAAGGUAGAUGGCAGGUGUGGAUGGUACAGUUUUGUAAAUAUUUCGAAAAACCCUGGUCUACCAAACAAUUGUACAUAACCGAAUAAGCCAUCAACUCUGAAGGUCUCUCAAAUCUGUUAAGGAAAACAGCACGACAGGGCAAAUUAAGUGGAUUAAGAAUAAGAAAACAAGGACCAGCUAUUACUCACUUAUUUUUUGCUGAUGACACUCUAAUUUUCUGUAAAGCUGCGGGGGAAGAAGCAAGGACUUUGAAAGCAAUUUUGAAUCAGUAUAAGAAAGGAUCUAGUCAAGUUAUUAACUUGGAAAAAUCAUCUAUCUGUUUUAGCAAGAACACUAAGGCUAAAGACAAGAAGGAAACCUGUGAGCCUUUAGAGGGGGUUAGGACAGUGAGCCAAGGUAAAUAUUUGGGCCUUCCUAUGGUGAUCACAAGGACAAAAGGUCAGAUAUUUGGCUACAUUAAAGACAGCAUAAAGGCCAGGCUCAGCAGCUGGAAGAACAAGCUCCUAAGUGCAGUAGGGAAAGAGGUGAUGCUAAAAGCAGUGACAAUGGCCAUGCCAAUUUAUGCAAUGUCUUGUUUUACCAGUUACACUUUGCAAGGAAAUCACAGGACUGAUGGCCAAAUACUGGUGGGGUGAAGCAGAAGGGAGAAACAAAAUACAUUGGUGCUCAUGGGAUAAGAUGCUGAAGGCAAAAAUGGAUGGAGGUUUGGGGUUCAGGAAUUUAAUAUGCUUCAACAAGGCGCUACUGGGAAAGCAGAUUUGGAGGAUGCUCAGAUUUCCAAACCUGCUGGUUAGCAAAAUUCUAAAAGCCAAGUAUUUUCCUAAGGAUUCCAUUUUGAACUGUAAAAUCCCCAAAAACUCUUCCUGGUUCUGGCAAAGUAUAAUGUCAGCUAGAGAGGUAGUUAAGGGGGUUGUACUAAAGAGAGUCGGAUCAGGGAAGAGUAUUAGAAUUUGGAAAGACCAAUGGAUCCCAAACAAUCUGAAUGGAAGACCAACUACAAUGGGGCCAGACAAGGGGGAGGAGCAGAAAGUGGAGGAACUAAUUUCACACUUCAGAUGGAAUAGGAAUGAAGUCUACAGGAGGUUCAAUAGGGAGGAUGCGGAUAAUAUUUUGAAAAUUCCAAUCAGUUUGUCAAAUUCAGGGGACAAGCACUUUUGGAUACACAGCAGACAUGGGGAAUAUUCAGUUAAAUCUUGCUACCAGACUUUACUCAAGGAAGAGAAGAGGAUAGAAAGUGAUGCGAGAGGAGAGUCUGGUUCAAGCUAUGAUGAUUCCAACACAAAUUUGGAAGACUCUUUGGGAGCUGAACAUUAAGCAUAAGAUCAAGCUAUUCAUAUGGAGAUGCAUUACGAAUACAUUGACAGCUAGGGAAUCAAUAUUCAGGCGAACUAAGCAAGGAUCGCCAUUUUGCUCAAGAUGUGGGGAUGGCAUAGAAACAGUAGAACAUAUUCUCUUCCACUAUCAACAGGCUCAGAAGGUGUGGAAGCUUGCACCAGUACAAUGGGAUGGUUUACAGAAUCAAACAGGGUGCUUCAAGCAAUGGUGGACAGAAUUAGUCCAAGCCAGAAGUAGGAAUGGAGGAAGGCAGCAUAUUGCAUUGACAGCUAAUAUACUUUGGCAACUAUGGAAGGACAGAAAUGAAAUGGAAUUUGAAGGGAAAGAGAGAGAUGGAUGGAAAACUGUACAUAAAGCUAGUACAGAAUGGAUGGAGUAUGAGGAAGCCGGGAUGGGGAAAAAAGAGAGGAGUACAUCAGAAACAGAGGAAGCAAGAGAAAGAUCAAGGGAGGAAGGAAGAGAGGAGGAAGACCUGAUGGAACUUCAAAUUGCUACCAAGAAAUCAGCUGAGGGCAAGAAACUGGGAAUUGGUGUUGUAGCCAGGCAGACUGGAGGGAGAAUCAGAGCUGAAUGGAAAUUAGUUGAAAGAAGUUCGGAAAGGGAUAUUCAAGAUGAAGCAGUAAGACUGGCAAUGUUGAAAACAAGACAAUUGAGCUGGCAGAGAAUCAAAAUCAUCAAUGCUAACAAACAGCUUAUCGCUUUGCUUAAAUCUGGGAAAGGUGACAAUCCAAAUACUGCUACAUUGGUUGAAGACAUACAAGUUUUAGCUAAUCUGUUUCAAAUGUGCUCUUUUGAAGAAAGAACUAGUAGUAAUAUGACUCUAUGUAAUCAAAUUAGUCAUUAUGCUUUAAGCAUAUUUAGGGAUGAGGAGAGAUUUUUUGGCUCUUCUUAAGUGUCUUGGUACACUUAGUACAGUUGCUUGGGCCUUUGCUCAGAUAUUGUAAAGUUAGCUUUUUAUGAAAUGACAUCUAUCGUUCCCGUAAAAAAAAAAAAAAAAAGAAUAAGCCAUCAACUCUGCUCUUUUAUAUACCAGUAGCUUUUGGUCCCCGCGCUGGCAUGUAAGUUGUAUUCAAUAAUAUGAUUGAAUUUUGAAUUUUACGUGUAAUAAUUUUUAUGAGUCGGAGCUGUUUAGUUAAAUUUAUCAUUUUUUGUUACAUUAUUGCAUGAUUAAAAGUGUUAAUUGACUUGUUUAAUGAUACAGUGAUAGUUUGUAUUGUCCGCAUAUUAAAUCACGGUUCAAAAUUAGAAAUUUUCAUAUUAUCAUUUGGAAGUGUUUUAGUCAAAUUCGGGUUUUAAUAAUUCUAUUGAAGUUAAAUUAUGAUAGUUUUGUUGUUUAGAAAUUAAUAUCUUAUUAGAAAAUUUCUUAUGGUUGUAAGACUUGUUUAUCAAGUCAUCUAUAAAGAAUCAUAUUAUUGUGUUUAGUUGAAAAUAGUGAAAGAUUAAGAGUCUUGUUUUUAUGAUAUAAUUAAUAGAUUAUUGUUAGUAUUAUUUCUCUUCUCUUAUACAUAUUUUUAUGUGUGUAAAUUGCCUUCCCAUAUGCAUUGAUUUUAUGAAAUAUAUAUCUUAUAUAUUUUUUGGUGAAUUUUUUGGGUUCUACAUGUAUAUUGAUUGUGAAUAAUUUGUGGGUAAAAUGUGGGCGAAUUUCUAAGAAUAUUGAUAAAAUAAAAAAACUAUCAUAAAAUUGUGGGUUUUGAGGGUUUGUUCUGAUUUUAGGGUCGCCGCAUUUAAGGUAUGAGGCUACCAAUAAAAUUACAAUUAAUUUAUAUUUAUUUUUGGUUGCUUUAGUUUUCUAUAAUUUCUCCUCCAUUUUUUUUUCUCCCAAGCUUUCACCGCUCAUGCUCUGCUGACACCGACAUGGACAUGACAGGACGGACAUGACAGCUACAGCUAAUAUGUACAAAUUUCAUCAGUCUUCUUUCUAAUUUCUUGGCAGCAUUCAGUUUUUUUUUUUAAUUUUUAUUUUUUUCCGACGCCGCAAACUCUUGUUUCCGUCGGAAAAUAUUAUCGUUUUCCGCGAUCACAUUUCCCUAUUACCUUUUUCCCUCACAUAUAUUAAAUCGCUACAGUAAUUUUUGCAUGAAAAAUGACGGAAAAUGCAAUCCAAACACAACCUUGAUUUGCGGCAUCAAGUUUUUAAAAUUUUUUUUUCUUGACGCUGCAAAUCAAAUUUGUGGCGUCAUUGUUUUUUCUUGGCCAGUCACGUACCAUUGAUCAGAAUGUGAUUGACGGACGCAGAUUGCGGCCAAAAUGCUUUUUUAAAGUGAAAAAGCAAUUUUUGGUUGCUGCCAAAAUUAAUUUUUUUUAAACUGAAAAAGCAAUUUUUUUUAAGUAAAAUCGCAAACCCCGAUUGCGGCGAUAGUUUGCCACCGUCCAUCCCACUUAACCUACGGUAACUAACGGUUGUCAUUGCCACUCUUAUUAUUUUUUUAUAAAAAACGCUAACGGCCAUGCACUAAUUUUUUUUUUAAAACUAACGUCGCAAUUUGAAUUUUCGGCAUUAGUUUUUCCACCAUCGAUCCUUACAAAGUUUUUAGAUCUACAAAUCAAAGGUCAUGAUUUAAUCAAAAAAUAAUAAUUUGUACUCAAAGUAGCACUAAUCCAAUUAUUUGUUAUAUUGCCAACAAUAACGACUCAUGCCUCAUCUUCACGGAUAACCUCAACUUUUCUCUCUUCUCUAUAUACUCACUUGAGAAAACUCAACUCGCUCAUAACUUUUCUCUUUCUGGUGUGAUCCCCAUCUUCUUCAUAUUUCUCUUAGCUUUUCGACAGUAGCUGGUGGAUUAAGACGACUUGAAUCGAGAAAAGCAACAUUACGAUUUGAGUGGUGGAUCAGAAAGAAAUUUUUUAAAGAAACGAUAUUGUCGGUGAUAAGGUUAGUUUAUUUAAAAAUUUUAUUAAUAAUAAUUUUAUAAUAUUUACAGUUAUUUUAAGUUCUAGAUAUUAUGCUACUUUAUAUUUAUUUAAUUUAAUAGUCAGAUAUUUAUUUAUGGUUUGUUUUUAAGAUUAAAUGUGUAAUUUAUAUUUUAAAAUAUUAUUUGAUUUGUUUGAUUUUUAGAUUAUGUGACAGAUGUAUUUGUUUCUUGAUAAUUUACAUUUUUGAAGAUUAUUUGUUGACGGAUUUUAGAAUUAAUUUUAUAGAGGCAGUAGUCUUUCAAGCGAAUGAUGAAUAAAAGGUGAAUAAUGAAUACUCAUAAAUGGUGAAUGAUGCAAGAUAUGCUGUCAGUAGAUGAUAAUGGUGAAUGAUGCCAGUAAGUUGUAAUUCAUUAGAAGAUAAAAGGUGAAUGAUGAAUAAUAAUAAAUGGUGAAUGGUAAAUAGUAAAAAGUAAGUGGUAAAUGGUAAAUGAUAAAUGAUAAAUAGUGGUGAAUGGUAAAUAGUAAAUAGUAAAUAUUAUUUAAUUUAUAUAUUAAUUAUUACAUUCUAUAAAUAUUGUUCAAUGUUGCAUUAUUUAUUAUUAUUUAAAUUAACAUUAAUAUUAAAAAAUUUUAAAUUAUGACUUUGGCUAAUUUUAUUAGUAAUUUAAUAGCAUGCUUGAUUAUUAUCUAAAUUUAUAAAAUUAACAUUAUUCUAAUAUCAUAUAUUAAAUUUUUGACAAUUCUGGUUUAUAAUAGAAUUUUAGUAAUAUGAUUUAAGAAUUUUAAUUUUAAAAUUAGGUUAAAGGGUUACAUUGUGAUGGUUGGGAAAUUAGGGUUUCAUGUAAAACGUUAAACCCUAAAUCCUAAUUAAGCCUAAUUAAGGUUACAUUUUACGAAAAAAAAACUUCAUCGCGAUUACCUUUUAAUAAAUGUUACAUUUAUUAAAAAGGAAAAAAAGAAUAUAUCACUGCUUAUUCUCAAUGCAGAAGGGUGCUCUUUCUACGUUCAAAUUAUUAAAAAAUAAAUAAAAUACCCAAAUCCCAAAAAAAAAAAAAAAAUAAAGGAAGCGAAGGAAUUGAAUUCCAAAGGAAAACAUCAUCUUGGAUUCUUCUUUGCUAUCUGAUGAUAUGAGCACAAUACUUUAUCUACUCGCGAUCAAAUGUUCCAAUUCCUUGCGCUCAUGAAGCCUUCACAAAAAUUUUUAAAAAAAUACAAAACUAAAGAACUCAAAAUAAAUGAAAAUUAAAAAUAUUUUUAUUAGAAGUCUCACAUCUCAGAUGCGGCGAUCCCUUAUUCCGAAAAUCACCUCAAACAACACCAAUUUUUUGACAAUUUUCACUUUUGACGAUAUUCCAAGAAAUUUGCCGUAAAAUGUGGGUUUGAUUUGUGAGAAAAAUAAUAAUUUUAUUGUAGAUAGAGGUAGAUGUCUAAUUAAACAUGUGCACAAUUAUAAAUUUGUGCUGAUGAUAGUAUUAUAAUAUUAUUAUAGAUAAAUAUGAUUUCUGAUUUCUGAUUCUAAUAAGGGCAUCCACAACGCAGGUGUAAUAGCUCCCUAUUACACCACUCCAUGACACGAUCUCCCAUUGGAGCUGUGUCAUGGAGAUUACACGCAUCAUGAAUAUGAUGCGUGUAAUCCAUGAUGCUGUGGGACCUAUAAUUAUUUUUAAAUGAUUUAAAAUUAGUAUUCAUUUUGUUAUUAUUUGUAUUUUAUUUGAUUUAAAUUAUGUAAUAUUAUGUUAUGGAGUUCAACUAAUUACAUUUGUAUUUUAUUAAUUAAGUAUGGAUUAUUAUGAUAUAUUCGCAUUUGAGGUAUCAAAUAUUUGUUUAAUUUUUUGCAUAAUUAUUUUUGAAAAAAUAACAAUAUAUUAUUUUUGAGAGAUAGAAAAAGAUAUAUUAUUCAAACUUAAAAAUUAAUAAUAUCAUUUUUAGAAAAUAAAAAAUUUAAUGAAAGUUAGUACUUUAUUUUUAAAAAUAACAAAAUUAUUUUUAAAAAUUAUUUUAUUUAUUUAUGGGAUAUGAGUUAUGCAUUAUUAAAAUAAAUAUUUGAUUUAAUUGUGGACCCAUGCUAUUACACCUUGUGGAGUGUAAUCUAUUUUGAGUGAAAGUGUAACAAAAGAGGAGAAAGUGUAAUGCUGACGUAGCAUGUAGAUUAAAAAAGUGUAAUAGCAUUAUGGAUGCACUAACAGAAGAGAUAAAAAAGGAGGGAAAAAACUAUAGCCAACAACCUAUUGUAGGCCAUGCUUGUAGCAAAACUCGUGGCUGUAGCCAAAUACCUCAUGAAGUCAUCAGAAUUACCAUUGAAACUGGCCCGUGGCUGCACUGUAGCAAAACCCCCUUCUCCCUUUUAUACAUUGUAGAUGUCAUGGUUUCAAAAUCGACAAUUCUAGAGAACCGAACAAGCCACCGUUCCCACCAACUCCACUAUUUUAUUUUAUUUUUCAUAGUUUCAAAACUCAAAGCUUCGUAUUAACCAAUGGCUCUGCUUCUGGUCCUCCUCCCAGUUGCCUUCAUCUUCCUAGCCUACAGCCUCUAUGAACGCCUUAGAUUCAAACUGCCACCCGGGCCACGGCCAAAACCGGUGGUCGGAAACAUUUACGACAUAAAACCGGUGAGGUUCAAGUGCUAUGCAGAGUGGUCAAAACUCUAUGGUCCAAUAUUUUCUGUCUACUUUGGUUCCCAGCUGAAUACUGUUGUGAAUACUGCAGAACUGGCCAAAGAAGUUCUUAAAGACAAUGAUCAACAAUUGGCAGAUAGGUACAGGAAUAGACCCUCUGCCAAAAUGAGCAGAAAUGGCCAAGAUUUGAUAUGGGCUGAUUAUGGUCCUCAUUAUGUGAAGGUCAGAAAACUGUGCAAUCUUGAACUCUUCACUCCAAAAAGACUGGAAGGCCUUAGACCUUUAAGAGAAGAUGAAGUUACAGCCAUGGUUGAUUCCAUCUUCAAGGACUGCACCAAACCUGGUAUUGUUUUCUUAAUUUUCCACAAAAAAAAAAAACAUUUUUGUUUUCAGUACUCCAAAUUCUUGGAUUGUUUUUCAUUGGUUUCUUCAUCUGUUUGGUUUAGAUCUUGAACACGACUAUCUCAUUCAUUUAGUGUUUGCUUGCUUACCAUUCAUAUGGUAGGUGAUUUGGACCAUUCAGUCAUAGAUUGUCUUCACAAUACCAAAAUGCAACCGACAAUAAGAAAAGCUCCUAUACAUUUUUGCAAUAUAUGAUUCUAAUUUAAGCUAACUAAAUUAUUUGCUUAGUUUUCAUAACACUCUAAGAUUGUAAUUUAUUGGUAAAGAAAAUUGUAAACGGGUAUGAAUACUGAAAACAAAACCAAUGACAAAAUACAUCAAUGUGGAGGAAAAUAGCCCUCUUAGAUUCACAAAGUUGAAUACUUUGAGCUGACUACAAUUAAUUUUGAAGAAAUAUUGGGGAACAAUUUUCAAUUGGUACAUAUCUCAAAAGUGCAUAUUUCAACCAUCAAUAAUAAAUACUCCUAUUCUUUUUUUUUUCCUUUUUUGUUUGCCUGCCACAUUUAGUGGUGGGAGGCAGGGUUUGUACUUGAUCUCCCACCGCCACUGUGCUAGCUCAGUGGAGCUCAGCGGUUAAAUACUCCUGUUCGUAAGUACAUAUUUCAACAAAUAUCAAUAAUAAAUUCUCCUGUUUAGCCACCCCACUGGUCAGUCCAUCCAUGUUCUCUUUAUGGCAAAUUUGUGCUAAUUUUGUCGGUUCGCCAUCAAAGGUGAGGGAAUUAAGGUACUUACAGCCCUCCAGUCUCCUCACAUUUAUGAUGCCCGUGAUUUUUUUUUUUUUUUUUGUCGAAACGAUAGAUGUCCUAUAAACUAAUCUAGCCUAGUCUAAGGGGAAGGGGAGGGGGUUCGAUGUGAGUACAAAUUCCAUCGAUGAAGGUCAAUUAACACCGCCACAAAUUGUGACAAAUUUGUGGGAGGCAGGAAUUGAACCCCUAACCUCCAGCAUUACCUUUAAUGGUGAUGACCACUGGACCAAAUGGCCAGUGACAUGAUGCCCGUGAUUAAUUUCUUUUUCUUUUUUUAAAAAAAAGCAAAAGUAAUUUAUUAUACUAACCCUUUGAAUUGGAAGAAUAGGUUACAAUUCACCCCUAAAUGUUUGGGAUUGGUGCACAAGCCCCUUAGAUUAGAAAUAAAAGAAUGAUAUACCUUUUGGAAAAAUUAUCCCAGUCUUUUUAGACUCUUUUUUCUUGUAGUUUUUAACUAGUAAUUUUCUUCUUUUACAGUGCCUUUUCUUUUGCUACACUAGCUGUUUUUAAGGUGUUUGAAUUAGCUAUUUUUGAGUCUGUUUGGAUUAGCUAUUUUAGAGUAAUGCUUUAAAAUCUUUUAUCUUAUUGGAUUUUGAUGUUUCACCACUUGAUGUACAUCUUAUGCAAAAUAAAAAAUUUAAUCAACUUAAGUUUGUUGGACAAAAAAUUAAUGAAAAAAAUUAGAAAAAGAAAAGAGCCUUACAUUUAAAUUCAACAAACACUACAUGCUUUUAUUAUUAAAAAAAAAAUACCUGAAAAACAACAUUCUAGAAUUAUGUAACUGUUCUAAUGCUGAACAUUACAAAAGUCAUGCUCAUGUAAAUGGAAUAAUCACUUCUGCUAUACUGGAAUAAUCAUUUAAAUUCUUUUAUUUUAUUGAAUUUUAAUUGUUCACUACUUGAUGUAAAUUUUCUAAACAGUAAAAAUAAUACACAUGAGACACAUUUUUCUACAAUUGUAUGGCUGUUCUACUCCCGAACAUUACCAAAAGUCAUGGCCAUCGAAACGGAAUAAUCGUGACACACCUUUAAGUGUCCAAGAAAAAGCAGGUGAGGUAACUUUCUUCGACAAGUUGAUUGAAGGAGGAGAAACAAACGACAAUUGGGGUGGCAGAAACUGGACAGUCUACUUAUUUCUUUGGAUGAGAAAAAGUUGAUGGACCAAUUUGGGCAGGUAUUGUGUGGGAAAAGAACCAAAGUCGUAGUCACUGGGAAAUUCAAGUUGGAAAUCAAGUUUAAAGUGAGAAAAACGUUUUACAUUUUGUUUCGGGAAAUCAGUGCUGCAAAUCUUCUAAGGAUGCCUUAGAUCAAAUUGAAAUACGAUAUUUGAAAUCUUAAUUUGUUAAAUUACUGAAUUAGAUACUGAAAUCCUAAUAUUUGAAUAUAUUUUACAUUAAGUGAUAAGUGGAUAGUUUUUCGUUUAUUUUUGGAAAUAAGUUUUGCUUUAGGCAAUUUGGAGCCAUUUAAUUAAUUUAGAUAUUUUAUAUCUUUUUAUCAAACAUAUUUGUACAUACUAAGGUCUGAACUUAUUAAAUUUAAAUAUUAAAUUGAAUUAUCAAACAGGGCAAUCUAAAGUCUAGAGUUAAGUAUAGUUGCUAGUUUGAAAUCGUUUUAAAUAGCUCUAAGUAUCCUUAACUUUGAUUGAACUUUUAGAACAUAUAUGGAAAAUUAUUUGAGUAUAUGGAGACAGUUUUUUUAAAUGAUUUGAUAACUGGAAUUAUACCUGACAAUUGGGCGGGUUGGGCGGUUUUUGGGCGGAUUGAUAUUGGGUUUUCAUUUAAAUGGGUGACACCCAAUCCGCCCAACUUUAGAUUGGGUUAAUUUUGGGUUGGGUCAUCUCAAACUCAUGACCCAAAUAUGACCCAAUAUAUUAAUUAAUAGAUUUUGAUACAUAAACUCUCUCAAAUACAUUUUCACAUACAAAAAAAAAUUUUCACACACAUAAACACAUUUUCACAUAGAUAGAUAUAUUUUUACACACUAAAAUACUCAUAGACACCAACACUCACUUCUUAAACUCUUUUGAAAUACGUUAUUUUUACAUAUACAAAUUACAAUACACACCAAUAUACUUUCACAAAUACACACACAUACUAACUAUUUAAACUACUUGGGUGAACUCAUUAUUUUUUAUACAAGUAAGGAUUUUCAAAUUGGGUAUAGUUUUGAUCCAAACUAAGAGAUCGAAGCAACAAUUUUGGGUGGAACAAAACUAAGAGAUCUCGAUGAAGUGAUCAAUAAAUAGGGGGGAGGGGGGCUUGUCUUUUCAUUUUGAAUGAAAAAAAGAAAAGAAAUAGAAGAACAGUAGGAUGCAUUUUUCCGGAACUUGGCAAAAGGAUGGAUGUGAAGAGCGAAGAGUACAAGGAUUUUCUUUUUUCUUUUCUUUUUUUUUUUUUAAAAAAUCCUACUGACAUUUGUGCUGCACCGUUCAUUUCUCAAAUUUUGUUCUUUUUAAGCAUUACUCGUUGAUCAUCCUUCUCAAUGUGUAGAAGUAGUAUAUAUAUGAUAAUUAUACAUACCAGUACAUAUAUGGGUUUUGCUUGAUCCAACAAGGCUGGUCAUUUUUUUUUGUUUCUUGAUUUUAAUUUGUUAAUUUAUUUUUUUAACUUAAUUUGGGUAAUGGAUGCCCAACACAAAUACCCAAACCACCCAAAAUAUAUAUGGGUUUUUAUUACCCAACUCAAAAUUAACCCAAAAUCCAACUUACCCAAUCCAACCUCUCAAAUUAGUGGGUGGGUUGGGUGAGUUGUUGGGUUUUGGGUAUAAUUACCAGCUCUAACGGGAAUAUGUCAAUUUAUUUGGAACUGCAUUAAUCUUUUACACCAAACAUCUUUUAUACUGCCCGAAGGUUUUUAUUAACGUAAACUUUUCUUUUCCUUUCAAAAUUCCAAGUGGGCAAAUACUGAAAGUCUGACCACGCCAAUAGUUUCAAAUAUAAGGCUGUAAAGUUCAAAGAAUUAACUUCACUUGGUCAUAUCUAUGUCCCUUUCGGUCUGAAAUUAACCUGUGGGUGGGAAGAAGAUAAUGAUUAGUCAACUGGCAAUUCCCUACACAUUUUCUCAAAUGCUCAGUUAUAGCCUAAAUUGUAAAAAUUCUUAGUUGACUUAGAACAAAAAAAUUGAAAUAAAAAAGGGGCUAAACCUACGUCUCUCCGUACGAAAUUCACACCUUGUGCAAAUUAACGUAUUAAUGAUACAAGUUAUCUAAAUAAUAAAAAUAUAGUUUCAGAAUGGAUGGUUGUAGAUUUAGUUCUCCAUUGGAUAACUAAUGGGAACUCUUUUUAAUGUCCACUUAAUUUAGUCACAAAUUUUAUUAAAGUUAGGAUGAAAGUGUUGAAUAGGCUAAAGUGGAACAACGGGCUCAGAUCCGCAUUGCUGAAUUUUGUCUAAAUUUUUUUUUUUUUUUUAACACUUGAACAUGCAGAAAACAAAGGCAAGAGUCUGUUGAUGCGCAACUACUUGGGAUCAGUAGCAUUCAACAACAUUACAAGGCUAACAUUUGGGAAGAGGUUCAUGAAUUCAGAGGGUGUGGUUGAUGAACAAGGCCUAGAGUUGAAGGGCAUUGUAUCAAAUGGGAUAAAGAUUAGUGCAAAACUCUCCGUGGCACAUCACAUUCCUUGGCUUAGUUGGAUGUUUGUAGGCGAAAAUGAGGACCUGGAUAAGCACUAUGCGCGGAGAGACAAACUGACCAGAAUGAUCAUGGAAGAGCACACUCUUGCAAGGCAAAAGAGUGGCAAUACUAAGCAGCAUUUUGUUGAUGCAUUGCUCACUCUUCAAAAGCAAUAUGAAUUGAGCGAUGACACUGUCAUUGGACUCCUUUGGGUAAGUAGUGGUCUAUUUUCACUUUGCUAGCUCCAAGGAAAGAAAGGUAGAAGCAUAAGAAAGAUAGCAACUCCAUCUAUUGCAAAAUAGGAUUUAAUGUUGUCCAAAUUAUGCAGGACAUGAUUACUGCUGGCAUGGAUACAACCACAAUCUCAGUAGAAUGGGCAAUGGCAGAGCUGGUAAAGAAUCCAAGGGUGCAGCAAAAGGCGCAAGAGGAACUUGACCGAGUCAUUGGCUCCGAUAGAAUCAUGACUGAAGCUGAUUUUGCAAAGCUCCCAUACUUACAAUGUGUAGCUAAGGAAGCUCUAAGGCUGCACCCUCCAACUCCACUGAUGCUUCCUCAUAGAGCCAAUGCCAAUGUGAAGAUCGGGGGUUAUGACAUCCCUAAAGGGUCUAUUGUGCACGUUAACGUCUGGGCGAUUGCUCGUGAUCCUGCAGCCUGGAAAAAUCCACUGGAAUUCCGACCUGAGAGAUUCCUGGAGGAAGAUGUUGACAUCAAGGGCCACGAUUAUCGGCUCCUGCCUUUUGGUGCUGGAAGGAGGGUCUGCCCUGGUGCACAACUUGCACUCAAUCUGGUCACUUCUAUGCUGGGGCACUUGUUGCACCACUUUACUUGGUCUCCACCACCUGGGGUCAGGCCUGAAGAGAUUGACCUGGAAGAGACCCCUGGAGCAGUUACUUAUAUGAGAACCCCUUUGCAAGCUGUUGCAACACCAAGAUUGCCUGCACAUUUGUACCAUCGUGUGC
rnacentral:lncRNA from 1 species